rnacentral:lncRNA from 1 species
CCGCGAGGAGGUCCCGGUUCACGUGGUUCGUGUCGUCGUCGUCGUCGUCCCGGCCGGACCGUGGUGCGAGGCGGAAGCAUACCAGGGAGAACCUCCUCGGGGCCACCACCUCGAAGCGCUCGUCGGCCGCCACCCUCUGCUCGAACCACUUGGCUGCUGCGACGUGCCGACGGAUGUGCGCACGCAUGCCAGCCGCACCGUACCGCCGCAGUAUGACCCAGAGCUUAAUGGCACGGAACCGGCGCGUCAUGGAGAUCUGCCAGUCCUUGUAGUCUACGGCGGCCGGCGUUCCUGCGCCGCCGUCUUCCGCGCCGACGUUCUUGAGGUACUCCGGAUCGGUGGACAGCGCCGAGAUCAGGUCACGGGGUCUUGCCACCCACAGGCAGCAGCAGUCCAUGUUGGUAAGGAACCACUUGUGCGGGUUCAUGCUCACCGAGUCGGCGAGCUCCGCGCCGUCGAGGUAGUCCUGGAACUCCGGGCAGAUGGCCGCGCUGCCGGCGUACGCUGCGUCAAGGUGCACCCACAUGCCGUGGCGGCGCGCCUCCUCCCCGAUCUCGCGAACGGGGUCGACGGCGCCGAGCCCCGUCGUGCCCACCGUGGCGCAGAGGUAGAGCGGCACCAGCCCGAGGCCGACGUCGCGGUCGACGGCGGCGCGGACGGCUUCCGCGGUGAGACCGUACCCUGAAGCCGCCGACGUCUUGAUGACCCGGAAGUUCGACGGUGGGAUCCCGACGAGCCGGGCGCCCUUCUGGAACGUGGCGUGCGUCUGGUCGGAGGCGUAGACCACCAGCCUGGCGAUGGCCUCGUGCCCGAGCCUACCCAGCGCGCCGUCCCGCGCGGCGGCGAGCGUGCACACCACGGCCUCGCACGUGCUCCCCUGCAGGACGCCCCCGCCGCCGCCGGAGAAGAGGAACCGGCGCGGCAGGCCGAACAGCCGCGCCAUCCAGUCGACGACGACGCUCUCGAGCUCCGCGGCGGCCGGCGACGCGGCCCACACGAAGGGCACGACGUUGAGGCCGACCGACAGCAUCUCCCCCGCGAGCCCAGCGGAGCUGGCGUUCAUCGGGAAGAAGGCGAAGAACCGGGGGCUCUGCCAGUGGGUGAGCCCCGGCAGGAUGUCCCGCCUCACGUCCUCCAGUAUGUGCUCCAUCGGCUCGCCGUGCUCUGGCGCGGCCUCGGGGAGCAGCUUGCGGACGCGGCCUGGCUCCAUGUCGGCCGCCCGCACCGGGAACUUGUCCACGUCGCGGUAGUACUCGGCGAGGAAGUCUAGAAUCGCCUGCGAGUCGCCGGCGAUGGCGUGAGGGUCCAGUGGCUUCAUUGGCAAGUCCAGUGGCAAGCUGCCCAUCGCCGCGACGACAAGUUAAUCUAGCAGAGGCUUGUGGUUCCGGGAGAAGAUGUAUUCUAGGCGUGUUUGUGUCGGCUUCAGUUGUGCAUGCAGUGGCCUAUAUAUAUAGUGCGAGUGCGAACACGCAGGGCUGUGCACGCUGAAACAAACUUGCAUGAUUUGGCAAGCAUGUAUCUCUGCCGCGGCACGAUCGGGGAGAAGAUCGGACAGGGACACGAGGGGAUGGACCCCUUGGAUAUGUAGAUCUGGAACUGGAACCAUUAACGAGCUCCAUCAGUUUUGUCAGAAAUACACACUCAUCAUCAGUGAUCAGGUCUCAUGGCGUGCGCAAGCGCAACGGUGCACACCGCACCUCAGGCCCCAACCCCCAAGUGAUGUCCGAUUCCAACGUGUUCCCCAUGUAGUACUAGUUGUUUUGAGCUGUCGUCACAAGUGUCAUCUGUAACUGUAAAUGGCUAUUGGAAGACGAACCACGAGAUAGGAGGUCUGGAAAUUGUUUAUUGGCAUUGCUGUCCACCACUCAACUACCCAGUCAUAACGAAAGGAGAUCUGAAUUAAAAGCUAGUAUAUGAUAAAUAACUUUUCUACUUCACCGGCACCGGCAUAUGGUUGUUAUGCUCGGUAACGAAACAUAUCUUAAGUCAAAUUUUUAAAUUUUGACCAAAUUUCUAAAAAAUACUAAGAUUUAUAGUAUCAAAUUAGUAUCAUUAGAUUCAUUAUAAAAUAUAUUUUCAUAUAAUGCUCAUUUUAUAUCAUAGAUAUUGCUAUUUUUUUCUAUAAAGUUAGUCAAACUUAAAAAAGUUUGACGGACAUAGUUUCUACGAAUUGAUUCUUUCGUGGACGAGGGAGUAUUAUGAUAGUAUUUUGGUAUUAUGAUAGUAUUUUUUUCGACAAGAUGGCAAAAGUUUUAUAUUCAUUUUUUUAUAAGACGGCAAAAAGUUUUUGUCGUAAAUUUUAUUAGACGAUAGAAAAAAAUAGAACUGUACAAACAAAGUAAAAACAAAAACCUUUUACAACGUGAACACAUGACUUCAAACCUCGACUCUACUUUGCGUAAUUAGAACAAGCUCAAUGUAUACAGCAAAAUCAAACCAGUCCAUAAAAAGAGGCCAAGAAUCAGCAGUCCUUUAAUAGGCCAGUCUCAAUGCAUAGUUUCAUAACACAGUUAUCAAGACUAUAAACUAGGUAACCGAGCCACAUGAGUUUUAUGGGGAUGAAAUUCCUCUCUUAUCUGAUGAAACUCCUUCAUUUAAUGACCCUGCCAAGUCAGCAAUUUUGCUUAUGUGGCACCCUAUUUUAAUGUGCAUGACACUCUCAUGAAACAUGUAUUGAGACUAGCCUAUUGUCUCUUCCACAAUGUAUAGCCGGUAAGGUAGGGCCCAUUUAAAAGUUAAAAAAUCCCUAUCCUCCGUUGCAUCUUCUUCCUCGUUCCUCGCCUGCAUCUUCUUGCUCGGCGGGUGGCGCUAAGGUUGAAAACGGACGGAAACGAACGGAAAAUCGCUCUAUCGUUUUCAUUUUCAUAUUCUUAGACGAAAACGGAAGCGGAAGCCAGACAACCGGGAGCGAAAACGGUAGCGGGAUAAACGGUAAUACGAAAACGGGUAAAUACGAUCGGAAAAUAGACGGAAACGAGCGGUAAGCGAAAAAUUGAACCGGAACAUGUAAAGCUGCAUAUGAUAGCGCAAAUACAGAGACCAAAAUGCAAUACGAAAUAUCAAAUAUGCACUGACCAGUGACUAGUGACCACAAUAAUACAAUACCACAUAUCCAUAUUCCAUAGAUCACAAUUAACAUAAAUAUGAAUUAUUCAUACAUCGCAUAAGAACAUAUCCAUAGUCCAUAGAUCACAAUUCACACAAAUAUGAAUUAUCCAUACAUCACAUAAGACAAGAAACAUUUUAGGUCAUAUUGGGCUUGGGGACUAUGUUGGGCUACUUUCCCGUUUUUAUGAAAAAUGGGAUAGAAAACGGGAUAUCCCGGUAAAAAACGGGAUUCCGCAAAUACGGACGGACAAACGCUCUACCGUUUUCGAUCCUGCUCCCGUUUUAAUCCGUCCCAUUUUUGAUCCCGUUUCCAUUUAUCCCGUAAAAAACGAAAACGAACGAGAAAAUACGGUAUACGGUUGCGGACAAAACGGAAUCUAUCCCGUCGGGCGGCACGGAUGGCCAGACACGCAGUCUCGCGGGCGGCGCGAAUGGCCGAGGCGGACAUGCCAAGCUAAUGGACUGCACAGACGACCAGCCGGUGAGCUACAAGGCGCACGGAGCUAUCGGUGCCGCGAGCGCACGAUGACCUCCCCAUGGCGCAAGGCGUCAGAUGCCGGUCCUCUUCAUCUCGCGGGAUGGGCUAAUGGCCGGCGCGGUGACCUCGCGGGCAGUGCGGUAACAAAGGAAGCACAUGGAGGUGGGUGCUGGUCGGGCUGGUCAGCAAAAGGAGAGAAAACAAAGUCUGUCUAUCUAGCAACCAUGUGUUUCAUACACUUUGAACACAUGAAUUUUUUUUUACCAUAGGGUGAAGAUCCAACAGUCUUCACCUUUCUUCUACCUCCAGCCUCUAGCCUUCUUCUACCUCCGGACAAUCACAAAUCACAGAUUAAAGAUCACAUAUCACACAUCACAUAAAACAAAUUUUUUCUAUGAAAGGACAAAUCACAAAUCACCGAGGAGGAGGAGGAGGAGAGGCCUACUGUGGCCGGAUCUGCCGCCGCCGCCGGCGAAACUGUCGCCACCGCUGCUGCCAUGGCUGGUGCCGGCGGGCGCGGGCACUAGAGGCGUGUCGGGCAUGGACGCUGGGAGACGCGUCGAGCAUGGACGUUGGGAGGCGUGUGCCCGCCGUUGGCGCCGUAGGGAGGCGCGCCGUCGCCGGACGUGGGCGCUGGGUGCUCGCCGACAACGGAGGAGGAAGGAGUGCAGCCGCAUCGGGAGGGAGGCGACAGUCGAGAAGGAGGGAGGAAAGAGGCGCAUGAGGGAGGGAGGGAGAGAAAUUGGACGUGGCCCUAAAGUCAUAGACACAGAAAAAACCAUUAAAAACACAUGGGUGUUGUAUAACAUUACUGUUUUUUAUUACUAUAUAGCCGUCAGUCUAUAAGAGCAAGCGCAAUGUGUUCAGCCGAACCGGUCUAUAAAGAUGGGGCCCACAGCAGGUGGCAGUAACUAAAGUUCUGUAUAAAAAUUAUUUUUAUUGAAUUUUUAUGUAACAUUAGAAUGGGAAAGCUAGUAACAUAAUACAAAAAUAAAUGACCACUGUCAAAACUAAAUAUAUUUAGAGUUGUAAAAUACAAGUAAUAUAUACCAAAUCAAUGCGUAAAAAAUAAGGAGGAAACUGAGAUUACUUUGCUAGCAAAGAUCUAAAGAUCAAAUCCAAGUUUUUAAGGCUAAAUUUAUGGAUUAGUAGAGAUUGGGCGGGUAGAGGAGAGCAAGAACCCGAAAAAGAGGUAUAACAAGAAGACCAUGGUCGAGCAGGGAAGCUGAGGGGUGAUUCUUAAAUCAGAGCUCGGAGCCACAGAUCUUGGCUACGAGCUCGGCGCCAAGAUAUGUGACUCCGAGCUCGGAGCCAAGAUCUGUGGCUCCGAGGUAGUGCCAUGUCAUCGCCACAUAUGCUGCCACUUUGUACGCGAGUAACCACCUUGGAACCAAGAUCUGUGGCGCCGAGAUGUGUAACCUCGGAACCACGAGUCCUGGCGCCGACUCACUGGGUCCAAACAUGAGUUUAAGUUUUAGAGGGGGUUAAAUGUGAAUUUUUUUCAAAAAAGGCUAAAAAGUAAAAAAAAAAAUUGGGUUGCCAUGUUGCAUCCCUAGAACUGAACCUUGCCCCCUCCUUUUAUAGUUGCAAGGAGAGGCAGAGUUUACAUAUAUGUGCAAUGUACCGUUUCUGUUGGAUCUGAGGCCAUGCGGAGGUAUGCCGCAGUACUGUAAAGGGAUGGCAUCCAUCCUUUGGCUGUUGUAGGCAUUCAUGGUAGUAGUAGUGCGAGGCGUGCCCUCCUGUGUAGACGUCGUGACGAGCCAUGCUUAUCCUAUAAGUGAGAUGCCUAGCCCUGUGGUUGGCGUGCCAACCCCCUGUUCUGAGACCCUCUGGAUUGGGAGUCGUGCCCUAAACUCUCACGAGCUCGUGGGUAUAGGGGCUUGGAUUGAUGCUUGUAUGUCUGCAUAGGUCUCUGCCAUACGCAUAGUGAGCACCAUGCCUUGCCCUGUGUAGUUGUAGUCGUGGUGGAGAUUUGACCCCCCCCCCCCUCCCCAUGUCUUGUCCGGCUGUACCACAGUCUCGUUGUGGGAUCGUAGCUGACGUCAUAAGAGGCCUCGAGCGCACCAAUGGAAAGAAAGCGUCCGAGCCCUGGGGUCGGGCGAGUCAGAGAUUUUUGGCUCUUACCUCGCUCGAGGCCCCGUUGUCAGGUCUCUGACAAGACGGACAAUAGAUUAGUCUCGCUUGCGCCCGAGGCCUCGUCAUUGAGUCUAGGGCGGGACAGAGAAUGGAUGUUUAGUUAGCUUGGCCUCUUAUCGAGACAAGUAGAGGGGGGCUUUAGUCCUCUUCUUUGGAUACCUCAGAUUGUAGUAUCCAACAAAUUAUUUGACCCUAUAAGCAAACGACCUUUAUCUUUAGUUAACUCUAACACUAAUGGACUAUCUAGCCAGCCUAGACCUUGGACUAUUAGAUGAAGUUGUUUUACCAAACGGUCCUAGCUACCUGAGCAAAUCUGUCCUAGAGAAUAGAAGUUGUUUUGGUUAGAGCCAGAGCUCUACCAAACGGACCUAGGCGUGCUUCCCAAAUCAUGAACGUUUGUUCCAGCGCGUAUAGCCUGCGUGUUCGCACUAUAUAUAAGCCACUGCAUGCACAGUUCAAGCCGACACAAACACGCCGAAUACAUCAAUUUCUCCAGGAACCUGAAGCUUCUGCCAGAUUAACUUAUCGGCGCUGCGAUGGGCAGCUUGUCACUGGACAUGCCAAUGAAGCCACUGGACCCCCACGCCAUCGCCGGCGACUCGCAGGCGAUUCAAGACUUCUUGGCCGAGUACUACCGCAACGUCGACAAGUACCCGGUCAGGGCGGCGGACCUGGAGCCAGGCCGGGUGCGCAAGCUGCUCCCCGACGCCGCGCCAGAGCACGGCGAGCCGAUGGACCACAUACUGGAAGACGUGAGGCGCGAAAUCCUGCCGGGGCUCACCCACUGGCAGAGUCCUCGCUUCUUCGCUUUCUUCCCGGCUAACGCCAGCUCCGCUGGGCUCGCGGCGGAGAUGCUGUCGGUCGGCCUCAACGUCGUGCCCUUCGUGUGGGCCGCGUCGCCGGCUGCCGCGGAGCUCGAGAGCGUCGUCGUCGACUGGAUGGCGCGGCUGUUCGGCCUGCCGCGCCGGUUCCUCUUCUUCGGCGGCGGCGGUGGCGUCCUGCAGGGGAGCACGUGCGAGGCCGUGGUGUGCACGCUAGCCGCCGCGCGGGACCGCGCGCUGGGUAGGCUCGGGCACGAGGCCAUCGCCAGGCUGGUGGUCUACGCCUCCGACCAGACGCACGCCACGUUCCAGAAGGGCGCCCGGCUCGUCGGGAUCAAGCCGUCGAACUUCCGCGUCAUCAGGACGUCGGCGGCAUCCGGGUACGGUCUCACCGCGGAAGCCGUCCGCGCCGCCGUCGACCGCGACGUCGGCCUCGGGCUGGUGCCGCUCUACCUCUGCGCCACGGUGGGCACGACGGGGCUCGGCGCCGUCGACCCCGUUCGCGAGAUCGGGGAGGAGGCGCGCCGCCACGGCAUGUGGGUGCACCUCGACGCAGCGUACGCCGGCAGCGCGGCCAUCUGCCGGGAGUUCCAGGACUACCUCGACGGCGCGGAGCUCGCCGACUCGGUGAGUAUGAACCCACACAAGUGGUUCCUUACCAACAUGGACUGCUGCUGCCUGUGGGUGGCAAGACCCCGUGACCUGAUCUCGGCGCUGUCCACCGACCCGGAGUACCUCAAGAACGUCGGCGCAGACGACGACGUCGCGGGAAAGCCGGCCGCCAUAGACUAUAAGGACUGGCAGAUCUCCAUGUCGCGCCGGUUCCGUGCCAUCAAGCUCUGGGUCAUACUGCGGCGGUAUGGUGCGGCUGGCAUGCGUGCGCACAUCCGUCGGCACGUCGCAGCAGCCAAGUGGUUCGAGCAGAGGGUGGCGGCCGACGAGCGCUUCGAGGUGGUGGUCCCGAGGACGUUCUCCCUGGUUUGCUUCCGCCUCGCACCACGGGUCGGCCGGGACGACGACGACGCCACGAACCACGUGAACCGGGACCUCCUCGCGGCGGUGAACGCGAGCGGACGGGCGUUCAUGACGCACUUCGUGGUAGACGGCAAGUUCGUGAUCCGGCUAGCUGUCGGCGGCGCCUCGACGGAGCUGCAGCACGUCAUGGAGGUGUGGGACCUGCUGCAGGGCAAGGCCGUUGAGGUUCUACAGCACUAUCAAACCUAAGCUCUAUAGCUCUCUCCAUAUCGUAGCGAGCAGGGAGCUUUGCAUAAGCAUGCUCACGAGCAAGAUUUGCUCGUACUGUUUGUUUCCGGCUCGUACUAUCUCUGGUAGCUAUGUGUUCUCUUCUGUCAAAGUUUCGACGGUUAUUUUGUUCAAUCGAAGCGUGGUGCGCUUAAUAAAUUUUGAAGAUUAUUGUGUGCCGAAGUGGAAUGCUUUUAAGCAAUGUUUAUACUAUAAGUGAAAAAUAUGAAAUUACUCAAGUUCGGACCUUGACUAAUGGUCGGCAUUCUUAUUCUCUAUUACCAAGCAAUAUCACUUUUCAGUCUUAAUUACUGAAGAUUGUUGAGAAUGUCAAAUUCAUGUGGUAGCAAAGAAAAACUGGAGUAUGUAUCUUGAGCUUUUUCUCUUGUGUUUUAGAAAGUGGGGAGUAGAGGCCCCUACGGCCCUAAUUAAAUGUCUAAAUUUCAUUAAAUGUAGACAAAACUAUACAAGCUGAAACCUAUAGAGGAAGAGAGGAGCAAGCAGUAGAAAAGAGAAGUUCCCGAGGAGAAAAGGAGCAAAAAAAAAAAAGAAAUAAUAAGAAAAAGAAAUUUGACAUAAAUUAUUACAAACUGCUAACAGAUAAGCUGCUCCAUAAUAGAAGUCAGAGUCGAAACCCUUUUACAAGUAACCGAAGCCCUGCCAAACUUGUCCUAACUAUCAAAUAAGAUAGAGCCAUUGUUACUACUACGACUCCUGUCUAGGCCUGAAUGUUGCAACGGCAACUAUAUAUACGCACUAUGAUAUGGUAAUCUUGCACUCUAUGGUAUGGUAUACAAAUCUGAAUAUAUUUUGGUGGUCGUAGACGGGCUUGGACAAGGGUGAGCUUGACCCUCUUGGUGAACCAUCAAGCAAGCGAGAUCUCGAGGCUUUGCCACGGUAGCUUUGCCAUGCUCACCACACUGGCUCUUAUGUUCUUCGUCAAGGCCAAAUCAUAUUCGACGACCGUCAGUUCUGCGCCCAGCCGCCAACGAUGACUUUUACCAUGUCCACCACACCACAACCGCAAACAGGAAACCAGACCGGCCAACCAAUCCAAACUUUCUGCAAACAGGUGACCGACCAAUGCAAUCCAAACCUGCUAAUACCUUCUGGUACCAUGAUUUUCUGCCGUAGCAACGCUCACGGACUGCUACUUUUCCCAGAAAUCAUAGUGGGAUUUAAUAGUUCAAUGUUUCCCGCUUUGAUAAUUACAAAUACAUCAGAUUAUAAUAACACCAUUUUAUCCUCUCAUGAACCAACCUUUACCUUUAGUAAGCAGAAAACUAUGAGACCACAUAAUAAGCAAGCAGAAAACAACGAUGGACAUGGUCACAUGGCAGAUACCACCGAACAUCAUGUAGGCCGAGAGGAAAAGGGAAAACGAAGUUCACAUAUAGAAAAGCGUUUCUGAUGGAAUCGAGAAACUUCAUACCACAGAUAAUCCAACCUUGUUCUACAGCACGCACUCACACAUUACAAUAUAUAAACAAAGCGGGCAUAUGAGACAAGAGGCACUACACUGGCAGGAAAGAGUAAUACUUUUAUGUAAACCACCCAUGCAUUCCAGAUACAUCAUCACCACAUACACACACCACCAUACCACAGGCAGAUCGCCAAUCACCACAUGGAUACCUCCAGGCGGAUACCAGGAUUCAUUCCUGGCUGCACAGCAAAAAUAACUUAUGAAGGAAUUUGUCACAAUAAGCUCGAUCAGAUUUUGGAACCUCAGCUGCCUUCCAAGCUUUUAGGCUGCAAGUACUAUUAUCACUAUGAGAAGGACCACUCCGAAAAUAACCAGCAACAAGCAUAUCUGCAGCAAGAAAAUUGGUAACUAAAUCUGAACAGCAAUGAUGGAGGAUGGUGUUCCUAAAUAUGGAUCUAGGAUAUUAACAAACUGUAGAAGGGCUCGAGAAAUUACCAGCGAAGAGUUCGACUUCUGAGUUUUAGCAGCUUUUGAAAGCUGUCCUUUAGCCUGUGAAGUCGCCACAACAGCAUUCUCUAUAUGGGAGUCAAUGUCAUCUGGUUCACAAAAGGAGAUACACAAUUAGAUGGGGAAGCAGGCAGGCCUAUGCUUGAACAUACCGAAAUGUAGAUCCAAUUUGCCAGAAAGGUCACAUACCUAUCAUUGCUCCUUGAUCAUGGACUAGCACAGCAAGAUCUUUGAAGAUUUCGUUUACUUCAGUGAUUUGGUGCUGAAUCUCUUGUAUUCCCUGAUCCCUCUCCUCAAUGAUGGCCUCAUUGAACACGAUUUCAUUAUCCAAGAAGACCAACUCCUGCCUAUGGCAAAUCAAAAGUUUGAAAUUAGCACCUUGAGAUAUUCAGAAAAUUGACCUGUAUAAAGAGGAAAAAGGUCUCAAUCUUGACAUGCAAACAAAGGGUGAUCAGUGAUGUGACUGUUGUCUAAGCAAUUUUAUAAUUUCAAGGAGGUAUAUGGGUCUCCAAAUUAAAACCUGAAUGCAGAGCUAACAAAUCUAUAUAGAACAAGUAGUUCCACAAAAACACAACAGACAAUCAACUUACCUUCUAGAUUCUAGAAGCUGCGUGCGUUGCUCUGCCAACUUAUCAGCACCAUUAUUCACUUCACUUGAGUUGUAGCUGCAAUGUGAACUCCAAGGUUAGGCACUUAAGCAUAUGGUGGCAAUAGACUGAACAAUUUUUGUAACAUACUGUUAACAGAAUUAAAACGAGGGAAGUGAGAAGAAAAGAAGCAAUUAUCAAAAAUCAUCAAAUUAUUAAUGAAUUACAGAAGGGAAACAAUUAUAAAAUGAGGUAUAAUAGCAUGAAGGCAAAAAAUGUCUGAAGAUCAUGCUUUAUUGUUUCUAUUGAAGAGCAAAUGUUUAUAAAAUGAGGCAUGAAGGCAAAAAAAUGUCUGAAGAUUAUACUUUAUUGUUUCUAUUGAAGAGCAAAUGUCACUUAAAUAGACUAUGCUAGAGGAAAUAUGUUAUCAUGUGAAAUCAAGACUAUCACACUUCCCCUCUCUUCUUGCAACAAAAGUGUUCAAAAUAGGACACAAAUCCGAUGACUGAGCCAGGGGCUAGCAAGCCGCAGCAGCAGUCAUGAACUAAAUGCUAGUGCUUGGUUCAAUGUGAACUUUUUUCUGGCAAAAAUGUGGUAGUGAACCAAAUUACUUUAGUAAGAGGCCAAAUAAUACGCAAAUGUACAAUGAUUUAUGAGAUUCAUCUCAGAACAUAACAAAUUUCUGAUAUUUAGUAUCAUGGCGGGGUUAGAUUAGCUUUCAACAGUUGAUAACUUUGUGCUGCCAAAUUAUAAUGCAGUAGAAAUAUAAUGUCGUAGCGUGUAGGUAUGCAAGGAUUGAUGAAACCAAACAAUCAUAAAAUGUAAUAACAUUUCUGGAUACUGAUGGUUGGAAAAGAACAGAUGGUCCUGAAAGGGUGUCAGGUUUGGUUUAUUACAAGUUUUUAUUACACAGUGUGCAGCAAACUCAAUUCCCGAGAUGUAUCUUUGUGACAUUGAUGACCAUCUUAUUGCACUUGGCAACUGGCUGGCAAAAUCUUUUGAGUUUAUUCAUUGCACUUGUAUUAAUAUUCUCAGAGAUUGUACCAUUAGAGGAUUGUUAUGGUCGGGAACGUCUACCAGCGCCGCAACAAGCGGAGCCAUGGCUUAUGGUAGGUGCGGAAAAACAUAGCACGCCAAGUCGUCCAGAUCGUUUGAACUUCAAAUAAUUUAGUUGAUUAACUUGGUUUGUUCUUUUCUUUUUGUUGGAUUAGUUAGAUAAGUUCUUAGGAUUUAGCUAUAAAGCCAAGAACAUUAAUCAUCCAGAUUAAGCAGGAGAUUGAGUUAUUUCUCCGCUUCUUGCUUCCUCGCUCUUGCUCUUCUUCUCUGCUGCGCACAGCGUGGCUCCUCAACGCCAGGGAUUCAAGCCCUUGUCGCCAGUCACCCACUGCUACAGCUAUGCAACGACACAUGUCCUAUCAAGGACUACCAAGAAGGCAGGAGAUGAAUAGCACCAACAAAAAUGUAUACGAAUUCAUUUUGUUUGGAAGAAGAAAAACCCUUGUAGGAUGCAGCAAAAAUACAUAUUGAAGAAAAAAAUAUCUGCCAGCAAAUUACCUCUGUGGCAGGCCCGCUUGAGAAAUAAAAGGUGCAUAUGCAGCUUCUCUCUCUACUGCUAAUCGUUGAGCUUUCUGGAAUUCUUUUAGGACUGCUUGGAAAUCUUUAGCUAGCUUUGCAUCAGCAAUCUUCUUGGUCGCCUGCAAGUCAAUAUGAGAUCAUGACCACAAUUGUAUUAAAAAAAACAACACCACCAACAACAACUGUCAUCCACAAGGAAAAACAAAAUUCCCAGAUAAUAGAGGAAUAGGCAUGGGCACAAAAAUUAUACAGCAGCUGAUACAAGAUUUGUCUUAAAUGCAUGAUGAUAUCUUGCUACAGUUUCCUUUGUCACAGGGAAUGCAACCUUGCCAGAAGAGAAGCAUCGUUGUAAUAAUGAAAGAAAGUUUCUAUAGUUACAUACUUGGCAUCAAAAGUUCCUACUACUUUAUGCAAAACGAAAAUUUGUACAAAACAAAACACAGCACAUUAGGUUUGAUCCUCCCAAUCAGAAUGCAUGAGUUAUCUCUGUUCAAUAACUGCCUUCUUCUGUAAUUGGAACAGAGAGGAUAAAUAUUUGUGUUGCAGGUUCCAGUUCAAAGCACAGCCGCAAAUGUUUUGCAAAAUAAGAUAACAUACUUGCAAAAUUAAUCCCGAACCAGAACCAACACCAAUGCUACAUUAUGAAACAACAAAAGCAAAGGGUGUGGUUCCAAAUUUCAUCACAUCUUGGUGUAGUGGGUGCAAAAAGGAAUGAGGUAAUGCUUUGUACCAUCAAAGAGAACAAGAAAUUUAUACUUAAAAUGAACAAAAUGGCGCAUGGAAAUUUAGUUAAGAAUACCCAUAUAGUUAUAUCGAGAAAUUGAGAUAGGUACAUACGCUGACUUCAACGCGAUGAUCCGCCUCACUAGCUUGUUUAAGCUUGUCUGAUGUAUCCUUCACUAGUUGUGUAAUGUGUUGCCGUGUUUUAUGUCUGCGAUCAAAAGCAAGUGAUAGUUAGUACUUAGUAGUAGACACAUCAAGAUGAUUGGAACUUGCUAGCCUAUAGUAUGGCAUCAUUAGAGUUACUAUUAAUUCAUUCAAUUUCAAAAUAUAACACAAAAUGAGCUAGGACCACAUAAGAACUGAUUCAGAUGACCAAAUGAAUCCAUGUAUGUCGUAUGUCUUGAUUCGCUCAAUUCAAUGACCAAUGACUAUCAGCUAAAGUAAGCAUCAUCAGUCAGGAGCAAAAACGUAUGGAAUUAGCUAAUUGAGUUAAGGACGCAAUCUUCUCUAAAAAAAAUGAGGGAAAAUUAAGCCCCAAGCAACCAUUGGCAACCCUAAUCGAUGUAUCAACCACUUGCGACAGGAAUGGAUGCAUCCACAACAGGGAACGAAACCUAGGCCGUAAUUUUACAGGCGGAUGAAAACCAGAGCGGACCGCGCCCGCGAAAUCGAAACAGAUGGGGGUUAAGGAAAGGCAAUCGAAACAGAUUGUGGGUAAGGUAAGGUAAGGUAAGGUAAGGCGAGGGAGGUAGGCGGACGCACAUCCUGUCGCGGAGGUCGGGGGUGUCCUUGGGCGUGCCGAGCGUGUUGACGAGGCGCUGGAACGUGGCGACCGCGGUGUUGAUCUGGAAGACGCCCGACGCCACGGCCUGCGACGCGCCGGCGCCCCCCGCGGGGCCCCGGCCGUUCCUCCGGCCGCCGCCGAGCGGCGCCCCCCGGACGUGGCCCGCCUCCAGGUCCUGGAAGCUCAUCCUCUUCUCUCCUUCCCCCUGCCUCUCUCCUCUCUCUCUCUCUCUGCCUGGGUAGCUACCGGCCCGGUCGAAUCGCCGCCCCCGCCGCCGCUCGAAUCGAAUCGAAUCGAGGCUCCGGCUCCGAGCAGGAAGGAGAUGGGAUCCGAAUCGGGAGGUCUCUCGCUCGCUCGGCCGGCCGCGAGAGGGGCGAAUUUGGAAUCGGGGGACCGCGUCGUCGCCCUUCGGCUUUCCUCUCUCCCUCUUGUCUUGUGUUUUGUUUCGUUUCGUUUCGUGUGUGGCGUCGGAUUGAAUGGGGAUUCCGGAAUUCACUCGCGGCGGCAGCAAAGCUUUUGUCGCGGGUUCGCGGCGUAAUUAUGCUGUUGGCUUCGGGUCGGGGCCAACAGGCCAAGCCAUUGCCUUGCCCGCCCGGUCGGGCUCCGCUGGAUCGCCUCUAUGCGGUGGUGCGCCUUGGCUGCUGCUGAGGCCUUGUUUAGUUCACUUUAACAAUUAUUUUUUAAGAAAAAUUCUCAAACAUCAAAUCUUACAACAUACAGAGUAUAUAAUAUAUAGAGCAUUAAAUAUAUACGAAAAUAAAAAUUAAUUACAUAGUUUAACUUAAAUCGUAAAAUAUUUUUUUUAAAUCUGAUUAGAUAAUAUUUACUAAAUAAAAACACUAUAGUACUCAAACUCAAAAAAAAAAACGAAACUAACAAGGCCUGACUCUGGCCUCUCGCUGGAAUUGGCCCUCGUGGGUCACGCGCGCCGGCGGCUGUCGCAAGAGACAUGGUCGCGUCUGAAUUGACAGCCAGUUUAAUUUGGCUACGGUGUCAGGAAUCUACAACUCAGAAACGGAUCCGUUCAGGGCGAAACCUGCUACUCCUGCUCCGUGGUCCGUAGUAUAUAUUUUUUUUAUAUAUUUAUAUAAAAGGAGUAGUUUGGAUGAGGCUUGCGACUGCUACCAAGGCGGGCGGCUUGGAAACGAGCAACUUGGCAUGAGGAAUUGAGGAUUAACGCGCCAGCGGGAAGAUUGACACUUGACAGAGUAAUUAACAAUCCAACGCCCACCACCGGUGAAGAGAGGGAAGGAAGGAAGGUUGGGCAAACGGCAGCGUCGCCGUAGGGGCGAAGGAAAAACGGAGGGGGCAGCGAGGUGAGAUUGACAAGGACGGGCAACCUCACCAAGAACCAUUCUCCUAAUGAUCAGCUCUCCGAUCCGCUGUGACGUGAGCCUUUUCAUGCCAAAAGACAUAACUAAAAUGAUUGUUCGUCAAUUUGUUAUAAAAGAAAUAUACUGCUGAAUGACUGGCGAAUUCGGCUGAGAAGCCCAAAUAAAUAAGACCAAUAGCUAAUUAUUAGCUGGACCUCUAGACAAUAAUUAUCUCACUAGUUGAACCAAAUCAGAAAAUAUUAACUAAUAGUUAUCUUAGUAGCAUUUUUCAUUAGUUAUGCACCCUAGCUAAUAUUAGAUAUGAGCUAUUAGCCAGCUAACUAUUACUAGCAUAUUAUGAAUCCAAAACUUUUUCUGAGAGUCAAAAUAUUUUAAGUUUGAUCAAAAUUAUAGAGAGAAUUACAAAUAUUUAUGAUAUUAAAUAGAUAUACUAUGAAUUGUAUAACUAUUAAAUAUUAUGACAUUAUAAAUAUUUAUGACAUUAAAUAGCAUAUUAUGAAUUAUAUAUAUAUAUAUAUAACUAUAUAUUUUUAACAUAGCUCGAUUGAAUUGUACAAUUUAAAAUCCAACAAAUAAACUCACUUUGCGGUGGGAAGUUCAUCGAUCAUCAAAGUACAGCGGACUUAGACUUUGUUUUAGAUCUUCUAAUCUAAUAAAAAAUAAAAUUGAGAUGGAAACUCAUGCACGUAGACCUUUAGAUAUAUGUACGUAUGAUUGUAUAUACUGUAUAGUAAGGAAGUAGUAACUGUGUAGGCAAAGAUGAUGCUACUGCUACGAAUCGAAUUAUGGAAGACUAGCUUCACACGGUGCCCACCCUCCUCUGUCCUCUUUUGUGUCACCUUCGGACCUUCCCAACCUGUACUCUCUGCCGUGAUGAUGGGCACGACUGGGCGGCGGCUCGUGCUCCAGCUGUGUACCAAAACUUUUUUUUCUUUUCUUUUCUUGGUCUUCAUUCAUCGUUUCUCUCUCUCUUUUCUAGGGCGCAUUGGAGAUAUUCCUUAGAUGGUUUCCAUCAUAUACUAUCAUGCAUGUCUCGCUGUGUUUUUGGCGCGUGUCCUUCGCUUCGCUUGUGUCUUUUUUUUAUCUAUUAUUAUUAACUACUACUUCGCUAUUUUCUCCCUUUCUGGAAGAAAACCUCAUGCUACAAAAGUUAUUUUUUUAGAAAAAAUUAUGAUACUAUUUGUUAAUUUAUUAUGAAAGAAAAACAAUGCUACAUAGAUGAUAAAUUUAGAUGAUGAUUACAAACCCAACCACGUUAGUGAGGUACGGAGUACAGUGCUGCACUACUGCUGCUCAUGUGCUGCGACAACCUUCAAGCUCGACCGGUCGACAUCAGGAUUCAGGACGGAGGACACUAAGGCAUGGGUCUUGUUUACUUUCAAAAUUUUUUGAAAAAUGAGCACUGUAGUAACAAAUAUUAUUCAAUCAUAGACUAAAUAGAUUUAAAAAUUUUAUCUCACAAAUUACAGACAAAUUGUGUAAUUAGUUAUUUUUUUAUUUAUAUUUAAUGUUGCACGCAUGUCGCAAGAUUCGAUGUGGCGAUGAAUAUGAAAAGUUUUGCAUAAUUUUUUAGGAAUUAAAUAAGACCCUGGUUUAGUUCCCAUCUUUUAAUUAAUAUUUUCUGUCACAUCGAAUUCUUUGGACGCAUGCAUGAAUCAUUAAAUAUAGACUAAAAUAAAAACUAAUUAUACAGUUUAUCUGUAAUUUAUGAGAUGAAUCUUUUAAGUCUAGUUAGUCCAUGAUUAGACAAUAAUUAUCAAAUACAAACAAAGUGCUACCGUAGUGAAAGCCAAAAUUUUUCGCGAACUAUACAAAAAAAUUCCAAAUUUUUUCAGAUUUCCCGUCGCAUUGAAUCUUACAGCACAUGCACGGAGUAUUAAAUAUAGAUAAAAAUAACUAAUUGUAUAAUUUAUUUGUAAUUUGUAUUUGUCAAAUAAAAAUAAAAGUGCUAUAAUAUCUCUUUUGCAAUUUCGGAAGCCUAACAAUUCGGAGAGAGCCUUUUCUGGUAUGGGAUGGAGGGGAAAACGCAACCAAGGCAGGACACGAGGACCAUCCAUGAACACGCGGCGUCACUUGAUAGUGCCAGCGCGGUGCAGCUGCUGCCUGCAGCUGCGUUGGACUUGGACCCAGUCCAUUCAAUUUAGAUCUCGUGUGGUCAAAUGUGUUUGGGUCACCGACUGAUCGAGUCCGAAUUGACCACUCGUUCAAGAUGCCCAUGCAUCAAUGUGUGGAUUUGGACUUGAUCGAUAAUCCACAGCUGAAGCUGAGGUAUCCAUCCACCAGCUCUGACCAAGCGCGUAUGGCAAGUAAGUGCAUGCUUAGCUUAAUUCUCGUAGUGCCUAGGUGUAGUGAGGGAGGGUAUAAGGUAACAAGUCAGCAUCUGAUCGAUCUUCUGGAUAAACAACCUCACCUAGUCCUAGCACAGUAAGCCCAUGUUUAGUUCUCAAAAUUUUUUAAGAUUUUCCGUCACAUCGAAUCUUUAAACGCAUGCAUAAAGUAUUAAAUAUAGAUAAAAAUAUAAUUAAUUACAAAAUUUAUCUGUAAUUUGUGAGACAAAUCUUUUGAGCCUAGUUAGUUCAUAGUCGGACAAUAAUUAUCAAAUACAAACGAAAAUGGUACAAUGUCAAAAUCAAAAAAAAAUUGCUAACUAAAUAAGACCUAAGAUGAAUCUUUUUUUUUGAGAUUACACAGUACAACGCAGACACUCAACACGCACGCACACUCACCCCUAUGAACACACGUACGCAAACCCUACCCCUAUGAGCACCUUCGAAGGACUGAGCCAGCGAAUCUUGAAGUUCACGAAGUCACCACAGGCGCCUCGCUGUCGACGGGCACGUCGCCUACCAUUUAAUGCAUAGCACCGGAAAAUCCUGAAAUAAAUCCAGAAUAAAGUGCCGCACCCAGGAUUUGAACCCUGGGUGGGAGCCCCCGAACCAAUGGCCUUUGCCAUUGCGAUGAAUCUGGUAAAAAGAUGCAGAGCUCCAUCGAUAUGAUUACCCAUUACCUAACUGAGCUGGAGCAAACUGCUUAGCUGUACCCCCAGACGCCACCUGAUCCAGCUUCAUCGACUCCUUCUCCUUCACAUAGAUUGCCGUCACACUGGCGCUUUGUUCUUGUACCAUAUAUCACUAUAAUUUUGCUUUUGACAUUCUAGGUCUUCUCCGUUUCGUUCCAAAAUAUAGGUGGAUUUAUUUUUUUAUUAAGUAUCUACAACAUCAAAUUAGUUUUAGUGUUUUUCAUGAAAUAUUUCUUGAUAGUAUACUUCUUUGAAAUUUUAGAUGUUAACGCACUUUAAAAAAAUAGUGACUAAUGUUUCACCAAAUCUAUAUAAAAAAUACUAACGCCUAUAAUACUAAAUAACUAUCAUUAAAAUAACUAUAAAAUAUUUUUCUCAGAAUAAAUCUUUUUGAAGACAUAAGUAUUGAUACUACUUUUUUUUGUAAACUUGCUCAAAUUUGAGAAAAUUUAACUUGUUCUAAACCUAGAAUUGUAAGGAGGAGUAGAAAAGUUAGACUUAAAAUCAAACUAAGGUAACAAACGAUUUUGGACUAUAGCGGGUAUGUAGGAGGAGAAAGAUAGUUAGAUACCUCCUCUAUUUGGUGGUUUCAUGUUCUUGUUAUUCCAUUAUUGUUCUUAAUAUUUGCUUUUUGAAAGUUUGAAAGAACGAGUGACCCCCCCUAUCUGUAGGUCUCACUGUAGGCCACAAGCCACCUGAUCCAACUUCAUCGGCUCCUUAAACAUAGAUUUGACGUGACGCCAAUGCUAUGUUCUGAUCCUGCAUUAAUUUUGCUUUUGCUAUUUUAGUUUCUAUACUGUAUUCUAAUUUAACCAAUUUUUUAUAGAAAAAAAUAAACCAACGUUUACCACAUUUUAAAAGUUUUAAAUUAAAUUAUAUAUUUUUGACAGUGCACCUAUUGAGCUCGCAGAUUUUAAAUAGUCUUUUAAAAAUAAUUUAGUUAAAUUUAGAUACAUUUGUUUUGGAACAAAGUUAAUAGCCUAUAGUUUGGAGCGGAGGGGUAAGAUUUUGGGGGGAAAUAUGGUUAGAUACCUUACUAAUUCGAUCAUUUUAUUUUUUCUUAUUCUUUAGUAAAAAUUUAAAAGGGUUAUUCUUCAUAUUUGUUUUUGAAAGUGUAGAAUAUAACCAGGGAAUCUAAAUAUGGCCAUUUUCAAUUGUCACCGUGCCGGCCGUCUGCCAAUGGAGGCCCAUGAGGCCAUGACACGAGUAAGUCGUGGCCCACCAGGAAACCGCUCAGCUCGACCGGUUCGCUGGCUCCGGCUGACGCUACACUGAAAUAGUGGUCACUAGAGACAGUCAGCGACGAUAUUAUGCUCCUAUCUGUUGCAAAUUUGUGUUCCUUAAAAAAAAUCUGUUGCAAACUACUCCCUCCGUUUCAAAUUAUAAUCCAUUUGAAUUUUUUAACAAAUAUUUGACCACUUAUCUUAUUUAAAUUUUUGUAUAAAACAUUGUUUCUUUUGUUGUGACUUGCUUUUUAAUAAAAGUUUUUUAAGUAUGAUUUGAAUUUGGGUAUAUUUACACAUAUUUUUUUAAUAAGAUGAGUGGUUUAACUUUUAGUUGAAAAAGUCAAAUAAAUUAUAAUUUGGAGCUGAGGUAGUAGUAUCCUCCCACAUGCACCUUGUGUUGAUUUUUACCUACAUUUUACAUCUGUUGGAAGAUGACCGGCACGGUGAGUGUAGAGUGGAGACAAUCAGCGACCAACUCGUGUCAUGGCCUUAAAAGAUGGUCUCUUUUCUAUACCACUUGUUGGCAGUGGUCAGUGGAGAGUGGAGACCAUCAACGACGAUUUGAGUCUGUUCGUUUGUCACCUGUACUUUUUUUUAUAUUUUUCUCUCAUAAUAAAUUAGCGAACAAUAUUACUCCUUUUGUUGCAAAUUAGUAUCCUGCCACAUCCACAUACUUCCUCUGUCAAAUGUACCUAUAGUAUUAAAUCAAACAAUAUUUCAUUUAAUCAGAUAUUUAAAAAUAUAUAGAUAUUUAUGAUAUUAAAUAAGUACCAUUAUAGAUUCAUCAUGAAAUAUUUUCAUAGUAUAUCUAUUUAUAGUCACAAUUGGUGAUACUAUUUUUUGUAAAUUUAGUCAAAAAAUAGUUUGACUUGCAUCAGAAAUAGAAGUGUCUCUUUUUUGGAUAGAAAUUAUAUAAUCGAGUUAUUGAAUAUUUGAGUUGAAUCAUGCAAUUCUUUGCCAGAGCAUGGCCUCAGGUCACUCGCUGCCACAUAACAAAUUCUAUAACUGUACUACUCAGAUGAGAGACUUAAAAGGUGCAUCAGCCGUGGCAUACUGGCAUAGGCUACAAGUAGGGAUGGAUUUCAAUCAGAUGUGAAUGGAAUAUUAUUUAUCGUUACUUUAAUUUGAAUUCAAAAAUAAAUGUGGAUGUUACGUAUAAGGAAAAAGACGGAAAGUUUGAAUUUGGACUCGCAUUCAUAUAUCUACUUGAUUUUGAAGGUAACAAAUAUCUAUUUGCUUUACUGAUUGUUUUACCAAAACUAAAUCAUUAUACAAAUAGGGAUUAAACUAUGAGUUAUGACCAGUGAUGGACGUAGAAUUUUUUUUAAGUGGGACGAACUUUAGCUAAAAGUUAAACUUAAGAUGGAAAAAAAAACAACGUGCACAUUGCAAUCGCACAAAUUAUAGUAAAAUAGUGAGCGAACAACAAAUUAUAAGUUUUGUUUUUUUCACAAAACCAUUGAAAAUCCAUCAAAAGAAUAUGAUGAAUAUUAGAAGAUAUACACGCACCCAUGAAUACCCAUGCUCCAUCGACGGUAGAUCAAGAGGCUCGGGUUUGAACAAUCAAGUCGCCAGAACUCCGAUUUGAGGCGUCACCAGUCGGCCAGCACGUCUCCAAGCCAUGCGCCCAAGCGGUCGCUCAGGUGGCCGGCUGGCAUGGCCGCAUGGCUAAGCCACAGCCAAGUCCAAAAGUGAUGCAAGUCACCGUGUUUGGUUGCCGAGCCUUGUGGAGCCGAGUCCAAACGAGAAUAUGACAGUUCACCUAAAAACAAAAAAAAAUUAUCAAGAUUUUUUGUCACAUCAAAUCUUACGGCACAUGCAUAUAACAUUAAAUAUAGAUGAAAAUAAAAACUAAUUGUACAAUUUAUCUGUAAAUCACGAGACAAAUCUUUUAAGUCUAAUUACUAUAUAAUUGGACAAUGUUUGUCAAAUAAAAAUAAAAGUGUUACAGUGUCAAAAUCCAAAAACGUUUCGCACCUAAACAAAGCCUAUGUUUGGUUGCCAAUGCACAAGAAGUCAACAAGUAUUAGUACCUUGCACAGGGUUGUGGUAGCCUUAUCACCAUAGAAGACUUCGCUGGUAUUUCGUCGAGCAGUCGAUGGGCGGUGGCGGCUCUACACCCAUGGUGUUGAGGGGGUUUGGCGCCGGUGCGGUGAAGAUCGGACGACGCAAGUCGAUGCCCGAGGUCACGGCCAGCUCAAUGAGGCAAAGGUGGCGCAGAGGAAGCAGAUGACUGGCGGCAAAUGGCGUGGCCGCGGCACGACGACGAGGUGAGGACGAGGCUGCUCGGUUCGGCGAAGGAAACGACGACGGUUGGUGGGGAAUCCGGCAUCCCCGAGCCCACACCUAAAGUUGAGCAUGCAGCCCGCGGGCCAAAGGCACGGUCAUUUGGCCCGGCCCGAGCACGGCACGGUCCGAUCCUAACUGGGCCCGGGCCGGCCCGAAGCACGUUGCGGGCCGUGCUUGGGCCGACCCCUCGGCCCGCUGGGCGGCACGGCACGCUUUUAACAGCAGGCACGGUGUCGGCACGGUAUGAGAAAAUUUGUGAAACUUGAAGUAUCAGGUUCUAUGACUUGUGAAAUUUGUGACUUUUGGCAAGUAAAAUAUAAUAUGAGAGUAUAUUGUGUUAUGUGAAUUGUGAAGUAUUAAUGUAUGUGACUUGAAUGUAAUAUAUUUAUGCUUUGUUAAAUUCUGUAUUAAAUUUGAUGUUUUUCAUAUAUCGGGCCAUGGGCCGGCUCGAAGGACUAUUGGGCCUCGUGCCUUUCGGCCCGGCCCGGCACGAAAAUCGGCCCACGGGCCGUGCCUGGGCCGUCAGGCAGGCACGGCCAUACGGGCCCGUGCCCUUUUGGCCCGUGCCAGGCCGUGCCGGGCCGGUCCGUUGCUCAUCUUUACCCACACCGCACCCGCUUGGGCGGCAGUGCCGGAGUGGACGCCCGCUGAGACGCUGGAGCUAGUCACCGAGGUCAUGGCCAUAGACGACGGCAGGUCCCGCUCUGUCUCUGUGUUCCAGAAGUGGGCUACCCCUUUACCUGCUGUUGCUGCGAGAGGUGGUGGCGCGUGUCUGUGGAGGCGUCCGAGUCGUCCAUCUUGGCGCUACCUUCUUGAAGGCCGAGCCGCCGAGGUGCUUGCAUUGCCUGCAGCUGGUGGAGGGUGAAGUAGAUGAAGGAGGCAGGCGCACCGAAGACACGGACGAGGCAAAGGAGAUGCCUAGCAGCAGAAGGGGAGACGGAGGGAGGUGACCGCAUCGGUCCAGUGAGGCCACGAAGCCCUCGAACAAGCCAGACUCCAUAAAAAUAAAGCCCCCCCAUCGUUUCUCCAAGGCCUUGUUUAGUUCACCCUGAAAACCAAAAAAAUUUCAAGAUUUCCCGUCACAUCGAAUCUUGUGGCAUAUGCAUGAAAUAUUAAAUAUAGACAAAAACAAAAACUAAUUACACAGUUUAGCUGUAAAUCACGAGACGAAUCUUUUGAUCCUAGUUAGUCCAUGAUUAGAUAAUAUUUAUCACAAACAAACGAAAGUGCUACAGUACCGAAAAGUUUUCACUUUUCGGAACUAAACAAGGCCCAAGGCCUGACCCAACAUGCUUUAGGGUGUGUUUGGUUGGGCUGUGACUUUUGGAAAAGCUACUGUGAGCUUUGAGCUUUUGAAAAGCUGCUGUGGAAUGUGGGCUUUGAGAAACCCAAAAGUCAUUUCGUUGGUCACUCGUGGCUUUUGGAAAAAAAACUGAACGGAUUCCAAAAGUCAGUGAAAGCAGGGGGUGAGGUGCUUUUGGAUUUGUACUACGAGAAAAGCUGCUUUUGGGCAAAAGCACUUGUGGCUUUUGGGCCCUUUGGUUGGCUUUUGGCUUUUACAAAAGUAAAAGCAGGUUCAAAAGCCCAGCAAAGGGACCUUUAAGUUCCGUGUGGAACAGCCUCCGAGGCUGGAUCAAUUGCACCAAACACGAUAUGUUGUAGCUGGGGAGCUCGAGCCACCCUUCCGGCCUGAUAUCAAAUACGCCCUCAAUGUUCCGUGGAGAGAAACACUAUCUGAGCAUAACGAGGGCAGCAGACGUGGCGCGCCUCAUAUCGUCUGGACUAGAGUUAACUGGGCUACAAUCGCAAAAAAAAAAUUAAAAAUAGAGAGCUAACUGGGCUACCAGCUAAUUGGACUAUUCACUGUCUACUUGUCUUUAAUUUGCUUGGCCCAUAAACAGACCAUUACCACCUACGUCAACAGCAAGCCCAGGAGGAGGCUAUUUUCUCCAAGGAAAAAGUCCACUUUAGGUCCCUUAACUUUCACGAAAGUCUAAUUUUUAUCCCUGAACUCUAAAAUCAGAUAAGUUACAUCCCUCAACUUUUAAAACCGUGCACAUUACAUCCUUGGCCUAGUUUUGAAAGCGGUUUUGUCCUUUUCUUUUUAUUUAAUUUAGCUGACUUUUUUUUGAAAAAUCACAGUAAAUCACAUAAAAAUCAUAAAAUAGAAAACUCAAUUUUGUUGAACUUCUGAUGAGUAGAUCUACAUAUUAAAUAUAUAAUAUAGUAUAUUUUAGUAUAAUUUUUUUUGAUGCAGCUUUAGAUCUAUGCUUUUCUGUAAUUAAUUAGACUAAUUAUAGCUACAGUUUAUAUGGUCCAAUUGUGAUGAAAUUUAUAUGGUGGGCUAUUAUUCUAUGAUUGAGUUGUAGUAAAAAUUUCAUACUCAUUGGAACAUGUAUUACUUAGUUAUAGAUUUAUUUAGGUUUAUGCUUGUUAAAUCUUAAUAAAUCUAUAACUAAGUUAUACAUGAUCUAAUGAGUAUUAAAUUUUUACCACAAUUUAAACAUAUAAUAAUUAGCCCAACAUAAAAAAUUCAUCAUAAUUGGACCAUAUAAACUAUAGCUAUGAACUAUUCUAAUUAAUUAUAGAAAAACACAGAUCUAAAGCUACAACAAAAACUUUCUACUAAAGCAUACCAUAUUAUAUGUUCAUUGUGUAGAUCUACUUAUUUGGAGUCCAACAAAUUCAGAUUUACUAUUUUAUGAAUUUAAUGUGAUUUACUAUAAUUUUACAAAUAUUCAGCCAAAAUAAAUAAAAAUGAAAAAAACAAAACUGCCUUCAAAACCGCUCAUAAUCAUGUUAGGGACGUAAUAUGCAUGGUUUCAAAAAUUGAGGGAUGUAUUUUACCCGAUUUUGAAAUUCAAAGAUGAAAAACAGACUUUUGCGAAAGUUGAGGGACCGACUUUUUCCUUUCUCUGGCCCACGAGGAGGCUUUCUUCUCCGAUCCGAUCGGCUGGAGCAGCCGCCGCCCGCCGCCGUUUCUUCAAGCCAAAAGAAGAAAAAAACGCAGGCUAGGGGAAAAAACCGGGAGGUCUCUUGAGGUUCGACGGCCGCCCCACCUACACUAGUCCGCCCCUAGUACACCUUCAAAAUAUGUAGAGGCAAAGUAGUACCGCCCCGCUAUGCUCAACUCGUCCCCAGAUUGUUUUUUUCACUCACUACUCGCAAUCAGAAUAGAUAUCAAACAAAAUCAAAUUAAAUCGUUCUAAAUCUAAAUCGCCCUCAUGUCCAGAUUCUUUUUGCCUCGCUUCUCCAAAUCAGAAUUGAAUAUCAGAAUUGAAUAUCAAAUCAGAUCAAAUCGUUCGAAAUGUAAAUCGGAAAAAAUAUCAAACUAAAUUAAAUGAAAUCGAAAAAACACAAGUCGUCGGUAGUGCUUGGUGCGUGGAACCGAGGAGGCUAAGGUCUUCACCCGACACGGACAACGACUCGAACUCAACCUCGCGUCACCUGCACGAGCGCUCAUGGACCACCAAACUUAGGCCCAGCGUCACUAUAAAAAUAAUAAGAGUAGGUACAAUAACACUCUGAUUUCAUCGAUCAGCUCGUCAUGCAUACAUAUACACUUUCUUAUGCAAAGGUUAACUCUUUCUUUCUUAUCCUUACAUAUUAAAAAAAUAGACUAUAAAAGAUAAUUGUUGUAUGAGCUAGACUCUAAACUUGUCUAUUGAUGAUUUAGCUUGGCUUAUAGACAUGUUUUAUUAAGCUUGCUCUAAAACCCGCUCUCACGUGACCUCGAUCCAGUCCCAAACUCGAGACAAAACCUGUGCUGUACUUAGCAGACAAUUAAGUCUUACCGCUAUCAAUGUAAAGUGAAACUAUUAUGUAUGUUUAAUAUGUUUAUCUAAAUCGUAAACUAUUAUGUAUGGCUAGAGGAAGGUGGAGACGGCUUUAUAUUUUCUAUAUAACUAGAUUUAUAGAUUUUUUUAAUAUGUUUAUCUAAAUCGUAACUCACGAACGGACUCUGAUCAGCUAUUAUCAUCGCUGGAGAAUGUCAUCACCAAAUAACUUAUUGCUGAAACUGAAAAACGUUUGUGAUGGCCUUUUACGAACCGCUUAUGAUAGGUUUGAAUAUAUAUAGUAGUUCUUCACCAUAUAUAUAUGGCACACUUGCUCAUGAAAAUUCUUGGUUCAUGUGUCUAAACUGGUUGUAAACUUACAACUCAUUUCUCCUCUCUCUUUUUUUUUUCUCUCCUCUCCACUUUAGUAUUUAGUUAGUUUAUGACGUGUUAUUAUACUUGCUCUAAGAACAGCUACAACGUGUGCUAAAAACGAUGCUUUAACUCUCAAUGCAUGUUUCAUGAAAGUGUCAUGCACAUUAAAUAGGGUGCCACAUAAGCAAAUUUGCUGACUUGACAGGGUCAUUAAAUGAAGGAGUUUCAUCAGAUGAGAGAGGAGUUUCAUCCUCAUGAAACUUUUAUGGCUCGGUUACAUAAUUUAUAGUUUUGAUAACUGUGUCAUAAAACUAUGCAUCGAGACUGACCUAAGCCUCGGUAUGCACAUGGCGAAGCGAUGCCGGAACUAUAGAGCGGCUAACAUUGAUGACUCUACUCACCUCGAUGCUUCAUCGAUAAAAUAUUUUUCUGUCCCGAUAGUAUUCAAGUUGAUGUAGCUCGUCGCACUCAAAGCCACUAUGAUAUGAUAGAGCUCCACUUCUUGAUUCUAUUAAGAAGGGAUUCUGGUGCGAAGUAAGUGAGAAUUAAUUCUAAAAUAAUUCCUGUGGCAAAUAAAUAAAGACUAGCGAAAAAUGGUGGAGAGUGUUUUUUUUAAAGCUUUUAGAUAGUGUAAAUAGAGAAGUGAUUUUUAUCAACUAUCCUACGGAAUAUAGUUACAUUUUAAGUAUUUGCACGGCUCCAUAGAAGCUAAAGGAAGAUGAGUUCAGGAGCUAUGCUAAAGAAGCUUUUUUGUGUUAUGGAGAGAAAUACAAGAGGUUUUCCGUUUUUCAUUAAAAGAAAGGUAAUCAAAUAUUACAAGAGCAGGACUAAAUGAGCCUCGAAUGUUAUUAACUUCUUGUGUUAUGGAGAGAAAUACUCUAUUUAUUUGAUAGUGGCCCUACAUGUGAAGCAUCGUUUUUUUUUUGACAAGUCAAGCAUCGUUGUUGACGUUUUUUCUAGAUUGUUGUUUUUUUUAUGUGGUUAUGAAAUGACAUUUCAACCUCGACUACAUCGCGGGUGUUACACACGAUGGCUGGCAAUUGGCCCCACUCAUCAUAGACACACACAGACACAGGAAUACGUGUGAUGUGAACGAAAUCAUGUCUCUUUCUCGGGUCUUGUUUAGAUCCAAAAACUUUUUAGAUUUUAACACUGUAUCACUUUCGUUUUAUUUGACAAAUAUUAUUUAAUCAUAGAGCAACUAGACUUAAAAGAUUCGUCUCGUGAUUUACAAGUAAACUUUGCAAUUAGUUAUCUUUUUUAUUUAUAUUUAAUGUUCCAUACAUGUGCCGUAAGAUUCUGUGACGAGGAAUCUUGUAAAGUUUUGGAUAAACAAGACCUGAUUCGAAGGCGCAUUCCUGCCAGAGCGCUUCCCUUACUUCAUCGCAGCGUAACGUGUGACACCGUCCGUUCGGCACUUCGGCCUCCUCGCACGCCCCCAAAUCCCCCAGCUGCGCUUCCAAAGCCAGCAGCCGGCGGGCCCCUCUACAAAAGCAGGCGGCUUGCGCGUGCGCGACGGGCAGCAGCACCUGCCUCUGCCUGAGCCAGUACGCCUCGGUGAGCAGACAAGCGAUGGCGGCCACGGUGGAGGGGGUGCGGCACCGGACGGUGGAGGCGAACGGAGUGCGCCUGCACGUGGCGGAGGCUGGGCCCGAGGAGGCCGGCGCCCCCGUGGUGCUGCUCGUUCACGGCUUCCCGGACCUCUGGUACGGCUGGCGCCACCAGAUGGCCGCCCUGGCGGCGCGCGGCUACCGCGCCGUGGCCCCGGACCUCCGCGGCUACGGCGACUCCGACUCCCCGCCCGACGCGUCCAGCUACACCACCUUCCAUGUCGUCGGGGACCUCGUCGCGCUCAUCUCCGACCUCGGCCAGCCCCGGGUCCGUUCGAUUCGUUGCACACCAAUCCAAGCUGCGACGCAGAAACGCGACGUUGACUUCUUUUUUUCUUUCUUUUUGAUUUGAUCGGGUUAUCUUCUCGCAAUCUCGCUGCAGGUGUUCGUGGUGGGGCACGACUGGGGCGCCAUCGUGGCGUGGCAGCUGUGUCUGCUCCGGCCGGACCUGGUGCGGGCGCUCGUGAACCUCAGCGUCGUGUACCACCCGCGGCGGCCGGAGAUGAGCCCGCUCCAGACCAUCAGGGCUGCCUGCGGCGAAGACCACUACAUGUGCCGCUUCCAGGUAAACAAAGGCCUUGUUUACUUCCCAAAAAAUUUUGCAAAUUUUUUCACAUUCUCCGUCACAUCAAAUCUUUAAACGCAUGCAUGAGGUAUUAAAUAUAAACGAAAAUAAAAACUAAUUGCACAGUUUGGUCGGAAUUGACGAGACGAAUCUUUUGAGCCUAGUUAGUAUAUGAUUGGACAAUGUUUGUCAAAUAUAAACGAAAAUGCUACAGUGUCAAUUUUCUAAAAUUUUUGGGAACUAAACAAGGCCAAAGUGGAGUACUCUGCUUCCAUUCCUAUUGCAUACUGCUAUUGCAGUCUCCUAUCGGCAGACAGGAUCAAUCAAUGCUCUUUAUUUAUGAUGAGUAGCCAUGUUCCGUCCUCUGCCCUGAUAACCAUUGGUUCGGGCGUUUGGCACUUUUCGUUAAUUUGGCAGAUUCGAUGGAUGCUAGAAUGAUUACUUGGUGCCUUAAUUUGUUUCUCCUAGCGGUUAAGGAUUGGAUUUGGCACCCCGCACAGAUAAUGCUGGGAGUGAUGAUAAACAGAAACAGCUAGAAGUAUCCACAGUUGCAGUCUUGCAGAUAGAUAAGGGUGACGAAAUAAAUGCUACUGGGAACUUCUAAUUUAAAAAAUGAAGCACAGCCCAUAGAUUGAACUGGGAGGAGGUUAGCAGAUCAUUUGAUAGAAACUUGAAUACUUAGUCCUGUGGUUUAUUUUUUUAGACAAUAGGCUUCCCUACAACAAAUUAAUAUCAACAGAGUAACAGUUGUGUGCAAGUUUCUUAAUAUAGGCCUUGUUUAGUUCCCAAAUAAUUUUGCAAAAUUUUUCGGAUUUCCCGUCACAUUGAAUCUUUAGAUACAUGCAUGGAAUAUUAAAUAUAGAUGAAAAUAAAAACUAAUUGCACAGUUUGGUCGGAAUUGACGAGACGAGUCUUUUAAGCCUAGUUAGUCCAUGAUUGGACAAUAUUUGUCAAAUACAAACGAAAGUGCUACAGUGUCGAUUUCUCAAAGUUUUUUGGAACUAAACAAGGCCAUAAUGAUAUGUGUUUGAGAAAAAAAAAAUUUGUGCAAGGGUCCAAACAAAAGCAUAGUUUAUAGGAAAUAUCAGGUCUUCUUUGGAGCUCUAUCAAUGAAUAUCAGCAUGCAGCACCAGGUCUUUUAGAGCUGCAAAACUUACCUAACUAUUCAGAUUGUCUCACUGCUUUUAGUUCAUUUGAAUCUUCAAGGGAAUACUCUUUGAUGUCACUGUCUUGAAAUCAUCUACUUUGUUGCAUUUCCAUAGUGCGGUUAUGUGGAACUAGCUAUUUUAAUUCUACAUUGUGAUAUAUUUUGUGCAUAUCAAUGUCCCUUUAUACUUUUUUUUUAAUUUUUUUUUUGAAAAAUACUGUACAUAUCGAAUUACAUAAGAAUGCAUACAGGAACCUGGUGUUGCUGAAGCUGAGUUUGCUCUGUAUGACACCAAGUAUGUGUUUAAGAAGACAUUCGGCAUGCGCAAGCCAGCUCCUCUUGUUCUACCUAAGGACAAGAGCUUCUUUGAUUCACUUGAUUCAGAUGGAACUUGUCCUCCAUGGCUAUCAGAGGAAGAUAUUUCCUACUAUGCAGAAAAAUUUGCGAAAACAGGCUUUACUGGAGGACUUAACUACUACAGAUGCAUGGACAGGUAUGUGUCUUAUGGUCAGUCAACAGUUUUGAUUUUGCAAUUUACUUCUUUAUUGAUGCUAUCAAUCAUUUGCCAUUCAACAAUUUCCCGUUUUUUAUUUGCCAUGGGAUAACUGAAAGUAUCAAUUCAUGAUUGAUUAGACCAUUCAAAUGUGCAAGUUGAUUUUAUUUUGAAUUUACACCUUUUUUCAUGCGGUUUGGGUGUGUGUGGGGUCGGGGGUCACGUAUACUACCUCUGUUCUAAGAAACAUGUCGUUUUAGCUUUGUCUGAAGCAAAACUUUUCAAAUUUGACCAGUCUUAUAUACAGAGAAGAUUGUCAACAUUUAUUAUAGCAAGUAUGUGUAAUAUGAAAACAUGUUCCGCGUCAUACUUAUUUGGUGACACAAAUAUAAAUAUUGUCUUAGACUUGGUUAAAUGUAAGAUAGUUUGACUUAAAAUUCUUAUAGAAGAACUAGAAUCUCAAUUUUUCUUAGACGGAGCUAGUAUAAUGUUUGAAAAGGAGAGGAAUUAAUGACAAAUAUAAGUUUUACGAAUUACUGAACUCGAUUUCAUUUGGUGCCAACUGCCAACCAAUGUAAAUUCGACCUUUAUGUACAGAAGAGGCUUUAUUUAGAGCUGACAGAGGCAUUUGUAAGGUCUCACGAGAUCCAUUUCGUGGUCAUGCAGGAGCUGGGAGCUUUCUGCACCAUGGACUGGAGCUCAGAUAAAAGUUCCGUCAAAAUUCAUUGUUGGGGACCUAGACAUUACAUACAACGCCCCCGGGGUACCAGACUACAUUCACAAGGGUGGCUUCAAGGCAAGCGUGCCAAAUCUAGAGGACGUGGUUAUUAUGGAGGGAGUGAGCCACUUCCUCAACCAGGAGAAGCCUAAUGAGGUCUCUGAUCACAUCUGCGAGUUCUUUAGCAAGUUCUGAUAUGUAUGUAUAAGGAAAAAUGUCAAGGAGCAAUUAUAUGCUUCUGAGCUACUUUUAUGUCAAAUGCGGUUGCCAGUGUCACCAUACAAAUAUAUAUGAAUCUAAAUAAAAUUCGUCUGUCUCUGAUCAAAAUUUUGAAGAUCUUCACUUGUCACAGAGUGUUUGCCUUCUUACUGCAUUGAAGUUUUAACAUGUGUUUAUAAACCGUUCGCUUGUCUUAUAAGCCGUACUUUUUCUACCAGUCAACAAUGUUUUUCUCUCACGAUAAAUCAAUGAACAAUAUUUUUAGCUAUGACUUGACUUUUCAGACCGACGAACAGAAUUAGGAUACAACUUUGAACCCAAUGGGCCGGGCCAGCAAUUGAGAUGACAUUCUGCGCGACGAGAUGAGCGGCCUGCGGCAAGUGGUUGGCUGCUACAGUGCUACCUCUCCCACCAGAUCACCAGAGACUUGCCGUCAUCGACCCGGCCAGCCAAUGCAUUGCUUAUAUGUGGAGACAUGCACGAAAAAAAAAUAUUAAAAGAAAAAAAUAUUCAAGUUCUGAUGACAUAUAAUAUUAACAGCAUGUAUCAUGUGGUUUAACUUUGUAGCACCACUAGGACAUCACGACGAUGACUUGAGCAGACUCAUUGGACCAUCAGCGGCAACCAAAACAUGAGACUUCUUAGACUCUCAAUCCAAUGUCUGCGAACAAGCAACAUCUAGAUGGACGCGAUGUCAUCAUCGGUUUGCGUACGAUCGAGAGCGCAUGAUCGAGCAGAAAGGCAGUUUAGACAUGCUCACGAUGCCAGACUAAACACGUUUUCUAAAAUCAUGUUCUGUAUUAUGGUGCGCGGCUCACAGAAAAUAGAGCAUGAUUUUAGUGAAAGUAUGAAAUUAGUUUUAUAUUUUUUUGAGUUAUAUGAAAUUUCUAUAAACUUUCAAUAUUAACUAGUAUUUUUAAAUGCAUAUUUACUGAAAAAACAAGACUUGUUUUUUUGAAGUUAUUUCUAAACUUUAUUUUUUGAUAAAUUCUAGGCUCCCUGAAUGACAUGGCGCCCAGGCUAAUGUUUUUUUUUCACGAUUGGGCUACACCUAUAGGACGGCUAACGUGGCAUCAUAUCAACCAAAACUGCUCCAAAAUUAUUCAAGAGAGGUAAAUUGGAUGGCUUCAAAAGUUAGAUGAGUGUAAAAAUCUAGUUUCCUGAUUGAAGGAGGCAAAUUGGACUUAUAAAUAAUUGAGGGAGAUGAGAUGGCCUUAAUUUUUUUUCAUGAACCUAGCUAGUCGCCUGAACACAGACAACAGUUUUGUGUCUUGGACAAUGGUUGCUUGUAUUGGAAUUCUGAGCAUUUCAAUAGCGAUUCUUUGAGUAACAUGAAGAACGGAGCAGAUCUCAUGCAUCUAUAAGAAUUGCAUAAUCGGUGCUUUACUGCUUUUGGUACAUUCUCUAGCAAUUUUCUUUUCUUUUUGAACCUCUUGGUAUCUUUAAGGAAUGAUAAAAAUCUCUUGAUCAGUUGUAUCCAAGAUGAAGCUUGGACUCAAAGGUAGGGUAUUUUUUUUCAUAAAUACACAGGGACUUUUGUACGAGACGCAAUAGUAUCUCUAGUUAUAGUAACUCUAGUAUGCAAUCAUGUAAAUAUCUCUUCUCGCCAUCCCCAUAUAGCAUAUUAGAAAAAUGCAUGCAUUUUGAGAAGGGUCGUAUUCUAUUGUUACAAUUCUACUGAAUAUACCUUUUUAUUCUGUUCAGAAUUGGUUUUACAGUAUUGGUGCUUAUGAUUUGGGGGCAAUGACUCCUUUGGCAUUACGGUCUUCCCACAAUGGUGUUGUCCAUGAACCGAUUUAUCUGCGGAUUAAAUUUUGAUUAUUUUGACAAAAGCAAGGAAAUGUGCUUAAGCAGGUCCACUUGAGAACACUUGGUGACAACAUAGUGCCGUUGUCGUAUGUUUGUUUAAUAGGGAAUUUAACUAUUGAUUUCAGUUAUAAACAAACUGAGUACUUGUGUGCUUGGACAUUAUAUUGUGAUAUACCGAUACUGAAGGAUAAGUUUUGAGAAAUAAGUAAUAUAUGAACACCAACUACUUUCAAAAAAUGAUAUUGAACACUAGCUUCAAGUUUGCCUUUUAUUUAUUGAACUAUUUGAGUGGUUAUUCACUUUAGGAACUGUCUUUUCCGGUUCAUACAUAGUCCAAGUAUACCAACUAAGGCAUUUCCAAGACCAGCUUCAAGCUUGCCUUUAUUUAUUGAACUAUUUGAGUGGUUAUUCACUUUAGGAAUCGUCAGGUUCAUACGUAGUCCAAGUAUACCAACUAAGGCAUUUCCACCAUCUUGUUGAAAUCCAUUUUUUAUAUCCUUGUUUCUCACAGGGAUGACUUAUGUAGCAGUAAUGGGAUAUGACCAUUCUCCUGUAGGCUGACCACUGUGUUGUAUAAACUCUCUUUCAAAGGAGUGAACUUCAUACCCAAAGCAACGAGCCUUUGUGUGGAGAACUUGUAAGGCUUGAUCAUUGGCUUGUUUUCAUCCUUGCAUCUAAUUAAAUGGUUAGACAAACAAAGGAAAAGUUAAAAUCCGCAAAGCCAAAUACUAAAUGAUGACGUAUAUAAUCUAUUCUUUGUGGGAAAGAGGAGCAAAUUAAGUUUCCCUGGUGACAUUAUCUUUAGAUACAUUUUGGUGGUGGUGGGUGGCGGGUAGGGGGCAAGGGAAUCCCCACACCUUGUUUUAAUGUUUAACCAGUUAGUUUUGAGAUCAACAAUAUUUCUAAAAGAGUAGCAUAAAUUAGACAAACAUGCAUUGCAAAUGAAGGAUCCACUAUUUGAAAUCAUAAUAAGAAUUGCAGAUAACUAUACUUGGUGGUGAUCGGGUACUGUGGGAAGAGCUCUCUCAUCAUUUGAAGAAAUUCCGAUUGAUGUAGCAUGUCACCUAUGCAGAGGUACCGCCCAUGUGUGCUCAAAUCUUCAUACACGAAAAUAUGGGCAAGGGCAACAUCCCGCACAUCGACAUAUGCUCCAACUGCGUUCGAGUAUGCCUUCUUUGUGCCGUUCAUGUAGGUGGCAACUGCAGAUAAAGUUAAGUUUAAUGUUGGUUGUAGCAUUCUGCCUAUUGUCACUGAUGGGACAACUAUUAGUAGUUGUAUCCCUCUCUUUGAUGCCUCUUCCAUUGCAGUCUUCUCAGCAACCGUCUUCGCGUAGCAAUACCAAUUCUGUAUUUUGAUCAUACAUACUAAGUCAAUAAAAACGAUGCAUGCUAAACAUGCUAGGUCAGGUGGCCCAGUAUGUAUGACAAUUGUGUAUUUUGUUUGAGGUUUUAUGAUGAGCCAUAUAUACUAUUAUCCAUAAUAGUAGAAGUGGUGGAUGACCUGUGUUUGCUUGCAGAAGUCAAGAUCACUCCAACAACUCUCGUCCACAGUCCGAUCAGGGUUCCUGUUAGGGUUCAUGUGGACAGCCCCAUAAGAUGAGGUGAACACCACACGUUGCACCCCCAUGUCUGCUGCAGCGUUCAUAACGUUCUUUGUUCCCUCAAUAGCAACCGGCACAAGGUCCUGCAUGCAUCAUUAUUGCAUUGUGCAUCAUAAGCAUAUAUGUGACGCUUGAAUUGGAAUAUGAAAUCAAUGGAAAAAUGAAGCCUAACAACGUAUAGAGAAGAGGAAGCAGUGAGAAUACUGACAGGAUCAUUGGAUAUCGGGGAGGCAACAUGGAAGACACCAUCACAUAAGCUGAAGGCACGACGAAGUGACAUGUAGUCCAGCACAUCAGCAUGGUACAGAGAUAGCCGUUCUUGAGCUCCAUCCAGUGCCCGCAGAUGGGAAUUCUUCGAGUCCUCUGGCAGGCACCAUGCAUAACAAGAAAUUGGAAGUAUAUAUAAACGAUUUGCUGGAACGAGAAUAAACACACCAGCAUGAUAAUGAUAAUACUGAAUUUGAAUAACGUAGUACGUGCUGACUCACUCACUCACCAGGGUCCCUGGCGGUGCCCCUGACAGCGUAGCCGCGUUGGAGCAGCUCCUUGACCAGCCAUGACCCAAUGAAGCCUCCAGCUCCGGUCACGCACACCAGCUGCUCAGCAGCUGCCUCCACCAUGGUCGAUCCAACCGAGAUCGGCUGAUGAUGCUGUGAACACUGCCUAUCGCGAUCUCUUGCGAGGCUAAACUACUGGCGCACUAACGAAGCUCUAGCUGGUCCUGGAUUAGACUCUCUUAUAUACUUAUAUAUAUAGGCUGGUCCAUCUCUGCUUCUAUCUAUCUAAUACUACUACGUUUUUUUACCUUUUUUUUUGUGCGAAAUCUAGCACAAGGUAAAAAUCGAGGAAGUUCGCAAUCGCACCCGGGUUCCACGUGGGUGUGAAUUAAUUAAUGUCCAGCGCAAAGCAUUUGUGGAGAGUAGGCUUUCGUUUUAGAGAAGUAAGCAACUUGAGCGGAUGAGACAAAACAAACUGAUCUAAUAUAAUCAGCUAUUAAUUUUUAAUUCCACAAUUAAAUGCAUACCUACAACAUGGUGAUCAUGUUUGGGGGGAGAGGUGUCAUUAGACGCGCUAGGAAAUAAUCAGCUAUUAAUUUUUUUUGAAACUGAGCUAUCCGUAUACUAAUAUAGCUUCAUUGGUUAAGGUUAAUGUCAUGGGAGUUCCAUAGCACGUUUUUCACUAAGAAGAAAUGAGUGUUACAACAACGUAUGCGAUCUAUAGCGCUAAUCAUGAGUGUUCUUAUUUUCUUUCCAUGUACUAAACCGAGAGAAGAAAUUUAUGGUACUCUGACAUGAUUAAUCCGUGAUUCUACUAUUCGUGCAUGUAUGCUAUUUCUCCACGGAAGAAUGAAACUCGUGGAGGAAGAAAAAGGACAGGAGAUUCAAAUUCCGAAGAUAUGUCGAGCUCUCUCUCCCCACCUCAAAAAGUAGUAUCGAUAUAGAUUUUCUCCUCAAUUAUUUCUAGCUUUGACUUAGGGCAGUUUCAAUAGAACAUUAAUGAAAGUUUCUAUCUAUGCUAACAGGUCUGUUUAGUUCUAAAUUUUUUUGGGCCAAAAGCAAACUAAUUUGCGUUUUCGCAAUUUAGAAGUACUAGCAAAUAUGGCCGUGCGUUGCAACGGGAGAAAAACAUUAAAUAGCCAUAGAAAGUGAUGGCAUAAUAUUACAUAUCUAUUUAUAUUUAUCUUUUUUAUAAAAUUUAAAGUCCAUAAUUUAUUUUAUUGAUAACCAUGACAUCUAUGGUAUUGAUAGUUAAUAUUUACAAUAAUAUAUAGCUUGGAAACAUAUUUAUUUAAUACUAAUAAUAAUAAUAGAAAUUAGUCAAACCUUACCUCUUAAUAUACCUUAGUAUUAUACUAAAACAUGAGAAGUUUGUUGGUAGCUUUUUUUAUUUAGGUUAGGAUUCCUAUGAAAUAUGAUAUAUCAGUUAAAUGUAUGUAGAUUAUGAAUAUAUGAGCUUAUGAAGUGUUCAUAUGACAUAACAACACAUCGUGCAAAGAUAAUGUAAGCAUCCUCAAGCAUAAAUUUAGAUAAAUUAGUAAAUUAGUGAGAUAUGCAAGAAUAAUGCUAAAACUUUUACCACAAAUCAAGCAUCACAUUAAAUAGACUACCAUAAAAUUUUCAUAAUAAUUGGAGCAAGAUAACUACAAUUUCAAUUUUACACUAAAAAGCAUAGGCAAACAUCUUUAGCAAAAAAUAAAUAUAGUAAAAUUUGUGAUAUUUUUUGUUUAAUGCAUGGAUCUACAUAUAUGGAGCUGAACAAAUUUUGUUUUAUAAUUUUUAGAUUUUCUUAUGAUUUACUACGUAUUUAUCAAUUUCUAGCCGAUCAAUUUUGCACUAAAAAGCAUAGUCAAGCAUCUCUAGUAAAGAAAAUAUAAUAAAAUUUGUGAUAUUUUUUGUUUACUGCAUGGAUGUACAUAUGUGGAGCUGAACAAAAUUUGUUUUGUAAUUUUUAGAUUUUUCUAUGAAUUACUAUGUAUUUAUCAAUCGAUUUAAAUAAUAAAAGAAAAGUAAACUAAUAGGAUAAACACUUUGCAUCUAAGCCUCUAUAAUUUCUUUAUUUUCAAUGUGCUGUAAUUAAUGUAUAAAAGAGAUUUUGAAUUGGAAACCUUUUUUCUUUGCCGGCGUUGAAGCCAACCAUUGAUUGGAACCGACGUCUGGCCCGUCUCGGAUAAGGACGGCAGAAAAUCAUUGGACAGACUGAAAUUUUUAUAAUUUAGUAGUAGGGAUAGAAAUAGGGUUUAAUUUUUUCACUCCCAAACUGUGCAGGCCGAAAUCGGCCUCGUAUUGGCCCACGGCCUGCGUGGACUCUGUCCUCCACUCCCGCAGGUCGUGCCUUAUCCAUUCACGGCGCCGCACACUCGUCCUCUCGGCCUCUCAUCCGCGUCGGCAACCAUAACACGACGCUCUCCUCCACUCCAUCCCUCCACCGCCGCAGCUACCACAACCCCUAGCUAGAGUUGGAUCAGCUUGAUCUCAACGUCGGCGAGCCUCGGAGAGGAGACGACGUUCAGUAGUACGUGGGCCACCUUCGCAAAGAGGAGCACCUGUUGUCGGCUCCCGUUCGCGUGCCAAAAGGGGCGGUGUGUCGCGCAACCUCACCUUCUGCAUCGUCGCCUCGCCACAUCGGCGGAGCAGGAGGAGCAUCAUUCGACAUGAGAUCUGCAUCCGUUGAAGGUGGCUUCGUCAAUCCUCCGCAGCGUCCAAGGAGCGGUGCAGCAGCCGCUUCAAGCUGUCGGACGCCGCGUGCCCUAAAGCGGCAUCAUAUAUAUCGCGCGGCCACGACCACGACAUGGUGCGAGGUAGCCAAGCGCAGCGCAUGCAGACGAGCUAGCUGGGCGUGACUAGCUAGGACCUUGUAGCGCGGGUGGCAACGAUCAGGCAUAGGAAAUUAAAAGCUGAGCAAGCACAGAUGAGCCGGUGCGGGCGUGCGGCAACGGUCGGUGUGUUUCUUUUUUUUUUAACCAUUUUUAGGGGUGUUUAGAACUGGUCCACAAAUUUCACCAUAAGCGGCUCUAAAAAAAUUUGGAGUUUGUGAAGUACAUGCUCUCACAACUCCACCAUUUUUCCUUAAACUAAGGAAGCAUUUGAGACUGCUCUGCUCUACGUAUUUUAGCCAAACGGUUCAGCUCCACUCAUUCAGUUUGAGAAAAAAAGGUGGAGUUGUGAGAGCACCUAAACUGUUACUCCACAAACUCCAGUUUUUUGUGGAGCUGCUCCAUGGUGGAGUUUGUGGAGCAGAGUUUGUGGAGCAGUCCCAAACACCCCCUGAGUGCGUGGAGCUGAAACUGUUUGGCUAAAAAACGUAGAGCAGAGUAGUCCCAAACACUUUAUUAAGGCUUAAGCCAACCAAGUCUAGAGGUACAUAUGUAAGAGCAGGCUACCUUUGAAUUAGAGGUGCAUUUUUAGGGUCAGCCACCAGUCCUUCAUUGGAAAUAAUUAAACUACUUUAUAAACAAAAAAACGCGAUCGAAGGAGGAGAGGCCCCCCACCGUAUUUCAAUAAGAAGAAAGUGAUUUUUCGCUAUCGUGAAAAAAUCUCCGAACCCUAGCGUAAAGCUAGGCAAGUGAGGGGAUUUUUAUUUGCAUCCAACUUAAAAUUUACUUCCACGGAGAUUCGAACUCAGAACCUGAGGGGUGCUGCUAGAAAGCUCUAACCGAUUGAGCUAGAAUCCUUUGGCUACUUUAUAACCGUAUACUACUUUAUAACUUUAUAAUCAAUGGAUAGUGUCGGCUUCAAAAACCAUCUCUAGAGAUUGAAUUUGCCCAUAUUUUAAAAUUGUGUCAAGUAUUUAACAAAGAAAACGGUAAGUGCAUCGAAAUAGACUCCACACAUGUGUAAGAAAUAUGUUAUGAGGCUAAAUCAAGGAGAGCCUUUCUCUAGUUUAAACAAGCACUUAAGCCACUCAACAUGUUACCUUAUUCCUUAAGCACAUACUACUAAGUGGAAAUUUACCGCUUUUCUCUUUAGGGACCAAACCAUCACCACGAAUCCUCCAAGUACCCAACCAACCCAGAAUCACUUAAGAAACCAAACAAGCUCCCGUAGAUCAUGGCCCAUCUAAUCAUGAAUAAGUCCAAGUUGUUCUUGAUCAUAGCCACGACUUAUUUAUCAGUUCUACACUGUGCAGAGAUUUUUUUUAACGAAACAUGAGAGGUUUAACCCCCUUUUGGAAUUUUAUUAAAUGAAAGAUCAACAAUACAGAAUCUCAUGAAACAAAGAAAGAAAGAAAAAAAUUAAGAUUACACAUAAGCUUGUAGCCAUUUUAACUAAAUGGGGAUGUAACUGUGUUUUCGCCAUUAAAAUAUAACUAGAGCGAGCUCCUUCUUGAAGACGAAUUUACACCCUUGAACUGAGGGAGGCACACGCUCACCAUUGAAAAUAGCGUUAUUUCUGUUCAUCCAAAUUGACCAACACAUAGUAACAAUAACCUCCAUGAAGAAAGGCAGCUUUAGCUGAAUCUUUUUUUUUUCGUGUGACUGGUUUAGCUGAAUCUUGUAGGAUUCCAAUAUAGUCUCAAUCUCCAAAGAAUUGGGCAGCAAGAGGUGGAGACUGUACCUGCAGGCCAUCGCAAAAGGGCGAUGAAAGAAGAGACGAAGGAAGCCCUCCUUAACAGCAUGGGAGCAUAAAACGCAGUUAUAGUCAUCCAAAUACAUGUCUUUUCUUCUCAGGAGUUGUCUGGUGCUGAUUCUGUCAUUAAGCAGUAGCCAAAAGAAAAAUUUGCGUUUGUUUUGGCAAGCAGAACGCCAAAGCCAUGAAAACCCUCUAUGGAUCUGACGGUGAUGAACCAAAUGCCUGUAAGCAGCGCUAGAGGUAAAAGUCAAGGUACCCCAAAUGUAAGCCCAGAAAUCAUUCAUCGUCUAAAAUUCAAAAGUUUGGAAGAGGGCCACAAGCUGAACAAACUGAUUGUAAGCCUCUGUAGACAGUGGCAAAUGAAACAUACUCUAAGGUAGCAGUAGAGAGGCUGCAGUUUUCAGUGUAAUAUAUUCAUUCCUACAGAAGGAGAACAAUUCUGGGAAACGUUGACUUAGGACACUCAUAAUGCAGACUCUAUUAUAAAGUCUAAAGUUAUUUAUUACCUCGAACAAUGUGGACUUAGAGUCUAAAGUUAUUUUUUCUACCUCUUUCUUCAAUAAAUAUGCUGCCACAUCAACAACAUACUAUAAAUAAUAUGUAAUUAAUUGUCUUGGACUCUAUGAUAGAGUCUUGCAUUAGGAGUGCCCUUAGAGUGCUUCCUUCCGAGUUAUCAUGCCAAAGGAGACAUGUAGCACCAUCUUUAACUGUGACCACUGCUAGACUUUUGAACUUACUCAGCAAUUUUAAAAUGUCACGCCACCUUUAACUGUGACCACUGCAGAGAUGUAGCACCAUCUUUAACUGUGACCACCGCUAGACAUGUACUCCAUCCGUCCCAAAAAGAGUGUCGUUUUAGAAUUUCAGGCAUUUUGUUUGAUCAUUCGUCUUAUUCAAAAUUUUUACAUAAAUAUUAUAUAUUUUGUUAAGACCUAUUUUAUCAUUAGAGAUACUUUUUAAUGAUUUAUUUAUUUUAUAAUUUAUAUAAAUUUUUUGAAUAAGACGAACGGUCAAACACGAUUUCUAAAGUAAAAAACGUCACUCUUUUUGGGACGGAGGGAGUAGCUGGCAUUUUGGACCGCUUUAAUGAUGUUCAUCUGACGCAACAUCGCCUUCAUCCUUGGCAUCACGGCAGAGAAAUCAGCCACCUCAAUCAUAGCUUAAUCAAUUUGAGGAUAAAUUUAGGGCUCCCCAAAUUGAAGGCUCUGAUUACAAAUUUUCAAGGUCCUAGACUGCCAAUCUCAACACUAUGAACAAUUGAUAGUUCAGGCACACAAUUAUUUUUUGAGAAUUAAGGGGUGUAUGGACAGGAGGUCAGCAAAAACGGUAGGGACAUGUUCUUAGACAGAGGAGGAAGACGACUGGUCGUCUGUCAGUUCUGUUUGCCCCUCUCCAAAUGCCGGCUCAAAUCUCUUUAUCUUUUUUUUUGAGGGGAUGAAACCUCUCCUGUCCUCACAAAGGCCUUUGAAAUCAGCCCAUGAAUCCAUCCCAAAAGCCUAGCAUCAAAGCCCAUGUUCAUGACAACUGCCCAGUGGUAAUCGUUCGUUGUAUGCACUUGUGGAAUAUAUGACUUCAUAAAACGAACCGAAAUACAUUUGUUCUAGAGUUAGAUAUACAUGAUCAGUCCUUGUAUUGUAUAUAUUUAAUUUAACUUUAGGAUAGAUUUGGAAUGUGAAUUCGUUGUUUCUUAUCUUAAAAACUGAAACGAUUGAAACCGCUCCACUCAAAAUUUCUACAACUAUUUGGGAAAAAAUGGGAAAAAGUUCACAUUACCUUCCUCAACUUUUGCGAAAAUCCGUUUUCCUUCCCGAACUCUAAAAUCGGGGAAAACAUCUCCUUCAACUUUUAAAACCGAUCAUCUUAUCUCUCUGGCCCUUAUAAGCAGUUUUGAGGGCGGUUUUGUUUUUUGUAUUAUUUAUUUCGGCUGAAUCUUUAAAAAUUAUAGUAAAUCACAGAGAAAUCAUGAAAUAGAAAAUCUAGUUUUCUUGGACCUCACAUGAGUAUAUCUAUAUAAUGAACAUAUAAUAUGGUAUGAUUUAGUACAAAGCUUUGUUGUGGUUUUAGAUAUAUGGUUUUCUGUAAUUAGUUAGAAUAAUUCAUAGUUGUAUUUUUUAUGGUUCAAUUGUGAUGAAGUUUUUAUUAUGGGCUAAUUAUUUGUAUGAUUAAACUGUAGUAAAAAUUUCAUACUCAUUAAAUCAUGUAUAGCUUAGUUAUAGAUCUAAACUUUUAACACAAAAUUUGUACUAAAGCAUAUCAUAUUAUAUAUUCACUAUGUGAUUUACUUACGUAGAGUGUAACAAAGUUAGAUUUUCUAUUUUAUGACUGUUUGUGAUUUACAAUGAUUUUUUAAAGAUUCAGUCGAGUUAAAUAAACAAGAUAAAGAUAAAACGUCUUCGAAACCGCUUAUAAUAGGACCUGAGAGGUAAGAUGAGGGGUUUUAAAGUUGAGGUAGAUGUUUUAUCCGUUUUUGGAGUUCAGAGAGAAAUAACAGACUUUUGCGAAAGUUGAUAGAGGUAAUAUGGACUCUUUAAAAAACCCCUGUAUUUGUUUUUUUUUUUUACCAACCUCAUAGCGGCCGGGCUUUAGCCCUAGGCCCACGGCCACCAGCCCACUACAACGCUUCCAGCUUCACCUUCUUCAGUCCUCUCUGCUGUAGUUGUCUGUAAACACUAGACAGAUUCCGCUCCAACGCCCUCGCCCCCCGUCGCCUUUCAAAAAGCUAGAGAGAUUCCUCGAGAGGGAGAAGCGUGCCCGGCAGCUCCGCUCCAUCCGCCCCCAAGAAUGUCCGACGAGGCCAGGCGCGGCGGGCCCGCGGGCGCCGCGCAGGCGGUGGUCCGGGCCUCCUCCGAGGACCGCAAGCCGGUGGGCGCGGGGUCCCCGCCGCCGGCCGCGGCCGCGGCGGCGGUGGCGGCGCACAAGAUCCAGCUCAAGAGCGCCGACAUGAAGGAGGAGAUGCGGCAGGAGGCCUUCGAAAUUGCCCGCGUCGUAAGAGCCUUACGCCCUCGCUCUCGCUCUGCCAUCUCUCUUCCUGCGCUCGAUUUGGGGUUUUCGUCGCUCCGCCCUUUUUGACGGGUUGUUCGUUAGGAUUUGGGGAUUUAUUUGUUUUUUUUUCUGUCGAUUCCUUCCCUGUCGGUCAGGCGUUCGAGAAGCACAGCAUGGAGAAGGACAUCGCGGAGUACAUAAAGAAGGAGUUCGACAAGAACCACGGCCCAACCUGGCACUGCAUCGUCGGCCGCAACUUCGGUAAUAUUCUCCUCCCAACCCCCUUAUGGGAACUGCUCCUUAAUUAGUAUGGAUAUUGAAUGAUUGCGUCAGUUGUGGUUGAUGUCUAGUCUGAUUUGCUUGCGUGGUUGGAUAUUCUGUGGUUGAUUUCAUACGUGCUAGCUCAUAGAGGUUGUCACAUGAUGCCAAUAGUAGCCACAGGAAACUCUUUUUCCUAAAAUAUAUUAAAAAGGAAAUGAACUUGGGAAAGCGAAGAAGUUGAAAUGGUUACUGGUCAACUGAAGUUAUUCUUCAGAUGAUCUGUGGAGUACAGUAUAUACUUAGUCCAAUAGAGCCCCCAUACAGCUCUGGAUGAAGUAUAGUUUCAGGGAGUGUGGACAGGGUAUGCAAGACCAUGUCUAAUUGCUCUAUUGUGAGUUUUACCUCCUUGCUUCCGGCUUGGCGUAAAUUCUGAAAUUUACUCUUGGUAUCAACCAAAUCCAACUUAGCAAGCUAUCAUUCAAUUUAUUGCAUUUCUAAUUGACAUAUUUCAACUUUCUAUUCACUCUUUGCUGUAUAACCUAAGCUGUUUGGUUAAGUUAGUAACACAUACUUUACGUUGAUAGCUCCUUAGCUUGCUGUCACCUUACUAUAUCUGUAAUCAGAUGCAUUGAAGAAAUGGUAUGACAUUUUAUCUAGACUCCCAAUUGACUGGGUAUGCCAUGUCACCCAAUACUUUGAACUGUCUUGUCCUCUCAACAUCACUUAUUCACUUCAAAAACACCCCAGCAAUUGGUGUACAAUGAGGGAAGUUUAGCAACCUCUACUGCAAUCUGCAUUUGGCAUGGCCAAGUUGUGAACAUGGAUCUAAGAGAACAAUUGUCAGUACUAGAUUGGGGGAAAAACACUUUGAACUUGAAGCAAGUUUAUCUCUGAUGUGAUUAUAUGGGUCUAAGUUCUUAUCAAACAGAACCUUUUGCUGUCUAUGUUUGUAUUCUUUUUUCUACAAAAUGUUAUAUCUUGGACUUUUUCUAUUUAAUUCCUUUUCACUAAAUUUCCUGUGAUUUUCUUAUUAUUAUUUGUAUUUAUAAGGCAGCCUAUUUUAUGAAUAGAAGUCGUGUUAGGCAUAUGUUAACAAUUUGAGACCAGCGAAAUUCUCCCUGCUAUGUCAUGCCACCUGUAUUCAUAUUCUUCUAUAGGCAAUAGAUGUAUAUGUGUAGCAUUCGAUUGUUUAUAGCUUCUUCUUUGUCAUGAUAACAUGUAUUUUUUGUAUUAUUGUAAAUGUUUAAGAAUGCCUAGACACCUAAUAGGGCCUUUCCCUGCAACUUCUAUGUCGUGCAAAGCAAAUAAGACAUAUCUUAUUCUGAACCAUGGUUCAUCAAUGGUAAACAUAGCCCCGAAGAUAGCCAGGCAGAGUCAGCUUAGACGAAGAUUAUGGAUUGGAAAGGUACUUAUUUACAUAUUUGUUGAUUGAUUCUCAUGUGUUACAGGCUGCCUCUUUUAGUGGCAAGUCACGACCCUAGCAAACUCACCUAGCUUAGUAUCUAAGCAACAUGAUCCUAAUAAUCCAUAUCUAAUCAUAUCUCUGGCUAAUUCUAUCUUCCUCUGUUGCAUGUGAUAAAAGGGCUAGGACGGCAUCCUGGUUGCCCAUCACAUAUCACUUCUCCCUCCCUCUAUGAGGGCUACAUCAAUUUGUUAUAGAGCCAUCACCGCAAAUCAUUUAUGGUAGGAUUUUUCGUUCCGUACCAGCAGCUGCUAGUGGCAUUUAAUUGUGCCAGUGGGCUUCUCAUGAUUGGAUUAGUGCCACAUGUUACCCAUUCCGAUGAGUGUUGCGGCUCGGACAAGGCUAGAAAUUUUCAACCAAAGGAAAACGCCUAAAUGCCCCUCUUAAAUUGAAACAUGUUUUAACACUGAAAGUAGUGGCGAUAUUAGAAAAAGGUUUUCUUGAUUAAUGGCAUAGAAACAAAAGGAUGUUGUUGGCUUGUUGCAGUAUUGGAAUUCCCAACCAUUUAUUAUUCUGAGAUUUAGCAAACAUUUCAGUUUUAUUUUAUGCAUUAAAAAUGGGAGGACCGACAAGUACAGAGAAUGCCAUACACUCACAACUGGCUCAUUCUGUGUCACAAGCUAAUCCUAUGAUUCAAUGGCUGUUUUCUUAACUUCCAGUUCUUUCUAUUGGACUUGACUAAUUCUAUUUCACAAACUACUGAGCUGUUUUAAUUUCUAGAUGUUCCUAUUUGACUUGAUUGAUUCUACCUCAAACUAAUUAUAAGACUCAAAUGAAGAGCUGUCUUAAGUUCCAGAUGUUUCUGUUCAAAAAUAUUAUAAUUUUUAAGGCACAGUCACACAUGGCAUGGUCUUCCAAAUUUCAAUUUAACCAAUGACCAUUUAUUUAUUGUAUAUUAUAUUUUGCAUGAUUAUAAAAUUAUAAUCAUUGGAUAGUAUAUUUUAUUAUAAAUUUAAUUGUAUCAAGUUUGUAUUACAACAGUUAAAAACGGUUGGCCAAAUUAUUGGUCAAAGGCUAAUUUGGAUCUUGAUAUGCUUGUGCGCCUUAUAAACUGGCCCAGGGAGACUUAGGAUAUAACUAUAGGAGAAAUAUUAUCUUUAGUUGCGUCUUGUAGUUCAGAGAUAAUCAAUUAUCCAGUUAGAUGAUAGUUAAGAUCCAUAGAGUGACAGCCACACUAGUUAAGAUCCAUAGAGUGACAGCCACACUAUCCUCUUCUGUCUUUGGUAAAUAUUUAUCCGCCAUCUUGUUUACAAUGUCUACAUCCCAUGUCUCUAACAAUGGCCAGUGCUGCCGGAGUUUCUGUGAAACUGUUUUGAUUAGUUAAUCUACAUUCACAACAUGUUCCUUUAUUUUCAGUUUGUCUCGUAUGAGCCCAUGGGUGGCCCUCCAAACAAGCUCUAUCCUCCUAGAAUGCUUUUGUUUUGGUUAUGAUGAUUACUGAACUUCAGUGCCAUAUGCAUUAUCUUUGGAAUGAAAAACUGAGCUCAAGGAAAGCAUGUGCGAUUGGAAUUAACUCAUGAUUCAUGAACCCCUUCCAUUUAUCAUCACCUCUGAUAUACAUAUUGAUUGUAAACAAUUUUGCUAAGCAUUUUUUGUCUGUGAUGCAGGUUCUUAUGUGACGCAUGAGACAAACUACUUUGUAUAUUUCUACAUCGACUCUAAAGCUGUCUUGCUAUUCAAGUCUGGGUGAUUGGCGCAGCCGAUGCAAUCAACCUUGCAUGGCUACAUCUCAUUGCUCUCAUGUAUGCCUCCCUUCCCUCCGAGUCAUCUGCAGCCAAGCUGGAAGCCGGUAAUCUUAUGAGCCUGCAUAUUGAUGUAUCAGCAAUGGAUUAUUCUCCGUAUGCCGGUAGUGUGAGAUCAGAUUGCAUCUUAUUUAUGUCUGAUAUAUCUAGGUGUUGUGAGGACAUUAUCUUGUUGCAAUAUGAUUGCCGGACAAUUGGACGAACUGCCUCUCGUCUGUUUGUGAUUGUUUCGGAAGAAGCCUCAUGCGCAAUAUUCAUGGUUCUUACUGUGGAGUAUUAGUGGGUGUCAUGGUCGAUAUGUGGGUCAUCUGUAUAUAUAUUUGAAUUGUUCGUUGAGAUGCCUGUGGUCCAGAUAACGAGGCCUCCUUUGGAACUCGGGAAAUUUUCAUGUUUCCUGUGUUUUUCAUGUGAAAAUGAACGGAUUCCUGUGAAAAUCAUAUACAAUUCCUGUGUUCCAAAGGGGCCUAAUAUUUUUUUUUAUAUGUACCAAUCGGGCUUAGGCCUUGUUUGAUCCAUUAGAGCACUUUGAGGUAUUGGAGUAGCCUAAUAUUAUUUGUAUGAUUUAUUAGAGUUGCUGCAUUAGUUCCUCAACAAUAUAUCCACACCCAUUGGGCAUGUAGGGUUGCCUUCACUUUUUUUUUCUUCCCUCUUCCGUAGGCUAGUAUCAAUGUUAAACUCCCAGAGCGUAUGUUUCAUCCAUUUUCAUUUCAUUCUACAUGGUAUAACAGUAUUGGAAACAAUAUAAAACUCUCCACUGGUAUUGGUCUUACCAACACUGCCUUUUGCACGAUCAUGCUGCAAGAGAGAUUGCAAUGGCCUCAGUUCCAUAAUAAUUACACAGUUAUUCAUUGUAUUUUAUUUUCAAAAGGUUAAAUUUUUAAAAUUUGACAAGACAUAUUAAAGACAAUAUAUUAUUCAUAUCACAAAAUAAAUUUAUUAUAAAAAUAUAUUAUAUUAUAGUUAAUUUAAUAAAAUUUAUUGAAUAAAUAUUAGUGUUUUAAUGUUUAAUUAAAUUUUAAAAAAUAACUUGUCGAGGGGUAAAAAUGUACUGUACUCCGUACUCUUUAGCAACCAUCGUCGUCAUGCGGCCCAUCAACACACGUGAUAUCUUAUCUUCUCGGGAAUUGAGUGCACGCGAGGCGGCCCAUUCCCAACAGCUUUUGUUUCGCUGGAGUAUCUUGGCGUGCCAGACUGCCAGUGCGUCAUGUGAUGACCGGUGCAGUGCCCUAAAUUAUCUUCGCGAUCCUUCGGUCCCGUGCCGACGUGCCUCGGGCCCGCGCAUGCACAUCUCGGGUUUUUUUCCUCUGAAUUUAAAUUCUUAUAAUUGUUAUUAGAUUUAUAAAAAGUACUCCCUCCAUUCAUUUAUCUCCUUCAUCUAAGCAAAAAUAUUUUAUUCAAAAAUCUCCUUCAUAUUACCUUGGGACUUGCCUACAUUUAUUGUCUUUUUGCUGCUCAUUGGUUACCACUUCUCUGCAUUUAUUGUCUCUUUGCUGCUCAUUGGUUGUUCCUUGCCUCUGACUCCUCAUAUGCGCUCAGCCCGAGAUGAUUAAAUGUAAAGUGAGUGCUUUUGCGAUGCUUCUUGGUCAUUGUGUCGAAGGCUAAAACGAAGGAGAUAAAUGAACGGAGGGAGUACUCCCUCCGUCCACAAAAGAAUCAAUUUCUAGAGUUGUCCUAAGUCAAACUUUUUAAACUUUGACCAAAUUUCUAGAAAAAAAUGCUAAGAUUUAUAGUAUCAAAUUAGUAUUAUUAGAUUCAUCAUAGAAUAUAUUUUCAUAUAAUGUGUAUUUUAUAUUAUAGAUGUUGUUACUCUUUUUCUAUAAAGUUAGUCAAACUUUAAAGUUUGACUGGCACGGAUCCUAGAAAUUGAUUCUUUUAGGGACGGAGGGAGUACUAUUUAAUAUUUAUAUAUUUUGUAAUAUGUUUAUGAGAGAAAUGUAUCUAAUCUUACAUUAUAAACAUUAGUUUUUUCAUUUAAUAUCAUUAGAUUGUAGUUUUUUCAUUUAGUAGAGUAUCAUUAGAUUGACCGGUCACCGCGAAGGCGACGACUAUCUGAAUCUAAUGUCGUGGGACACGCGGCUUGUGCGGUUGUGCCAGUCACCGCGCAGGCGACGAGUGCAUGCCGGCAGCACAAGGCACAACCAAUGCAAGGCCUUGUUUAGUUCUCCAAAAAUUUUGCAAAAUUUUUCAGAUUCCCCGUCACAUCAAAUCUUUAGAUGUAUGCAUGAAGUAUUAAAUAUAGAUAAAAAUAAAAACUAAUUGCACAGUUUGGUCGAAAUUGACGAGACGAAUCUUUUGAGCCUAAUUAGUCCAUGAUUGGACAAUAUUUGUCAAAUACAAACGAAAUUGCUACAGUGCUUAUUUUGCCAAAAAUUUUGGAACUAAACAAGGCCCAAAUCGGCUGACGGCUGGAGAGCGACGAGAUCAGCGGGGCGCUGAAGCAAAGCGCAUCGACUUGUUUUUUUCCAAGCACCGUGCAACGUACCCUGGCCUGUGAACGCACGACAGAAUGGAAGGGAGUGGGAAAAAAAAAAACUGCGCAGUCGCCACUCGAGCAAUUCGGUCAGUCGUCCACAUGAAAUCAUUUUUUACCGUCAGUGGCGCUGAGCAACUGUUGUGAGUCUGUGAACAUGGGAGGUGAUGGUGGUGCUGGGUUCUCUGCACCGGACGGACAGGUACGUCGAGUCGAUUUGCUACAGGGAGAUUUUUCGUAGAGAUUCUCGCGGCGCACAGAAUGCGCCGUUUCGCAUCUCAGACCGCAUGUACAACAGUAGUAGUGCAUCCCUACUUUUGCCAUACUGCCUCUCAUUGAGGCCUUGUUUACUUCUAACCGGAACCUAAAAUUUUUUAAUCUUUAAACACAUACAUAAAAUAUUAAAUAAAAAUAAAAAUAAAACUAAUUAUAUAGUUUAGUUAAAAUUUACGAGACGAAUCUUUUGAGCCUAGUUAGUUCAUGGUUGAUAAUAAUUAUUAAAAAUAACAAAAGUGCUAGGGAAAUUUUUUCCUCACUAAUUAAACAUGGCCCGAUUGGAAGCGUUCGCACCACGUUUCAUUUCUUUUUUUUUGUUUAUAUAUACUCUAUCGUUCGGUUCGUUCAUGUUGAUGGUUCUGCUUACUUGAGAAGAUUAUUUUAACAGUAUUUUUUUUAUAAUAAAUCGGCGACUUUUAACCAUAGCUUUUCUGCUAAGCGAACAAGCCAUAUCCAACAAAGAUAGACACAAGUUUUGUUAUCAGAUGAAAAAAGAAGAGAAAGAGCCUACAAGUUCAUUUGGCGAGAGGACGUGAAAGGUAGGGUAGGAAUUGGAAGAAACUGCAACUUUAUUACGUGAUAAUAGCUCUGUAGCGAGUACAAAACGAACGUAAAACAGCAGCAAGAGUGCAGAACCCUGCUCCUUGGAGGAAGUACAUCUGAUCUGAAUCUCACUAGAGCAGAGCAGAGCAUCCAGCCCACACACCCAAACACACGGCGGCGACCACAGGCCGCUCUAUCUCCUUGUUUGUAAUGGCAAUCUCCCGUCGGUCGUCCGACCCCAGAGGAUCCAGCUUCACAAUCACAACACAUCGCACAGCGACCAACCGAGAGAAAGACCACCCUGCUGCUCUCCACGACCAUGCCGGGCGUCACAGAGCGCGCGCGGCGCGACGACGCCGUUCGCCAGACGACGAACCCUGACACCCCCCUGCACCUCUUCCCACCCUGGUACUGGUAGGUAUACAUACGGUACGUCAUACGAGACGAGGCGGCGGAGCGGGGGGGUCAGGGAGGCGGGGGCCGUUCAGGCCCGGGCGUAGGAGCGGGCGAGGUGCGCGGCGCGGAGGUCGGCGGGGUCGACGGCGGCGGCCCAGUUGGCGGGGCGGUAGUGGCCCGUGACGGGGUCGGGCACCCACGAGAUCUCGGAGCUGGCAGCGGCGCGCCCGCCGGCCUCCCUGGCCUCGCCCGCACCAGCCGCGCCCUCCGCCGCGGCCGCCGCGCGCCUCAUGGCCCCGGACGCCGCCGACGCCGCGUAGCCCCUGAUGCUGGCUGCCCUGGGUGCCAGCGACGCGAGCACGGCGCGCGCGGAGGAGAGAGCGACGAGAGCCAUCGGACCAGCUGCUGGCCUUUCUGCUGCUUGGGCAGGCAAGCAAAAGGAUCGGACGGCUGGCUGUGGCUGGCUGGUGGCGCUCUGCUGCUCUCUCCCGUGCUCUGCUUUGCGGCUGCUGUUGUGGUGGGGAGGAGACGAGCGGAGGGGGCGGGGUUUAUAAUGAGCCUCAGGAGGCGGAGGAGGAGGAGGGGAGCUGCUGGGCUGGUGCGAGCGGCAAACCGCGAACGGGCCUUGCCGGGUUCCCUGCGCUUUUUCUUGGAUCGCGACGGGCCUCGGGACCCGGAGCCGUCAAAGCUGGCGGAGCCGGCCGGCACGUGCGCAGCAGGAAACGGGCUCUGCGGGUUCACUGCUUGCUUGAGUAGUCGACUAGCCGUCGUCGUCGUCGUCGUCCAUUUGAUAUGGUCGCCUGGUUUGGAAAGUUUCGCCGAGGCGUUCGGCGUUGGGUUUCGCGGGAACGGAUCGUAGGGCGGGCCGUAGGAACGACGACGGCACGACGCCGACGGGUCCGGUGGGGAAGAGGGAGCGAAGUUGCCUACUCCUCCAAUCCUCCCCGCCGUCUCUGUUUAGUUUUGUUUUCUUCUACUGUAAUAUCUAAUACUGUAUAAAGCAACAAGACGGUGGCAGUGGAGGAGCAGUCCGAAUUCUCCACUCGUUGCUCAAGGAAAUGAUGAUAUCGAUUUGUUGUCAAAAGAAAAAAAUUGAUGAUAUUGACUGUAUAAUUUGAUAUGGCAGCCCUCAGCCGCUGGAUAACGUCUGUGUUUUGUGGUGGCUGGGCACGAGGGGAUAGAUACUACAAGUUGACAACUGCGUACGUAGGCUGAUCCACUGGUGCCAAGAUUCCGAGUUUUUUUUUCACUCAGAGUGGACUAGUUUAUUUGUCUUUUUUUUUUCUAAAGAGAAAUCCCAUUGUCCGCACCGAUUGCGCCGUCUGUCCGCCACGAGCCAAGCCACGCCGCCUCACGCGUCACUUGCAAAGCGAGUGCGCGGCUCGACUUGACCUCGAGGUCGAGGGAGCGAGCUCACUGCGUGAUGCGUGUGCGUGACGUUCCAGCGCGCGCGGCGUCGCCGAUGCAGGUUUCCACUGCGUCGCCUUUUCCCGGCGCGCGGCGGUUCUGCGCGUCGCUCUCGGCUCGGACCAGACGCCCCGCGCGGCGAACCUCGCGCGCCGGCCUCGGUUUUCCAAGGAAAGUAGCGGUGGGGUGGGGGGUUGAAAAUAAUUGGCAGCCCAGCAGGCGGGCCAACACUCCAGACACGCCGGGCGGGACCCGCGGAUCAGCCUGGUUCCGCCGAAAGGGCAAGGCAAUGGCAAACCCCCCCGUUCCCGUUGUCCCUUGGCGCGGCGGGAAGGCGCCGACUGGUGGAGGCGGCCGACGGAGCGCGCAAGGCGUCAGCUGGCCAGGUCGUAUCCGCCUCUGGAUCGCCUUUGGCCGACCACCGACGGCGUCAUCCGCAGGGGGCAUCAGUACAUGUACCUGUCGCCCAGCCGCGAAUGCGGGUGUGACGCGCGGCGUGUGGUGGGUGCCGGGCGGCAGCCGGCCGCAACUCGCUGCGCUGGAUCGUCGCCGCGCGCCGUGGCACGACUUUUCUUUUUUUUUUUAGCGUGGCGUUCCUUUUACAAACUUAUCCUCGCGUAUAGAGUUUGAUAUAUAAAAUUUCUAAUGAAAGUUAAUUAAUUUAGGAACGAAUGGGAGUAAAUCGGCUGCCGCACAGGCGAUUAAGAACCGGAAGACGUGCACAGACUGUUUUUGUUCGUAAUUACUACAUGCUCGUUGCAAAUUAUAAGUCCUACAUGCUCGUAGGCUAGGCGGUGUUGUUUCAUUUUUUUUGGACGUUGUGAAUUAUAUGUCAUUUGUGUUUCAAAUAUAGAUUUUUGUUAUCAAAAUAAGUUUUCUUCAAGUGAUAACGGAUAUUUAGUUUUUCAACUACACGACUUGUUACAGUCUUAUCGUAAAAGGCGUACGUAUUUGAUCUGUUCAUCCGACCGUGAUAACAUGUACUCCCUCCUCUAUCCCCAAAGUUUGUCUAGAUUCAUAGGUAAAGUGUCAGCUAUUUUGAGGUAGAGGGAGUACAUUGAAAGGGAGGAGUUUGAGGUUCCCGUUGAAUUUUGCUUUUAGGUAAAUUGAUUAAUCAUGCUUUUUGUUCAAUAUGUGAUGCUGCUUUAGUGACUAAGUAGUUUUUUUUGUCCACACUGGUUGUGUAUAAAACUCAUACAUACUCAGCAUUUUUCUUGAACCUCCAAACGUCUAGUUCGCCUGUUCGCCUGCCAACGUGCAAACUGCAAAGGUCUGGAGGCCAGCAGCAGUGCAGCACACAGAAAAUCGCUGUUCGCCUGUGUCCAUGCGCUGCUGGGCCGGUCCAUCAGCAACUGCUGUGCGGAGCGAGUGACACUCACGUUCUCACGGAGUAACGGCGGCCUGGCCCAAUUAUUGUUGCGCAGCCACGGCCGCGCGGCAGAGCGCAUGAGACGUUUAGUUCGCUGAGUGUUAGUACCACCUCGCUUGAGUAGCAUCGUCGCAGUGCAAGGGAAGAGCAUAUAAGGACAGCCAGGGCGACCUGGGAAUGACACGCAGCUGCGCGGUGCACCCAAAGCGAACUAUUCUUUCGCCUUUUACUAAAGAAUACCGUGUGUGCGCCGCAAAUAGCAGCAUACGCUAAUUUUUGAAGGGGAAUCUCUUAUUUGGAGGGCCCCAACAAUUCAAAUAUAAGAUUUUUAAAAAUUUUGAAAAAUAAAGGUUUUAAAAUUUUAAAAUGUAUAUAAUUUCUAAUUAAAUUUGAAACAAUUUUAAAAUUUUGCUUUGUAAUCUCUGUUUUGUAGGUCAUUAAAUUUUGGCUUGUAAUCUCUCGUUGUGUCAAAAUAAUUCUAAAUUUGGACCAAGGCGGGAUUCUCUGUUUAGGAGGGCCCUAACAAUUCAAAUCAAAAGUUCUCUUUGAAUUGUUAAAAUAUUUUUAAGUUGGAACUGGAAUGUUCUUUUGGAGGGACCAAACUAUUCAAAUCAAAAGAACUUCUCUUUUAAGUGUUCAAACAUUACUGAAUUUAUCAUAGUUUUAUAAAGGAAGUAGUAAGAUUUUCUACUUUCAAAAGGAUUGUGUGAUUUAUGAAAAAAAAAGUUCUUUUAAUGCUGUGGUGCAAGAAGCUCUCCUAUUUUCUAUGGAGUCUGCAAUUCAAAACUUUAUUGUUCACUGCGAAUUUGGUCUCACAGAUUUUAUAAGCUCAAGCGAGCAAUAAAUUUAGUCUAGUUUGUACUUCAGAUAUUGUGUACCCCAAACAGACCCAUGUUGUUACCUCGUUUAUUCGAAAUUUCUGUAAGUACCAGACUAUUAUGAUCCCCACAUGGUCUCACUUGGAUCCUAGGGUCCAGACUCCAGAUCAACCUGUUGUUUGGUGAUUAGAAGAAAUCUCAACUCAGUUUCCUCAAUUAUUUUCAUACUUCCAACGCAGUCAGCAGUCACUGCUAUCACAUGUAUUGAGAUUUUCAUUCAGGAAAAAUGAGGCAUCAAUUGGAGUCUUCUGUCAAAGGUAUGUGGCUUGGGGAUCGGAAGAGUGGCCUGAAUUUCCAACAACAGCAAACUAUAGUCCGGCCUGGUGAGUACAGUAUGUUGCUUUGCGUCGUGCAUUCCUUGGUGCAUGGUAAGACAGCCAUUGCAUGGGCCACAUUUAUUUUUUGUUUCCCAAAAAAAAGGGCCACAUUUAUUUUUCCUCUACAAAGAUUUUGCUAGUUAUGUCAGGUUUUCAGAUAUGCCCGUGGUAUCUGCUUGCCUAAAUCAGCUAUUGUUGAAUCUCCCAUGGCGUGCUCUUUCUUCGCAGACCAUUCGAGUCCUAAUGUAGAAUUAGUACCUGAUGUUGCAGGAUAAUCGGCAACCCGAUGCCAACAUACAAUGCUAUUUCUUAUGAUGUCAGUGGAUCAAGACUCAUGACUUGUGGGGCUCAUAAAGCCAACAAAGAUUUGGAAACAGGACAUCAACCGUGAAGCAUGCGUACCCUGCCUUACAAGUUACAAGACUAAACUUACAAGUUAGUAACAGCAACAGUGCAGAAUGCUAAUGAGGAAGGAGAGGAUGAGGCCAAGUCAUCAUACCCCUGAUGCCCUGGGCGGGACAAAGGGUCGCGGUCUCACGAUGGUGAGCUAACUUCAAAAAACCGUCCUCCGUUCAGAACAUGGACAUUAAACAAGGCUCCCUAGCAAGAAAAUCAGGUGGUACUUCUGCAAAAGAGGAAUCAAGGGAGGGAGAACCUGGCCUAACUGUGUUAAUCCCUGCAUGAGGCUUCGUGAAGCUCUGCUGAACGGUCACCACUCAGGCACUGACCAAAGUGUGAGGUUGCAUGUCGAGAACGUAGCUAGGUGACUGAUGAAUCAUUCACUGAGGAAAAAGAAGCUCUCUUGCCACUCUUUCCACCUGAACAAAAUCAAUGGCGUUAUGCUUUGCAGUUGAGAACAAUGUCACCUGUCGACUAGAGUACAAAUUUGUAGGCGGAGCUGUUCAAUCAGGUUUGUGAUAAACAUGAAAUGGUGUAAACUGAAAAGAUUAAAGCCACAAGACAUUCAAUCUUAACGUUUGCAUGCACAUAUUUUAUCAUCAUGCUAGAUUUCAAUUAUACUAGCAAUGCACAUAUUAGCUUCAAAAAAAAGCAAUGCACAUAUUGAUGUGGGCCAGACAUAUGGAUAUAAUUUUAGCAGCUUUCCUGCACUUCUUCUCUGAUCUUUAUAUUAGCUUAUGCUUAUGAAGGGAUACCUGAUUUCUGAUAAAGAAAAGGGCACCUGAAUGUGCACAGCUAUGGUUUGAUCCUGGCAGGGACAAUUGCCUCAAUAAACCUUCACAUUAUUAUUCGCUCAAGGCAUUCUAUCGAACUGAAUCUAACCAUUAAAAUCCGGGAGUUAGUGUGUCUGAAAAUUUUGAAAUUUCCAGAUAACAAUAUUCUAUUCCACAAUCAAUUUCCAGAUAACAAUAUUCCACAACCAACUAGUACAAUUAAAAGGACAACUCACAAAGAGACAAUUCACAACUUUUUUCUAUAGCCAAACAGGCAAUUCAGAAUUUUUUUCCUAUAGCCAAACAAUUACAAAAUUAAAUGUUGCCUGAAUCAGGCACAUGAGAUACAUGAGAAAUGUUAAAGUUCCUUUGAACCAAGUAGAGCAUCAGACCAGGGAUCCCUAGGGGACGGAUGCAGACCCAAAGCACCCAGUGUUAACUCUAAAUACUUGAGUGCAAUGUAUGUUCACUAGAGCAAGGUCAAUAAUAGAGCCAAGUGUUUGGCUAUAAGCCAAGUGAUUAGAGCCAAGUUAUACAGUAAGUUGUCUCGUACUUGUCUCUAAAACACCUUCUCUUUCCUAUUCUUUCUCACAACACUUGUUAUUUGGACCCACCACUACCUAUGCAUCCGUGCCCAGCUUAGUGCUUACAUAAGUCAAGCUAUCAUCUCUCUCCUCUCUUCUCUCCUCCACAUCAGCAUUAGCUUGGUUAUAAGCCCAUUAUUGUACCUGCUCUAAAGAAUCUGAAGUAGCACCCUGGAGGUUGGAGCCAGUGCCAAAGUCUGAUAAACCAGUAAAGAAGCUAUGCCUAUACCUAUGACUAACCUCAUGCAGACCUGAUAAGUAUGAGUGAGUCAGGCAGCACACCUGGUAAGAAAGAAUGAAUGAUAGCUAGAAAAGCAACGUGUGCUUAGCAACACAGAAUUUUGUUCCUACCACAUCUCAAUCAAACCCCAAAUGCACAGAGUUACCAAUACUUACAGUCUGAAUGAACCAUGAUGCGAGGAGCAGCUAGAAUGUUGGUCCUAAGAAACAACUGGAAUUCAAGUGACAUACAGUAGGGCAGCCUACAAUGGCAUAUAAAAUACAACUCAACAAACACCAUGAAGAAAUAAUAAUACCAAUCUGAAGAAUUCGGGAGAAAAUGCUAAAAGCAAUGAUCUAAAGUAAAUACGCCCUAAGAAUCCCUUAGCACCAUGGACCAAACAGAAAUGCAUCUCUUGAGGGUCAAGAAAACAUUAGGCAAAACACAAUUUAUAUUUUCUCCAAAUCAGUGAACCAAAGCAUGAAUAACAAUCUAGGAGGAAGUAACAUAGGUUCUCAGAUCACUAAAAGUGUAACCAUACCAUAAGCUACUCCCAGUGUGGUGUAAAUGUUGAGAUCCAAUAAUAACCAAGAUUUGCUACUUUAGCUCAAGAACAUCAUCACAGCAGGCUGAUAACAGACUGGGAAAGCUCAAAAAUAUCAACUGAGUGGUAAUCCUAAAAAUCAAGAUGAGAGCUAAAUUCAUCUCAUUAUCUGGUAAGCAAAACAACAAUACAGCCAUCAUUGUUCAAGAGUUUAAAUGAAAAUACCACCACUUGGCAUAGCAGUUCAGAGCAAUAGUAUAGUAAUAACCUAAGGAUGGUACAUUAGGCAUAGCAGUUGCAAGAGCUACAAGGCAAGCAAGAAAGGCAUUUCAAUCCUCCCCAGCAACUCUAAACAAAAGAAGCCAGCCAACAUAAACUACACCUAUUGCGCCUCCUCUGCAUCUCUGUUCUUCUUCUUUUUCUUCUCCUUUUUCUUCUCACUCUUCUCAGCAUCGGUGCCAUCUCCAUUCUGAGCACUCUCUGGCUCUGCAGCAUCACUUCCUUCCUUGCUCUUCUUUUUCUUCUUUUUCUUCUCACUCCCCUUCUCGUCAGCUGCAUCAACCUCCUCCUUGACCUGAACAGCCUCAGCUGACUCCAAUUCACCCUUGUCUUUCUUUUUCUUCUUCUUCUUCUCACUCUUCUCCCCUUCCACAGCUUCAGUGGCUUCCUCAACUUUGAUCUUCUUCGCAGGAACAGAAACAUCAGUAUCCUCAUCAUCCUUCUGCCUCUUUUUUUUCUUCUCCUUGACCUCCUCAGUCACAGCUGUGUCCUGCUCCACCUUCGCCUUCUCUGGCUCAGGAGCAGCUGCAAUACUGGCAAUUGAAACAUCACCACCAGUGGGAAGCACCACAUUCCUAAGCCACUCAGUUGGUGUCUUCUCAUUUGGCUUCCCAUGCUUGUCAAGAAGACCCUCAGCAAUAAGUUUUUUCUUCUUGAGUGCCACCGGGCCAAGCCCCCACUUCCUUGGGUAUGUAUCUCUGUCCAUCACGACCCUCUUGAUCUUUGCAACUGCACCAUGGUCACAGGUUGCCAUCACAGCAGUAGUCAUCUCAGCAACACCAAUCGCAAUAGCCUCACCCUUUGUUGUCAUGAGAACCACCUCCUCCCCGGUCUCAAUAUCAUUCUCAAAUCGGAGCAACCCGGGAAUCAUAAGCUUAGCACCAUAGCAGAUAGCAUUUACAGCAGAGUCCUUCACAACAAGCCUCUUGUAGCUAGUAAGCAGUACCUCUAGUGGCAUCACGACACGCCUCAAGUAUGACUCAUCCUUGUAGUUGUCCAGCGACCACAUCGCGUCCAUCACAUCGUGCAUCGUCACCAUGUUGUCCUGCUCCCCGAGGAUCCCCGACCUGACACGGCGCAGCUCCUGCAUAUGCGCACCAACACCAAGGAGCAGCCCAAGGUGCACACAGAGAGUCCGAACAUAGGUACCUGCCUCGCAGGAGAUCCAGAACACGGCAAGAUGGCGCUCGGGAUCGUGCUCCAGGAGCUUGCUCUCGUAGAUUGUCCGCACCCUGAGCUGGCGCUUGACUGCAGAGAUAAGCGGCGGGCGCUGGAACACCGCGCCAGUGAGCGCCUCUAGCGCGCGGGCCACUCGCGCGGUGUCCGGCACGGCGGCGUGGAAGCGGGCGACGCAGACGUACUCCUUGCCGGCGCCCUGCUGCGACUUGACGAGGCGCGUGGCGCGGUCGAUGCAGACGAUGAGGUUGCCGGUGACCUUGGGGUCGAGCGUGCCGCUGUGACCGGUCUUCUCGGCGCGGAGGAUGCGCUUGAUCCAGGCGACCACCUCGUGGGAGGAAGGGUUCGACGGCUUGUCGAGGUUGAUGACGCCGUAACGGAGAUGCUCGGCGAGGGGGCGCUUGAGCGGCGAGUGGCCGGAGGGGAGCGGGGUGUAGUGGCCGGUGCGGACGUUGAGGCGGUCGUAGUUCUUCAGGAGGAGCGGCCAGGUGGAGGUGUCGAGGGACGGCACAAGGGACUGCGGCUUGAUGAGGUAGCCAUCAGUCUUCUCCUCGGCCUCGGCGAGCGACGGCGGGUCAGCGGCGGCAGCGGCGGCGGGGUCGUCCUUCGACUUGUGCUUCUUCUUCUUCGAUUUGGAGUGCUCAGAGGCGGGGGAUGCGACGGCCGGCGUCGCGGACGACAUGGCGGCGGGCCGUGGGGGUGGGUAGGUUCUAGGGUUUUAGCGGCGGAGGGUAAAGGUGGGAGCGGCGGCGUGGGCGUGGCGGCAACGGAGAAAGGGGUUUUAACGGAAGGGUUUAGGGUUUAGUGCUGGGAGAAUGGGCCGAUCGUGGCUUGGGCUAUGGGCUUUAGCAUGGACUGGGCCGGUUUAUAGAUGAUAUCAUAAGUGGGAAAUGAAGCAGAUUUGGCAUAAUAAUAAUAAUGUUAUAAUAUAUACUCAGAAUAAGUUGGAUUCAACUCUAAAUCUAUCAAAACAAACAAGCCCUCCCAAAGUUUUAGGUCAACUAUUUGAUAUUCAAUAAAUUACUAUUUUGUUGGACGUGGCUAAUGCAUCGUGCAUUAGACCGUGCGCGCGCACACAUGCACAGCACAUCAGCUUCUCAGUCACAAAAAAAGCACAACAACUUCUUCCUCCUUGACUGGCAUCCUCGCCUCCACCACCGCCCACUGCUCUACAACAUAAUCCUAUCUCGCCCAUGGCACCAUCUUCUUCCCCUCUCCUCGUCCCCACUUUCGCUACCAUGGUCACCGUCGUCGCCUUGGCCAUGACGCCCCCACCCCCACAUGGCUUGGUCACCUCCACUACCGCUAGGCCCCUCUAAAUUUCCCAACGGCAUCUCCACCGUAUGGUCGGCCUUCCUCCCCCUAAACCUUUCCUUCUAAGACCAAUGGACUUGCAGAAGAUAAGGGGAGAGCUCACCGGAACCCUAAGUAGUAGAUCCAGGAGAAGGGUGAGGCCUACCUUGCUGAUGUCGUCGUUGCCGAAGGGAAGAGAGGGAGGACCGCAUGGGGAGGAGGUGGGAUGCAAGCGCAGGCUUGCUGGAGGAGGUCGCCACCAAGGAAAGCAAGCGAUAGGGAAGAGCUCGUUAAGCACCGCGAGCAAGAGAGGGGGGAGAGAUGACGAGUGAGUGGGGUGUGCGGCCAUGCGGGCGAGGUGUAUGGGUGAGUUGAUUAAAACCCGGAGGAGUAUAAUGAAGUCUUUACCUAUUUUGUUUUGUUGAACAACUCGGAGCCUAUUCAGCCCCUAUUCUACUAUUUUAAGGUUUGUUGGAUAAAAAAAACUCACUCCAACAAAACCACUACUCAAAUCAUCAAAAUUAGUUGGCCAUUAAAUUCCUCCUUUAACUUCUAAUUCCUAGGCUCCUCAGAGCCCCUUGAUUUUCACUUUUGGCCAUCGUGGCCAUCCAGAACUAAGGUAAAAAGGUAAGUCUCAGUGAAUAGUUUUAUAGCAUUGUUUUCAAGACUAUCAUGUCAAAAAAUAAAACAAAACUUGGAUAAAAUACCAACUCUCAAUGUAAAGUUUCAUUCUAUAGUUUCAUAAGCAUUUUAUUUAUGGCUCAUAGAGAGUUGGUAAUCAUGCUAAGAGAGUAUCAUCCCCUGUUGUCAACAAAUGGGUCCCCUAGGUUGGCCACGUGCUCGGAGCCACACCCUUGGGCUGGUCACGUCACCAGGGAGGGCGGGGCAUGCGAGCACAAGCCAAGGGAGGGGUAGUGAGCUUGGUUGCGGUGAGUAGGAGAGGGGGGUAGACGAAUAGACGACGGGGGUUGCGGUGAAAAAUGUAAGAUGAGAGAUAAAAAAACAAAUUAAUGUGAUUGACAAAUGAGUCCCACAAAGUAUGUAUCUUGAUCGAUUUAGAGCUAUUUAUAAAGUUGAGCCUAUAAAAUAUGACACCCCAAAAUAGAGUUAACCUCCAAAUCAAAAGUAAGAGCAUCUCCUAAAGGCUUUCUAAAGUUUACUAUCUAAAUCAUAGUUCAGAAACUCAUUUGAGUCAUUUCUACCCUUCAAUAGCCCUUUGUAUAUCUUUUGUGCACUUUAUAGAGUUAUUUUCACUCUCCCAGAAUAAAGGAUGUCUAUAUUUAGAAGUUCAAUUAAAAAGAGGCUAUUUUUUUUUGCCAAAAUCUCUAUUUCCUAUGGAUUAGUAAGGAUAGAGAGAGUCCUUUAAGUUGUUCAUCUUCAAGGGUUUUCCUAAAACUCAUUCUCUAAAACAUUAUUUGGAGAACCAUUUGCAUAAAAUUAUUUUUUAUAUCUUUUCACCUUCCAACAGUUUUCUAUAUGUUUUGCACACUUUAGAGGGCUAGCAAGAAAUUUAAAAUAGAUGAUGACUAUAUUUAAAUAACAAGAAAUUCGAAAUAGAUGAUGGCUAUAUUUAGAGAUUUAUUUAAAGAUUUUUUGGAGAGUUUUAUUACAUUAAUUAGGAAUUAUAUAAAGAGGCUCUUAGAGUUGCUCUAAGGGCUCUAAUUUAAAGGUUAUUUUUUGGAGGUAUAAACACCGCUGAUAUUGUUAUUACUGACGCAGAGGCCGAGUAUUACCUCCAUUCUAUAUAAUCACACCGCAAAUUUGCACCUUUAUUUUUUCCCCAAAAUGUAGUCUUGUUAGUAUGUCUGAGAGGGUGAAACCUUAUCUAGAAUGCUCGUUGGCCAAACUAUUUUAGGCCAUGCGUAGAACACCUGAAAUCUAUUUCACGGAAAUCAAUCUUCCAAAAGAUGUCUGGGCAGUUAAGAAAUUGUUCUAUCGAUAUACAUGGCAUAAUAUGAAACAAUAGAUAAAUAGAGAGAAACAAAAAGCUCUUUUUUCUCUUAGGUCUUGUUUAGUUCUCAAAAAAAUUACAAUUUUUUUAAUUCUCCGUCGCAUCGAAUUUUGCGGCAUAUGCAUGAAAGUAUUAAAUAUAGAUAAAAAUAAAACUGUAAUUUAUGAGACAAAUCUUUUGAGUCCAUAAUUGGACAAUAUUUGUCAAAUACAAACGAAAGUGCUACAAUGUCCAUUUUGCCGAAUUUUUUGGAACUCAACAAGGCCUUAUAUAAAGUACAAAGUAAAACUAAGCAACACCAACAGUUUUGUAAAUAGAUUUGGCAUUCUUAUUUUUUGCCAAAACUUUCAAAAUCUUCUAUCCAACAGUUUGGCAAUUGGGCUUGACAUUUAUAACAAGUUGUCAAAUUCUCACUCCUUUCUUGGCAUUUAUCCACGCUUGAAAUAGGCUUGGCAUACUGCAUGCGCGCGCUUUUAAUAACAAGCUGACAACCUGAUGCUUCUUCGUUGAUCUCCGGAACCAGCAGAAUUUUUUUUUGCCAAGUCCAAAUUGCCAAGCACUUGGAAAUACCUUUUUUGUUUCCUCUCCAUAUUGGUUUGGGAGUUAGCAAAUAACAAUGUUUGCCACACAAAAUUUGCAAAACUAUUAGAGUGUUGACCUGCAUCACUACUUAUUUCACAACACGAACAUUGAUUUUCUCCUGUAGAACUUUUGCCUCAGUUCAGAGUGCUUGGGGAAUUUCCCCGACAGCUCAAAAAAACAUUGAUUUUCUCCAGGGGCCACAUAUUGUUAUAUGCGCCAAAAUUUGGCAAGGUGGUAAAUUUAGUUUGAGCCUAGAUCAGAAUGCUUUGGCCUGCACACUAUAGAUGAGACCGUGAACGUACAGUUUCACCGUCAACAAAAGCACCCAAGCGAUGCUAAUUUACCAGGUCAAGCAUUUUACGCCGACAAAUGACAUACUUGCAAGCAGUAGCCCAAUAACAAGUCCAAGAGACGACAGUCAACACCUGAAUGGAGUUAUGCAAUAUUCCUCAGCGUCUAACUUAAAACGUGUGAGCAGGAUCAAGUCAUGAACAGAAAGGGCUUCACAGUGCCAAUACCACGAACAAGGUUCACUUAAGAGAAAUUCAGGCGACACUAGGUAUUUACACGUGGAUAACCUGGCCUAACUAAUCCCUGCGUAAAGCCGCCCGAAGUUCCGCUGGAUAAUCCCCAAACUGAGUAGUGGAGGGAGGAUGCAUGUUGAAGACGUAGGUGACUGGUGCUGCCACUUGCAUCCCUCUUGGGUGCCUGGAGAUAUCUGAGAACCAUCCUAGAGUUGCUUCAUCAAACAUAAACGAUUCGCUGAGGAAAAAGAAGCAUUCUCUAGCCAAUCUUUCCACCUGAAAAAAACAGCCACAAAAGUUAUAUUUCACAGUUGAGCGCAAUGUCAAGUGUUGGAUAUUGAAUUGCAAAUGAGCGUCGAGGUAUCGCUUACCUGUAACUGAAUAUAUCUUGUGUUUUUCAUUAUCAGGAUGACCUGCAGGUCAGACAGCCUUUCUGAUAAGAUCUUGAUGGCCAUAUUUGCGAAGAACUUAUGCAAGAGAGCCUGCUCACAGGCUGACUCAUCAUUAUCAAAGUCAGCGAACCAAAAAACUCGCUUAAGUUUUGUCCAAGGAACUGGUAAUUUAUGCUCAAGCCCAGUGAUUAGACUAGAUGGAUCAGCCAAAUUUUCGAGUAUCUUGAGGCCCUUUGGAACUGAAUAAGACUCAACAGACUGAAGACCAGGUGUACCAGCAACAAUCUUACAGACAUCAUAAAACUGGCUAAGCUUACUAGAGAACUCCAGGGUUUUAUCAUUCAUGACAAGAAUAUACCCAUCUCCAUCAGCAGGAAGCAACCUUGUACAGCACAAUGAGGUGGCUCUGCCCUCUUGAGAGCAUAUUCCAGAUGUGACAGGUGCAGAAACCUUUGAGCCAAAAUCAUGUGAGUAUGGACAAGAGUUACCACUUCGACAACCCUGAUUCAAGAGAACAUAACAUCAGAGACCAAAACAGAGAGAUGUGAGGUGUAACUCAGUACCCAUGCAUUUCAGAAAAUACAAAAUCUAUGCAAGGUCAAACAGCAUCAUUUGUAAUUUAUUCAUUGUAUUGCAUUGAAUUUGGCCAUACAGAAAUAUUAUGAAUAAAAACUCUUGCUACUAGAAGCACAGGAAAUCAACCUAAAUUAACAGCUAGGGCUACAAACUCGAAUGAAGAAGACAUGAGCCAACAAAAUGUGAAUGAUCAACCAAUAACAUAAAAUAUGAAAAAUCAUACCUGUAAUGUGAGAUAGAACUUGCAUACUGGUUUAGGAGCAAGGGAUGAAUGAGAAAAGCGGCAUGCAGCCCCAAGAUUGCAUGAUCCAUUAGCAAAAAACACACAUGCCUCAGUUCCCAAGGUUGGCUUCACAUUAGAACGAAGUUGUCCCUUGUGAGAAAUUGUCGGCUCCUCAGCAUGUUGUGUUCUCAUCUGCGGACCAAAUAAGAAUCAUUAUGGGUAGCACAGAUAAUUAAUUGGACUGCAUUUAACAUAUACUCAUUAAGUUCAUCGACUAGAGCACACCUCCUUGACAAGUGUCUUCAGCAAUUCAGCAAUGGUACUGGUCCCAAAAUCAGUUGGCGAAACAUAUGGAGCUGCACUGCAUCGCUUCUGCGAAUCGCUGUGAGAAUUCUCGGCCUCUAACGAGAGUGAAUCCAUAUCCACCUCUAGAUCCAGUAUUUUAUGAUAGAGACACGUGUGGUUGAAUUCAUAAGGCUGAAGGAACUUUGGAGGAUUGAUUUUGACAAGAAAACUUGGCCUAAAACGGUGCAGUUGCAUCAUAACAUCAUCAUCUAGUCAAAAGAACGAGUUAGCUGCUGACAAAUGUUACUCAAAUUGUAUGAAAAAUCUUGCACUUCUACGAGUAGAUCCUAACACCAAGUAAGCCUUGUUUGAACCCAAGCUAUACUUCUACACAGAACUAGAAGGUUACCUUUUUCAAAACUGUACAUUUUUCCAAUAUAUGCAUGACAAAAGGGGAUGGUACUAAGCCACUACUCUAAGGUAACGUACUAGGAGUACCUAUACUCUCAUAAAUCGCAAGAGUACAGGCAGAUGACAUACAAAUUUCAGAGAUGUUCUUAAACGCUGCAGGCACGAGAUUGUGAACUGCACACCACUCCUCUUCAGGUUUAGUAAGGAAGGUAUGUGAUUCUUCUGGUUCUUGAGUGUUCGCCACAUCUUUCAGAUAUUCCAAACGGUGCUUGUCCUGAAAUACAGGGUGAAUUUAAUCCUGAAUUGCAGACAAUAAAAAGUUCAAGGGCAUUUUAAAACUGAAGCAAAAAACCUUGUUCUAACAAUUGUUGGCAUGUCAUGGUUUAAGACUUCAAAUUAUCAAUGUUGCAAACAAAACUAUCUAAUGUCCAGUGUAUGCAGGGAUUAUUACAUAUAGGAUAUACCUUAAAAACACGCUCCCAAAAUUGAAAUGCACAAAGAUUUCCCAUGGUGGUAGCUUCCUUUUUGCCAAUUUGUACACUGCCAUUUCCCUUGAAAUAAUUAUCUCUGUACUUCUGGCGCUGUAAAACAGAUAACAGGGAAAAAAUUUUAACGCAAACAGAUAACAGGGAGUAACUACCACAAUGGAACUGGAGAUGAAGGAUGGUCCAUAACCCAACUAAAGAAUACCACAUACCAGUGCUUGAUAGCCAAAAGGCUGCACGAUAGGAAGUGGCUGGAUGUCCAACAUGAUGCUUAUUAGAAUUCCUUCAUGAACAGCGCCAAGCUCACAAAAUUUAAGGGCAAGAACAGAAGAAUCAAAUGACAAUGGCAAACUAUUGAGCAAACAGCCAUAAAAAGUGGGCUCAUAGCGUCCAGAACUUGUCCUCUCCAACGCAUGAAUUUGAACAAGUGAUUCUAAUGCAUCUUCAAUAGCAUCUGGAUCUGGUGGAUUAAGAACUCUUUGCAGAAGUGCUGAAGAAAAAACAUAGUAAGAGGUUUAUCUUAACCUAACUAGGUAGCAAAAAACUUGACCACAAAUAUAUACAUAAGUUUUUGAACUCAUUACACGAAUAAACUAUUGAUGUAUUCUACAUAAAAAAGUACCUCUAUUGUGUGAUAUCUUUUGUGAUGAAUAUAGUAUCGAAGUAUUCUUCAAAAUAAGUACCUCCAUUGUGUGAAAUCUUUUGUAUAAUUUGAUAAAAAAUAUAGAAUUAUGAAAUUUAAGUGCCAAGGUUUCCACUUUGAAGGUGUGAAAAAUAAAAAAAAAAGGACAGCGACAAACUCACCAAAUAAAAUCAUAGAUUGCUUCAAAUUAAAAACAAUGAACUCUGUGUAAAAUAAGUAAAUCACAAGAACAAGCAUGGAUUAAGGAUUCAAGGGUGUCUGAGCUGCAGAGAAAAAGAAUUACCGCUAGGGUCAUUUAUCGAUCUGGGCUCUGCACAACAAACCAUGAGCACUUGUUCCCUUAAGGAUAACCUCAAAAUGGCAGGAUAUUCAUGAUCAUUUAAACUGCUAUAAAAUGUUCCAGUUACCAAACGAUAAAUUUGACCAUCACAGGUUCGACCUGUCCUGCCUUUACGCUGCUCAGCCUAGGAAAAGAUUAAAGAAUAGUUACAAAAGUUUCAAGCUAAAAAGUAAACUUGAACAAGAAAAGCAUUAGGGCAUCUGUGAUUAGUUACCUGAGACUUGGAAAUCCAAACAAGCCCAGCUGCAUCUGUUUUCCUAAUUGGGUCCCAGUAGACUUGCAAUGAUCUACAAGAAUCAAUAACAUAUGCAACUCCUGGUAUAGUAACUGAUGAUUCAGCAAUGUUUGUAGCCAGUAUCACCUGCAGGGAAAAAGAAAGUUCCAUUGUGCUUUAUUGGUAACAGAUCAUUUCAACUAUCUAAAUAUAAAACACGCCCAAACUAAGUUCAUCUGUAUUGUUAUUUGUUACAACUAAUUAUGUUACAUCCCUUCAAGUGUUACAGGGUAUCCAGGUAUCCUUGUAGUCCAGUCACAGAGCUAAUUCCCCUUUUUAAAAGCAGCCCUUCACAUCUCAAAUAUAAAUCCAUUUGGACUCAUGGCUAUGAUACCUCCUCAAUAGUUGUAAUAACUAAGGUAGUUGGGGUGCUUACUUAUUGAAUAGGCAAUUCAAAUGGCAUAAAAGGUGCCUUGAUGAAUAGAGUGUGCAUGUUUCCUACUGUAUUUUCCUAAAAAAGAAGCCUUGAAAUUGUUGAUGAUCUUAUAUUUGGUGAAGUGUAAUUCUCCAUAACAUACAGCGAUAAAAAACACAUAUCAUACUGAUGCAUAAAUUAACAUAUACAGGAAACAUCAACAGCUAAUCAGGAAAGACAGGUAACUGAGGCAUAAAUGAGAUCAGGAAAAAGAGGUAUUUCUGCUUGAGAUUUCAGCAACCAUGCUAUUGCAAUUAGAAAAUAAUGAUACAACCACACUUCAUCCAUUUCAAAAUGUAUGAUGUGAUUUGAGCCAGUGUUGUCUCUUGUCUCCAACGAUACACUUUCACCAUUAAUAUCUCUUUAUGUGAUAUAAGCCAAUGACCAUAAAAUCAACAUCAUAUUUAGUAAUGGAGAUAUGAAUAGAAUUUCUAGCUUAUAUCUCACCAUCUAUAGAUUCUUGGGCUUUUUUUUUCAAAGUUUAUUAAUUUUGAAUAUUGAUAUCUGUGCGUGUCUUAUAAAAAAAAGAACGAGCAUAAAUAGAAAUUCCAUAAAAUAAUCCAAUGUAUUACUGCUACCAUUAUUUCUCACUACUGGCACCACAUAGCCAGAAAUAGAAGCAAGUAUUGGUAAGAAAAAAGACCACGUAUGGUAUGAUAGAAAUAUAGGUGUAUGUACCUUUCGGCAGGACUUUGAGAUCUUCAUAGUCUGAAGCGCUUCAUCAGUGUCAAUACUCCGGUGAAGAAUAUGUACCUUAAAGGUUGAACUAAAAGGAAAUAGACGGAUCCAUUGCUGCUCCAAUGCAUAGUAUGUAGGGAGGAAAACCAAAAUACUCUUGCUAACGUCUGGUUCAUUUUGGUGUAUAUGCAACAAUAAUUUGUGGAUGAGUUCAUAAACAUCAUAGUUUAUGUCAGCAUCAGCAGAAGCAUCCAGACCAGAGCAAUAUUUUGUUGAAAGCGAUUGGGAAUUUAUCUUGAGAAUAUCAGCAAUCUGAAAAGCAUUGUUGCAAUAUGUAAUGAUUAACCAUGAUGAAGAAAGCUUGAGGAAAUGAAUAUAUAUUACCAUUUAAAAAUUGCAAACAGGGAGGUGGAACAGAAACCAAUGUGCCAUGGCAACAUUAAUGAAGUUGUCAAAGUAAUGAAACUGGCAUUAAUUACACAGGCAUGAAUAAAUGAACAUGUUUAAUUAGUGGGUCAUAUAAUUUGUGGAAAUGGUUACUUUUACAUUGGAUCAGCAAUAUGAUUAAUUGUAAAUACACAAACAAACAACAUCCUGUGGUGCAAUCAGACAUAAAAGAUUUGAAGACACAUCAUGCAAAUUGGUUCAUUGUAAGUUCAAUAAUAUAUGAUGGACAAAGAUAGUACAGAGUUAAACAAAAUAUUCACCUGCUCCAGGUAUAAGACUUUGCGCUGAAAAAUGCUUGUACGUGGACUGCAGGGAAUGGCAAUCACUUCAACCCUUUCACCUCUUCCUAUAUCUCUAAAAUAUUCUUUAUAUCUAGUAAUGUCAGCAGUGGCAGACAUCAAAACCAACCUGCCAAGAGUGACACGGUGACAUACCAACAGCAGGUAGACGAUUAAUUAUUUAUACAAAAUAAGAUGGGAACAAUUACUGCUAAAAGACAAACAUGGUGUACCAUACACUAGUGGACACUACCUAUUGCUUACCUUAAGUCACUUUUUUUCAUCAAAAACUGCUUGAUACUAGCAAGGACAAGAUCAGAUUCCACGGAUCUUUCAUGUACCUCAUCAAGAAUAAUGACCUUAUACCUCAAUGCGGCAAUUCCCCUAUCACACAUUUGCUCCAAUACUACACCGGCUGUUUUGAACACAAUUUUUGACCUGAUUCACACGUCAAAUAAGUUUAGAAAGUAAAUUAUGUAGCAUAACAGGACUUAAGACAAAAUCAAAGGUAGGUAAAAAUGGACCAUAAGCUUUAGGCAAAUUGAAUACCCAAGAGAAUAAUAAGGCAAAUAACUGGAGAUUCAGAGUAACGAAGCUAGGAACGGCGGUGUUCAAUGUUGUGUAAAACUAGUGAAUGUGUACGUGGAAUCCACACUGACAGAAACAUAUGUCAAGAAUUAGCACCCAGUGUUUCAACACAUGUGUGACCAAGAACCUAUCUUUGACAUAGCUCGGUGGUAUUUUAGGAACAUAGGGUUCCAUUUGUGGUAUUGGAAAAAUACUAUUAGAAGCUGCAAAAAGACUAAUCAAAGGAAUCAAGGAGAGGUAUGCAGAUAGGGAUCGACUCGGAGAGUUGGGCAUAGAAUUGAUGAAUCCAAGAUGUAAGGUUCUCAGGAUCAGGGUUCUAGCAAGGAACAAUUUUUAACACUUGACAAGGAUAGGAGGGUAAAAUGGAAUGAUUGUAGUCAUAGCCACAAGACUUCAAUCAAGUUUGCAUAAUUGCAUUCAUGAAAGACACUUGAGGGACGAUCCCCACAGGAUGAGCACAACCAAAGCACCCGGUACUAAUUCAAAACGCUUAAGUGCAGGGUAUGUUCCCUGAAGGAAUUUUAGUAGCAGUGUAAAAGCAUGGCAUCUUGGAGCCAAGUGCAAAGGUCCAACAAAAAGAGCACGAACUAUGACAAAGCUAAUGCAUGCCUGAUAACUAGAGAAGCAAAACACACUCUGGAACACCAUUUUUGCCCCUGCCACGUCAGCAGACUAAGGUACUCCAUGUAAUUACCCGAGUCAGAACGAUCACAAAAAAGCAUAAAUUCACUCAAUAAAGCUGCAUAUACUACUCAACUAAGUAUUGUGUGACAACUGAGAGCAGUCGAAUUUCCCUUAAAACAAUGGCAUUAGAUAACACAUAACGGAGUUAGGUACCUUUUAGAGUUGAGGUCCGACACAUUUGAGUGACCUAUAUGAUAUCCAACCUCCUCGCCAAGCUGCCAAUUGCGAGAUUCAGCUAUCGCUCGAGCAAUGGCUACCACUGCAAACCUUCUAGGCUGUGUGCACAGGAUAGGUUCCAUAUUUUCCUCUAAGAGGAACUGGGGAACCAGAGAACUCUUCCCUGCAAGAAAAGAGAACUGAAUACGGUAGAAAUUAAAAACAUAAAACCAAUGAAUUUCAAGAAAAUUGCAUCUUGCUCCACUGCCCAUCUGGUAAGGCAACGACAAAUUCGGGAAUCUGAAAUGCGAAUCCAUAGGAUGUAUUUCCGCACUAAAAGUACAUAAGUAAGGCAAAGACAUAUUCGGGGAAUCUUAAAUGCGAAUUCCCAAAUGGUGAAUUUCCUAUUUCCGCACUAAAAGUAGUAGAAGGUAGAACCUCCCCUUGCAAUUUACCCUUCUCUUCAGGGGAAGAACAGAGGAGACAACUGAAUGAAAGUUCGACUUGCUAAAACCCUUUUGUUCCUCCCCAAUCCAACAGAAACCGCGUCCAAAACCCCAGUGAUAACCCUAAUCAGACCUAAAAUUACAGCGAGUAGAAGAAAAUCGCACAAACUAAAGCAACACAAAUUCCAUGAAACUUACCUAAGUAAAAUCUUAAGAAAAAAAAAUCCAUCUCCUGACCUCAACAAAACCCCAAAUGGGUAAAAAGGCUUUUCAUCACAGCACAGAGCGCGCGCGCGCGCACACACACACAGUAGAACCGAUCGAGAAGGUAAUGGGAGAAGGGAAACCCCAGCAGUUACCGCAUCCGGUGUCCCCCACGAUCAGCGUGACGCGGUUCGCCUUCACCUUCUCGACGAUCUUGUCGCGAAGCGCCUCCACAGCGAGCGGCGGCCGCGGCGGCGGCCGCGGCGCAUCCUCCUGCUGCUGGUUCCCCUCCUCCACCAACACCACCCCCGGCGCCAUGGCCGCCGGCUACGGCUAGGAUCCUUCCGAGGCUCAGCGCAAUGCGGCGCCUUCGGCUGCAAGCUUUCCGGCCCCUUUGGGCUUGCCUCCAAUGGCUCGCGCCUUCCGUGGCAGUGUUUUUGCUGCCCCUUUUGAAGGGGGCCGUGGCGAACUACUAGCGAUGCCUUCGGGGACAGCGGACUUGGUGCGUGGACCAGCCCCACGAGACGAGAGCACGGGAGGGAACGGGGUACUAUUCACUGGUGCACCUAGACCGGGUCCAGAUAGAUACGACGCUGAGGCCCGAAACUACCUCCGGCACAGCUGAUGAAGGGUUUCCACGCGGUUUCUACCGGGGGAGUGGCGAUGUUUGUGUUGACGGGCCCACUUGUCAGUUUGACGUGUGUACCCUGUACUAGUCAUUUUUUCUAUCAUUGGCGAUGUUUGUGUUGACGGGCUCACCUGUCACUUUUUUCUUUUUAGCGCCCAUCUGGUCACAUGGGGUAGUUCCAAGGUAUGGUAAAAAAUUAGCUAAAAUUAGUUAGUGCAUGUAGGUGACAAUUAGUAGUGUAUCUAAAUAGAAGAGCUACUUCAAGUCUUUAACUAGUUGUUAGCUAACUAGUAACUAGUCCUAGCUCAUCAAAUAAGUCUAUAGUUAGACAAAAACAUGUUGAGGUUAACAAUAUUUAGUGUUCCGCGAAUCUAUCUAAGAGCAUCUCUAAGAACCUUUCUAAAUUCACUCUCUAAAUAAUCAUUUGGAGAGUUAUUUUAGUCAAAAGCUAUUUUGUGUAUGUUCUAAAGUGCUAAUAAAAGAGAAGUCCAUGAUUAGAGAGUUUGUUUGAUAAAAAAAAAUAGGGAUGCAAGCUAGUUUGUCCAUAAACUCGUAAAUAGUCCUAUUUUUUACGGGUUAUAUGGGUAAUUCGUAUAACACAAUUGCUAUUAAGCAGGCGUCUGAUUUUUUCCAAAAGAUCAAGCGACGUGUGAUGGCCAACAAUUAUAGGCUUCUUUUUACUUGCAUCAACUCAGCACUUAAAUAGUAGAUCGUGUCCUGAACACGUCGCCUGAGAGCUCAGGCAACUGAACUUUAGGAGAUGUGCAUAAUUUACGAUUUUCUUAUGUCUGCAAGCAGGUUUAUCCACAAUCUCCUAAAGCGCGCGCGCGCGCAUAUAUAUAUAUAUAUAUAUAUAUAUAUAUAUAUAUAUAUAUAUAUAUAUAUAUAUAUAUAUAAAGAUUCAAACUUUAGAAACUUUGAUUAAUAAUUAAGUUAAUUUUUUAACUAUUAUAAUAUAAACUUUAUAUGAUUAGAUUUCUAUAGAAUUAUACUAUCUAAUGAUUACAAGUUUAUAAACAUAAAUAAUAUAAUAUAAAGCAAAUGAAUGGUCAACUAUAAUUUAGGAGACCAUGUCAUUCUAACUUGCGCCUUAUAAAAUAGACGAGAGGGAGUACUUGUCUAUUAUUGCUGUGUUGAGCUUGAGUAGGACAUGAACUUAAGUGCCUUUUGUGUAGGACUAUGUUUUAGACUUUCGGAUUUGUGUAAGUGAUGUGUCAUACUCCCUCCAUAUCCUAAAUAGAAGACGUUUUGAAGCAAACACCGAUUACAGUAUUAGAUGAUGUUCAUGUUUGCGGGGCCUGUUUUGGAUGCAAGUACCCUUGGCUGCAGCCAGGAAAAAAUAUUGUAAAAAAAUACAGCUACCGCUAGGAUUUGAGCCAUCACCCUUUGGGCUCAAGCUGCAGAGUCUUGGCUAACUGAGUUACAAUUGAUUGUUGUGUAGGUAGCACUGCGCUUUAUUUAAUAAGGACAAGAUAGGAAAACUAACCCCUAAUUAAUUAUCUUUUGGUAAUUGUACUCAUGUUCUAAACGUCAUCUAAUUAGAAUACGGAGGGAGUAUUUGAAAUUGGUGUAUAUUUAUGUUACUAUAUUGAUGUUGUUCCUUACCAGUAAUUAUUGCCUAAAAUAUAGAACCGCUACCAAUUUUUUUUUUAAAAAAACAUGUGCUUUGUUUUGUUGACUUAGCUUCUACAGAAAAGCUUAGUUAGAACUAAAACCAAAUCGAAAGAGUUUCAAAAAAAAACAAAUCGAAAGACCAAAAACCAAAGUGCUCGAUUCUCCUGAUAUUUUAGAGCAUUUCAAUUUUGGUUUAUAAGGAACCAAGUUUUGUGUAUCACCAAAGAACCGAGAUUUGCCAAGGGGUUCACGACGCAAUGGCAAAGACCAUUGGUUGGGGGGCUCCCACCCAGGGUUCAAAUCCUGGGUGCGGCACUUUAUUCUGGAUUUAUUCUAGGAUUUUUCCGGCGCUAUGCAUUAAGUGGUAGGCGACGUGCCCGUCGACAGCGAGGCGUCUGUGGUGACUUCGUGAACUUCAAGAUUUGCUGGCUCAGUCCUUCGAAGGUGCUCAUAGGGGUAGGGUUUGCGUACGUGUGUUCAUAGGGGUGAGUGUGCGUGCGUGUUGAGUGUCUGCGUUGUACUGUGUAAUCUCAAAAAAAAAAAGAACCGAGAUUUGGCACACCCCAACGCCUUUUUUUAGAAUGCAGAAAACCAUAGGGUAAAAAAUAUAUCACAGAAAACCAUAAGAGACGGAGAAAGGAUUGGGCCAUCUCUUAAAUUCAUCGCAGAAAACCAUAAGAAACAUUGUAUUAUUAGCCUUGCUCUAACUCAAUUAGAUGCCAUCUUAAAUUACUCGAUUCUACUUAUAUAUGUAAGUCAUUUAGAUGGGAUCAUGGGAGGGGCAUCUUUUUUUUUUUAAAAAAAAAAACUCCGAUCACUGUAACUCAUCAAUUAGAUAGGCCAUCCUAGAUUAUUCGAUUAUACUUGUAUGGGACAUCUUUUAAAUUCAUCGAUUUCACUUAUAUGAGGCAUCUUUUAAAUUCUUCAGUUUCUGUAACUCCCGUUGAUGAGUGUUUAAAGCGAAAUGGCCUCGCUAUGUUACCGUGAGUCUACUUCAAACAAACAGUGACCCCUGAUAUGAACACGAUCCUUUUUACCUGACAGUUACACCCGCAAGCUAAAUUAAAAGUUACUCCCUCCAUUCCAAAUUACAAGUUGUUUUUACUUUUUUGGUACAUCCAUUUUACUAUGUGCAGAUACAUAACACAACGGAUGAACCAAAAAAAAUCAAAACAACUUAUAAUUUAGAACAGAGUAUAAAACAUUCUAUACUAACAUUGCACGCUGAAAAUGCUCACACUCAGCACGAUGUGCACCCCUAGCAAAAUAAUCGGCAACAUCAAAUAGUCAUUUAAUCAGGAUGCCUCUCCACAAAUGAACAGAUUAGCUCAUACUCAAGAUAUCAACCAAACUGUUUUGAGGAACAGUGACAGGCCCGGCCGCCUCCGCUGCCUCAAUGUCUAGACCACAGGAACCAUUCUGGGUUUCGCCCCCAAAACAACCAACCAACCAACUUGGUUCAUUCUUCAUGUCCUAAGCAAUCUAUGCAACACAAUUACAGGCCUUAAAAAGCGGCAUUGUCCCAUGUGUCCACCAGCAUCAGCCACGGCCACGGCCCCCACCUGUGCCAACAAGUAAAGCGUCCCACAGAUUGGUAUCUCUUGACACUGAGGGGUGGGACUGAAAACAUGUGUAAGCGGUUACAAAGAGCACAUACCUUUGUUGCCACCUUUGGCACCAACACCCCUUCCACGACCACCACUGCCUCUACCUCCAUCAUCUUGGCCACGUCCAAUGCCUCUGCCUCCAGGUUUAGUACCAACGUCCCCUCUUCCUCUUCCGCGGCCAACACCUGGUGGCUUCCUAUCUGCAUUUACAGCAGUAUACAAAAAAAAUAAAUCCUGAAUAAGUAACCAAUUACUGUGCAACGAAUGACUCAGACUACAUGAGCAGAUAUUGCAAUAUUUAUCAAUUCAAGUAUAGAACAUAAGUAUAUGACUGACAACAAAUAAACUAUCAUGUAUGUGUCUACAUAAAACAGAAUAAUGAAAAACAGGCAUAGCCAUCCAUACCAACACGCUGCAAACUGUGACAUUCAUAAUAGUAAUAUUAUGACAUGGGGUAAUCACGAGAUCAUCGAUAACGUAAAGUUCAAAUUCAUAUGUUAUGUGGUUAACUGAAUAGAGCAAACAUGUAAAUAUAAACUGUCAAAGUAUUGUUAACCACUCCAUACCUGAUCGGCUCUUGGAAGUUUCCUCCUGAACCUUGUCAAUCACCUGAAGAAGGAAAUGAACCAUUCAAAUAAGACCACAUAGAUUACAGAAUAAUGCUAAUUUAUUUUAAUGUACAGAAAGUAAACAAAUAACAGAAUACAAACAAAGAAUGGCAUGGGAAGAAAAAGAUGUAAAUUUAGGAAAAAAAUCUUAGCGCACUGCGAAAGAACUUAUGGCUGCUAGGCAUGUUUAUUGCAUCUGAAGUUUUGAACUACAGUUAACAAAUGAAAGUUAGGUAGACUGAAGAAGUUCCUAAGAAAAUCUAGCAGGGGACCAAACAAGAAAAACUGAGUAAGUGAGCAGAGCAUAAAUAAUUUAUCCUGCAUUUCAGUCGAUAUGAAAACCCAAAAUCAGACCCUGUACGCGUUAAUUACUGCCAGAGUUUUAUCAAUGAACAACACAAUCCAACAACACCAUUCUGAGCACCAGACACCCAAAAGGCAUCGUGACAUAUUUCCAGUUUCAUUCACACCUCAGAUAUUGCUAUUUGAAUACUUGAGAACUAUUUAAGGCAUGUGCUAAAUGGAAUGCUACAGUUUAUUUAAUCGCUUCCAGUAUAAAGAAAUUUUAGAGCGCAUUUUACAAGUUUCAUCACCAUUAUGACACUAAACUACAAGUAAUGUAUAACAUAACUACAUUAUCACAGUUACAACUCAACUAUUAACAGAAUCAGGUUUUUAUGUGAAGGUCAUGCACAAUACUUAUGCUUUUGAGCAGUUCACUACAAAUUUGCAUGUACUUGCGCUUAUAAUGAUGCUUGAAUUAGCGACUAGUGAGAUAUGUGGUUCCAUAUAAUCUUAACUACUCCCUCCAUCCCAAAUUUUAAGUCAUUCCAAGAAUCUUGGAGUCAAAGCAUCUCAAGUUUGACCAAAUUUCUAUGGUAGGAAAACAUUUAUGAUAUCAACUAAGUAUCAUUAGGUUCUUCAUUUAUUAUAUUUUCAUAGUAUAUCUAUUUGAUGCCACAAAACUUUGUAAACUUUUCUAUAAUUUUGGUCAAACUUGAGAUGCUUUGACUCUCCAAGAUUCUUGGAAUGACUUACAAUUUGGGAUGGAGUAAUUCACAUUACGCUUCGCUGGGGUAAGGCAGUUUGCAGAUCUAGUAAGCCUAUCACAAGACGAAGUUUACUUGGUGCUAUACUCAGUGAAGUUCUAAAACAAAUUAACACAACACUAGCAAACUGGUGACAGUCUAAUUACUUUUUGAAAUACUAAGUUUCACUUUCAUGAUAAUAAUGCAAGGGCGACAUACACAGCCCCCAAUCACCCCCAAAUACUCCCUCGGUUCAGCUAUUAGGUUUCUCAUGGUACCAUGAUUCCAAGUUUGACUUGACCCCUGUACUCUAUCAUAUUCUACAGUGUUAUCAAGCCACACGAUUAAUCACGAUUAGUCAUCCUAGUCAGUAUCCUGAACUCGACUAGGGGCUACAACUCAAUUAGGAUGAUUAGUUUUCUGGUCGUCCAACUAGUCAUCGACUAAUUGCAAUUAGUCGUACACUGGGACAACUAUUGGGUGCACGACCAAAAACAGAAUAGAAUUGCUGGGCAACUGAGGACAUGGGCUGCAUCUGGGAUGGCAUAGGCCACUUAGGCUCAUGUUUUUCAGCCCAAUUCAUGCAGCCACCAACCUAGAGUUGUCUUCACGCUUGAUUUGUACUCUAGAACAUAUAGUAUAUAAGUAUUAUAUAUUUAGUGUAUUAGUCCUGAUAUAUAUAGGAUGACAAGGACUGAUCGUUGACGACUGGUCACCCGGUCGGUACCAUGGCGACUAGGAUUGACUUCAUGGCUUGAUAACAUCAUGCAGGACAGCUAACUUAAAGAACAGCAUAAUCUGUGCCUUCUUUAUCGAAGGAUAUGAGAUGCAAAUUUCUUUUAUGAUUUAUGUACAGAAUGCUGAUUGACUUGCUACUAUAUUUUAUCUAAUCAAUGCUUCAGUUUGUCAAGCAUACACAUCUACCUCGAAUAACCUCCUCAAUGACUACAUAAGAUCAAGUAAUUCAUAUGGUCAUCUCAUUUCGUUGUAUUACUUGAAAGUUUGAUCUGCUCUUGUAGUUCUUGAUUUGUUUUGUUUAUUGUUCAAUAAUUUGAUUGUUUAGAGUAAGUUUUCAACAUAAGCGGUCCCUAUUGUAUUACUAAAGACAUGAACAUACAAUAGGGACCUCUUAUGUUGAAAACUUACUCUAAAGAAUCCAAUUAUUAAACAAUAAACAAAACAAAUCAAGAACUACAAGAGCAGAUCAAAAUUUCAAGCAAUACAAAUAAAUGAUUAUAGAUUGACCAUUCAAUUUUUUUAGAACUAAAUUCAAGUUAAUGAUCUUUGCAAGGUUAAAACAAUAGGCUAGCCACACAAUUGAAGCCCUCAGUGCUUUAGCUGUGCUGGUUUUGUAUACAGGCAGGACUCACGAGUUGGUUUGAACUCCAAGUAGUAAACUGUUCUGUAAUUUGUUGCUUUAUGGUAAUAUAAAAUUCAGGUUUCCCAUGGUGGAAAAAAACUACAAAGAAAUAAUUCCAGAGAGCAAUACACAUCACAAUGACAAGGACGAAAUCAGGGAGAGCGCAAGAAUCUAGACAACCGAGCAAAUUGAAAAUAGAGAUUAGCUAGGCUCAUUAACCCAGAAAUUGAUACCUCAUCAGGAACUCGAAGAUACUUAAUGGUGUUCCCGCGGAUGUAACAUUCUGGCAUCCUCCAAAACUUGUCACCAUCCUGCAAUUCCAGACACAUCAUCAUAAACCAUAACUACAGGAAACUCACAAACUAAUUGGACAGAAUAACUGGAACCCCACAAUGUCACUAUUUGAAUUUCAACCAUGCUUUCUUCGGAGAAAAGAUUCACCCCAAAAUCAAACAGUGCACUCAACUAAUCUUUUGCUAACUAGAACCUAUCACAAUGUGAAUCAAGGGCACGAGAUUUUUCACCUUUGAGGUGCAAAUAACCUCCCUAAGGUGGAUGUUCAUCCACGUGUCGCAGUUGACCAGAUGCCCGUUGUACGUCUCACCAUUCUUCAGCUCCACGAGCUGAGAUCACAAAAGUUUUCAACGAGUCAGGACCAACAAUAGACUUAACGAAGAAUCGCACGCCAAAAACAACGGCGAAAGAAGAAGCCAGACACCGGGAUCUUACCAUGGGGUGCCCCUGGGCGGUCUUGAGGAGCGAGAGGGGAAGCUGCACACGAGAACAAAAAAAAUCGAAUCAGACGCGGCCCACCAACCACAUCUCAGUUUUGGGGGAUCGAGGUGUAAACGAAGGGACGGGCGGAAACACGCACCAUCUUUUACGGGAUCCGGGGAUCAAAAAGGCCGGAUCGGAGGAGGGAGGAAGGAGGCGGUCGUAUCGUCGGCGCACGGUCGGUCGGCGGCGGAGGGGAGAGGAAGAUUCCGGCAGCAAAACCCUAGUUUUCUCGCGGCGAAGAGGAAGGAGGCAAAGGUCGUGAGGCCGGAGUAUGGAGAAAAUACGACCGCAGCAGACGGGUGGGUGCUCGUAUAGGGCUAUAAACGACAAAAGGCACCAGACGUCCGGCCAUGGCCCGUUAAGGCACGGCCCGAGUCACCAUCACAUGAGCCGGCCGAGGCCAUCCAUGGCACCACCGUGUGAGCUGGGCCGGACUGCGCCCCCAAUUGCCUAGGUCGGGUGUAUUUCAAAAAAUAGACUCAGUGGUAAUGAAAUUUCAUUAGUAGUGAGUGAUUUUCAAAGGUUUGCACUUGCUUCCUCAUCGCGUCACUACAUCCGAUGCAAUAUUAGUCCUCGCCUAGUGGUAUUGAAAAACUAUAUUAGCCAAAAAAUUCUCCCUUUAUAAUAGCUUGACCAUUCUCUUUUCCUAGACAUUUUUUUCUUGACCGACAAAACUAAAGCCCUAAUCAGUUAUUAUACCUGUGUCCUUAGGCUUUCCUCCAUUUCCAUUCAUCUUAAUCUUUUCUUCUCAUAUGUUGACCACUUCACCUCCGUGGUCCUUGCUAUCUCCUUUCAUGGCUCCAUGCAUGCCAACACCUUUUUUGUGGACUAAACUAGCCCAUCAUCUCAAGUAAAUAUAUUAGUUCACUGAUUGUAAUUGAAUUACCAAAAUCCAACAUGUCUUUCAAAUGGGCGUGCCUAGCCCAGGCCCAGUCCUGUCAAACUAUAGACCUGGAGCGAAGCUAGAAGUUAUGGGCUCUUUAAUACAACUCUAAUAUAAUAUAAUAACAAUUCUAAUAAGUGUAAUAUAUUAAAAAAAUUAUGAAACAAGUUAUACAUCUUAUCUUAUCUUAAAAAAUUCUUCUAACAUUUGCUGCAGCGAAGUCAUUGAUGAUGGCCUCAAUAUCAAUUUCACCUAAUAAUUAUCCAUAGUAAAAACUGGUUCUUCACCAAAACGAGUAGAUUCCAUAGUAGGAGAAUUAAAUACGAGCUCAUGAUCACUCACAUUAUUAUCAUCUGUAUCGAUGGCAACAUUAUCUUCUAUAGGGCCUUCAUCUUCUACAUGAAUAGUUUGUUCCUCCACAGGAGCUAUUGUCCACUCAUCUAGAUUUGUUGUAGUGCUUAUAUUGUUCUUCAAAAAUUUAUCAAGAGCUCCUCUUUGUGAUUCUUUGAAGUCCUCUAUCCUUCUCUUUUUUUUCUUUUCUCACUUCUAGAUGCAUGCUUUUUGGGCAACAUGAGUUCACUGUAAGUUUAGAAAAGUAGUAAGUAAUGAAAUAAAAUUAUGCCAUACUAAAUUUAACAUGAUCACUGCAUCACAUAGGGUUCCUAAAUCCUAAACCUAAAUCAGUAGGGACUAAAGAUUGGGGACAAGCAUAGUUUUGUACCUCUGUACAGGACGACAACAGAACAAAUGCAGCAGCAGCGUCCAGGAACAAAUGCAGCAGCUGCACUCACACGGGAUACAGGAUUGCUGACGGCCAAUCGCAGCCUCGCGUAGGAAGCCAGGAACCAGGAAGUUACGGCCGUGCGGCGCAAGGGCAUGAAGUCACGGAUGCAGCCGUCGCUGCGGAAACUGAAUCGACUCGUCGUGUGCUGGGUCACAUGGACUCGUAUAUACAUACCAUGGUCGAUGGCCUGCUUUGCUGGUUAUUUCCUGGUUGUACUAAUACUAUAUAUUAUAUACUUACUACUAACAUAUUUGGGGUUGGGCCCCAUGGCCUCAAGGUCCCAGUUCAGUGGCUCUGCUUGCACCCCCCCCCUGGGCCGGGGCUGGCCUAGCCUCUUGCACAGCCAGCAACUAGGACCAGCCAUGGGCCUUUGGCAGGGGCGGUAGUCUUGAUCAGGCUUUUGCGCGGCUGGGGCUAACUGAGGCUGGCCAGAGAGUGGCCGCUCCUAUCUAGAGGUAGGGUUUGUAGGAUGAUUUUUUCUUUUAUGAACAAUACUUUAACACUGCAUCAUAUAAAAAAAUUCAUGUGUACAUGUGUUAGUCGAUGAACACUGCUUUUAUUUUUUUUGUUGCAAUUUGUUUUACAUGUGAAACUGUUUUGUUGGUCAAUAAAUAGUAGAAUCAUAUGUGAAUGAAAUUUGUUUUUGCUAUGCUCUUGUAUUCUUAGUUCGUGAAUAGUACAUUCAUAUGUGGAAUAGCAUUUUGUUUUAAUUUAUAUUGCAACUUAAAUUGUCGUCCCAUGGAUAGAUUUUUUAUAUGUAGUUCAUCAAUUGUACAUUUAGUCAUACCAUAACGAGACCUGGCAAAUAACAACCACACUAGAGUUUUUAUUGCCCGUUUGUUAAUUGGUAUUAAUCCGUGUUCGUACCUCGGCAUAUUCCAAUAUCAUUUUCGAUUCUAAUUUUUCCAACCCGGUUUUGUUUCUGCUAAAAAAUACAAAAACAUAAAUGGUAAAAAGGGUUUUCCCAUCCGUUUUCAUCCCUAGUUGCGGUAUGAUGGGCAACACAGUUGAUUAAAGUAAGAUUUUUGUUUGUAUGAGAAAUUUAUAUGACAUGUUUAAUGUAUUUACUAUCCUUUUGUUGUUUGUAAUAUAUAUCAUGGGGAAUCCAAGGUUUUUUACCUGCUUUGUAAAUGGUAACAAUGAGGAUCUGCCUUUGGAUGAAUUGUUCAACCAACCUAAGGUGCUCCCAUCUCCUGUUGUUGCAAGUACUCAUUAUGCAAAAAAUAAUAAUGAGACGAGGACGCACUACUCAUGUUAGCUUGGUUGCGUGUUAGCAAAGAUCCUGUGAGUGAAACUGUUGGUGCAAAAGCUGAUCUGCAAACACAAAGGGCUAAUACCCGAUUUAAACGUUAAGGCGUGCCAGCCGAUUUGACCUUACUAUCGGCAAAGGUGGUAACUCGAAUACUUUGGUCCUGACAACAGCGAUGCGCCCGGAUGUCACGGCCAAGAGGUACUCACGCGGAACUCGAGAAUACGCCGAGCUUAAGUCGACGAAUUCCUAAGAACUCGUAGUAAAAAGGAAAAUAUGACGAAGUCGUCGAAAAAGUAGAUGCUGGAAUAUGAGUAAAAACUUGUGUUUGAUUGAUUGAUAGAUAUCUCAUUAUAAGGCCCUAGGGUCUACAUUUAUACCCUGCUCAAAGAGCUACAAUCAGACACGACUAGGACUCGAAUUCCAAAUUAAACAGAAUCCGUACACAAAACAAAUUUAAAUAACUAAUGAAAACAUAAAACUACCCCUUUGUAACCGACCAGGACACCGCCACAGAUCAAUCGACAACCUCCACGCUUUCCUUCAGAGUCAUCGGCAGUCUUCCUGUUAUGACCAUCGGCAAGCACCAAUAUUGAUCAUCGGCAAGAACACGUCACAACCUCUGGACUUAGUCAUAUUCAACCGUCUCUUCAUCGGCAACUCUUCUGCAGACUAGUUACCGUUGCUCCACCUGCCGAUCUAUACUCUACUGGUCCCCGGGUACGUGUCCAAAACGGUGUCAACACAUACCCCCCCAAUUUCGGAGUAUAAAAUCAUUAAUGCUCCGAAAUUCUCUGCAGUAAUGAUGCCUUUCCGCAAUUAAUUCUCCCAAUUUGGUAACCGACCGUUUAAAUCUGAACAACCUUGGCCCGAUUCUCCUGCAGGUCCCUCGAAUUCCUCAACCUUCCGAACCGGAUCUCUCCACUUUAUGCGCCCAUUGCUAAUAUUACCGUUAGAGGGAACUGCCGAUGGACCGACCAAGAGAUCCCGCACAGUAAAAUAUCUCCAGAUCAUGACCGCUUCCUGUCAAAUCACCUGCGCAAUCCCUUGAUUACCGUGUGAAUAGUUACCAUAUCCACCUGAGUACCCUCAGAUUUCACGGAUACGGUGAAGAGAUAAGUCAAAUCUGCCCUUGCCCGUUUUGUCCUAUAAAUACUUCCUUCUCGGGUACUCCUUCUCCAUCGCAUCAUUCUACAGCCCCAACUCUGCUUUCGUGGCGGCGGCACUGUUCGAGAGCUCCAAGAACUCCAGCAAGAACUUCCUCCAACAACCCCCAAGUUUUCGAUCUUCUUCUCCGUGGGGCAAUGGCCGUCAACUUCGUCGUCCCUGAGGUUAGCUUACCCUCCUUCUUUUUUUUCGUAUUCUUGAUGUACCUUUGUCCAUCCGCAAUUCCUUUUACUAAACAUCCCCCCUUUUUUACUUUUUCUUUCAUCCCCACAAUCUUUAGGACUUGGCCGACAAGAUCGUAAUUCCUACCGAUCAACCCCAUCUUCAAUGCCUUGGUCCACUAGAAAACUUAGAUCCCACCGAUCUUAUAAAUGCAGAGACAAACAGAAUCCCCUUUAGAGCUGAGAAUUUUUCUCUAGAUCUAUGGAAAGACGCCUUCCGUUCCUGGCCCAGCCCUACCAAGGGAUGGAAGGAUUGGUUUCUGAGAGUCUGUAACUCCAAUGAGGUCCAAUGGGGUGAACAGAAAUUAGAUCAGUGCAUUAGAUUGUCUCUUGCCGAUAUGGAGAGAAAUGAGUCACUACUGAUAGCUGCCUCAUACUUUUGGUUAGACACACUUAAUGCUUUCGUGUUUGGUCAUGGCCCUGCUUCCCCUACACUUGCCGAUGUUCUUAUGCUCACCGGUUUAGACAUAUCCACUGCCGAUACCACCCACCUGUUCGACACCAAACCCAGUGCUAAGGUAGAAACUCGUGCCAUCGGCGGUUGGUCAGGGUACAUUCAGAAGUACCGAAGAACAGGUCCUGUCAAUGCAAAGGAACAGACCACCUUUCUGAAUAUGUGGCUAGAUAAAUUUGUAUUCUGUGGCCGAUCGGCAGGACCAACUUCUGUUUACUUGUCGGCAGCAGAAAGAUUAGCCAAUGGUGGCCAAUUUCCUCUCGGCCGAUACCUACUUGGCUUCGCUUAUCACCUCCUCCACCAGGUAGCCCAGAAACUCCUGCUUGGUCAACCCAUCGGCAACUUACGGGGUCCCUGGUGGUUCAUCAAUAUGUGGCUUAGUCCCCACAUGCACAAGCGCCUUGGGUUCGACCUCUUUGCACAGCGCUUCCCCAGGGAUUUAGCCGAGGAUUAUGAACUGGAUGAAGAAGAAUCGGCAACUCGUUCCCCUCUGAACUUUGGCGAAGCUGCCAUAGUUUUGCCUGGCACAGGUGGUAAUGCAGACCAGGUUAGCCGAUUCUUCCAAACUCUGUAUGAGGGUCUGACCAGAGAACAGCGGGCAUGGAUGCCUUAUGAAGACCCAGAUACCAGAUUCCCCUUGACUUUCCACCCCUUCAACGAUGCUCUUAACAAGGACCGUGAUGUGAUGAUGGCAAUUAUCACCCCAAGAGCCAUACCAGUGAACUUCUUUAGUAGUGGGAAAACUUCCAAUCUGACCUAUGAGUUUUAUAACCCAUCGGCACUAGCUCGCCAACUAGCUUUCGGCCAACUGCCGAUUGCACUGUGCUACGCCGAUGUGAUAAGGCCAAGGGAAACUAUCACUAGCCAUCUCGAGUGGAUCAGAGUAGCCCAACUUUCACCAAAUGCCGAUACAGAUGUUGAUCUAUCGGCUUGGAUUCCAGCUCUCUUCAUCACUCAGACAUACAAACAGUGGUGGGAAGAAUGGAAAGAACACCUAUUCUGCAGAUCGGCUCUCACGUACCGUGGCAUGAUCGACCCCCAGUACAAAGUCCCUGAUAACACUGUAAGUACUUUAAUACCGAUGCUUCAAUCCCUUCACUGUCUUUUUCCAUCGGUAACUCACUUUCUUUGUCAUAUACAGGUCGAUGACACACCGCCAUUGGUCAGCAGGAGUGGUAAACCGAUUGAGCUCCUUCCAUCGGGCCCGAUCUCUUUGAUCGGUAACAACGCUCCAACCUUGGCUGCUAUAAUGCAUCGGGGUGUACGCCUCAAGAAAAUUACCACCAAGCGGAGGAAGACAUCCCCAUCGGUAGCUGCCUCUACCUUAGCACAAGCCUUCAAGGUAAAUUUUCGAAUUCUAUUAUUCAUACCAAUUUCAUUUUUAUACCCAUCACACUUGUACUCAUAAACUUCUUAUUGUUGUAUCAGCACACCGGUACAUUGGCAAAGACCGGAAGUACGACUGUCGAUGCCCCCCAGUCCAGUCAACCGAAGAGAAAAGGCUCCAAGAGUACCAGAUCACAAGCGAAGCGCCUGAGAACAGAAACACCUUCUCCUCCCCCAGUAUCUCCGAUCCCAGUAGAAUCAUCCCCUUCUCCUCCAGAAGCCCAGACACAACCAGCACCGUCUCCUUCUCAACCACAAGAAGAAACCCAAGUAGAAGAACUCGAAGAACCUCAGCCAGAAGUACCUCAGCUAGAAGAAACAUCGGCUGAUGUACGCGAGCAAACUGCCGAUCCAGCAAGCUUAAUCAUAGCAUCGAUAGUUUCCUCGAUUCAAACUAGUACUGCACCUCCUCAAGGUAACAUACUCUUUAUUUAUUGCCGAUGAACCCACCUUUUCCAAUUUGUAAUUACCUCUAUUAAUCUUUCAGCUGACAUAGUUUCAUCGACAAUCCCAGCCGAUCAACCUAUGGUUCCAUCGGCUUCAACUAGUCAGAGGCGAGAGAUAGCUCUGAAGCAAGUAAGUUACCCGAUCCUUAUUUUUAUUGUUAUCAGUACUUUGUUGACGGUCCUUAAGUAUCAAAUUUAAUUAUCAAAUAAAUAAAGAAAAGGAUCCAAAAGAAAUCAAGAUCUAGACUUAGGGUUUUAUCUGACAGAAUUCCACGAGUUUUGGUGUUUGUCUAUUUCUGCAGGGGGUUAUCAGGAAAUAUGGAAGAAAGGCCCACAUGUCAGGAUUACGUAAAGAUAUUAACGUGCUGCGCAAUUAUCUUACAUCUAGAAGACUCCAGAAGCCACGAGACCGAAGCGGAGGCGAAACGGGGCCUGACCCUGGGCGGCCGCCCAGUUGGUCAGGGUGCCCGCCCUGCCCCUGAGUCCAAUCAGGACUCUGCUUUGCGGGAGAUCUCCACCAACCUAAAGGAUGAAUCUAAACCAUACAAUCUAUGUCGGUUUGAUCCAAUGGCCCAUAUUCACUUGAAGGGACUAUAAAACCAGACCCCCUGGCCCCUGGAGGAGAGAGCCUCUCAACCCUAAUUCAUUGUUCCAUCAAGGGAGAAGAAGCCUCUGAUCAAGAUUAGAGCCACCACAUCAAUUAGAUAUCUAGAUUAGCAUAGCUACAUAGGAUUAGAACUAGAAGGAGUCAAUCUUCGAUUGGUUUCCGGAUCUGUCAGGAGGAUUCUUGGUAAUUCUCUAAUUGUGCUUCUAAUUGCUUUCUAAUUAUCUUUGUUCUUCAAUAUUAUGAAUAUGACUUUGUUCUACUUCAAUAUAUUGCUUAUGACUUUGCUCUACUUGUUUAUAUUCAAGAUUAUAUUGUUCUUAGUUUAUCAUGGUUAUGUAUUUGGCUUAGUUAGAUACGAUCUAUAUACAUGCUUAGGAUCGUAUAGCGUUUAUCCAUCGGAUCCAUGGGUAAAUGAUAGAUAUUGUGUAGGCGUGGUGCUUAUACCGUAUUUAUCUAUGAUUGUACCCAAUAUGCCAGAUCGUGGGGUGGUUCGUGAUAGUGACAGCUUCAUUGAUUCUUAUAUAGUCCCCCUCUCGUGUAUUGGGCUGGCAGAGCAACAUUAUUACAGGGGAGUGAUUGCUAUGUUUCUCAUAUUCCUUGCUAAUAUCACUAUGCAUGGGCGUAGUCUUGUCUCACAAUGAUUGCUAAGUAUGCUUGCACUAAUUAUGAUAAUGCUAGACUAUAUAGUUGAGAAUAACUUAGGGAAUAUUCUUGUGGUUCGUUCUAAUACCAUGCUAAUGACUUUCUAGAGUAUCUAAUUGAGGUGCUUAUCAUAUUUAUUAUGUGGCUAGAUCAGAUUAGUUAUCCUUGUCACUAUUAUUAUUUCAUAUAUCUUUUAUGUGACACUUAUCCCUGUAUGAAGAGUUAGAUAUAAUGUUCUCAAUUAUACAUGCAAUGAUAGAUGCUCAAUCUCAUAUUCUAUUCUGUAAUCAAUAGUGAUGAUUGCUAAUCCCUUCCCAGUGGUAAAAAUAUAAAUAACGAUACCUGGAAUACUUUCCGGUUAAAAUGCUGCAUCGGUAUUAAUCUGUGCGCUUGCAGAUCUCAUUCAUUAUUAAUUUAGAAGAGCAAUUGCAUAUUUCAAUACCGCGUCUCUUAUAUCAUGCUGGGGAUGACAACUUGGCUUAAGUGGUGUGAGUGAUAGGUUUGGCAUUUUUAGCACCGUUACUAGAUUAGAGAACCUAGUCUACUUUUGGUAAUGAUGUUAAGAAUACCCAACAAGCAUUUUCGGCACCGUUGCCGGGGAAGGUUGAUUACCAAUCAGGAAUGGAAUAAAGGAUUUUGAGUUAUCAUUCGCAUCACUAAUAUGAUUGAGCUUAUCUAUUCUCUCAUACAGUUUUACCCCGAUAUUUUUCUAUUUUAUCUUAUGCAGGGGAAUGUAUGAAUAGAAGACAUCUUCUAGGAAAUUUUGUUGACGAUCCUGAAGCAUUAUUCAAGAAGACGAGAGCCAAGCUAAAGAAAUCAUCAACACUUCAGCAAGAAGCUUCAUCCAAUCAAGAAGAUCACCGGAACUUGUCUUCAGAGUUCGAAGCCAUGGCGAACAAAUCGAUCCGCGAGUUCUCAGCUCCCACUACGGAUAACAUCCGCACUGGACCUGCUGCAGAGAUCGACGGCAACUUUGAGCUCAAGCCUGGACUUAUCAACAUGGUGCAAUCCAACCAGUUCUGUGGGAAGGCACACGAAGAUGCUAGUGCUCAUUUACAACACUUCCUGGAGAUUUGCAACACAUUCACCAUAGCAGGAGUUUCCAAAGAUGCUAUACUACUUCGCCUCUUCCCAUUCUCACUAUUAGGAAGAGCGAAGCAGUGGUUCGACGCUACAAAGGAGAAGAAUACUACGUGGGCACUCUGCUCAACAAACUUCCUGGCUAAGUUCUUUCCCAUGGGCAAGACCAAUGCUCUCCGUGGGAAGAUUACGAGUUUUCAGCAACAAAAUGAUGAAUCUGUUCCAGAAGCAUGGGAGCGCUUUCAAGACUACAUCCUAGAAUGUCCCCAUCAUGGAAUGGAGAGUUGGCUAUUGAUGCAGACAUUCUAUCAUGGGCUCAGCAACAGUGCCCGAGAGACCAUGGAUGCUGCAGCUGGAGGAGCAUUUUUAUAACUUACUAUACCACAAGCCACAGCUCUUGUGGAGAAGAUGGCGUCCAAUCAAAGCUGGAAUGAAGAGAGGAGCCAGACACGCAAGAGAGGUGGAGGUAUGCAUCAGCUCAAGGAGGUAGACAUGCUGUCUGCAAAGCUAGACCUGCUCAUGAAGAAGCUCGAUGAUAGAGCUGGAGACAAGAAAGAAGUUAUGCACAUCUACGACUCUCACAUGACUUGUGAGGAGUGUGGAGACACUGGACACUCAGGCAAUCACUGCCCUGAGAUGCUUGAGGAUGUGAACUACAUCAACAACAACAACUACAACCGUCCUCAACAAAAUCAAGGUUGGAAUCAACAGAGGCCUAACUACUCAGGUAAUUACCAAGGUAAUAAUUCUUACAACAAUAAUAAUAAUUUUCCACCUUUGAGAGAGUUAGUGUCUAAUCAAGGAAUGCUAAUGGAUAACCUAUCUAAGAAAUUGGCAUCUAAUGAUAAAAUGCUAGAAAAUAUAAAUAAUAGAAUGGAUAAUUUCUCUACUGCCAUCAAGAAUCAAAUUAGCUUUAAUAAAAUGAUUGAAUCUCAGUUAAAUCAAAUAGCUGCUGCUGUUCCUACUACUAACCCCGGUAUACCAUCACAACCGGAAGGAUUAGAAUCUGCAAAUCUUGUAGACACGUUUGAUGCAGGUAAUUGGAGUAACCCCGUCACUGAAUUCUCUACUGACCUUCUGCCGGUCAAGAGAGGCGAUCCAGGACGCCCCGUCAUCCCGAUCUCUAUCGGCAUGGUGGACGUUCCAGAAGCACUCUGCGACUUUGGCUCCAGUGUCAACAUUAUACCCAGGGUACUCUAUGAAAAAUUCUUUACAUAUCCUUUAUUAGAAACAACCAUGUGUUUGCAGUUUGCAGAUCAGACGAUAACUUUUCCAAAAGGAAUAGUGAAGAACCUUUGUGUCCGAGUUGGUACCUUAUAUGCCCCAGCAGACUUCGUAGUGGUAGAGACCGGAAAUGAUGAGAGAGCACCUAUCAUCCUAGGGAGGCCAUUUCUGAACACCACGGGAGCUAUCAUCUACGCCAGUGCUGCCAAGAUCAGUUUCUACGUCAAAGGGAAGAAGGAGACAUUUUUCUUCAAGAACAAGACUACACAAAUUCCAGAUCAAUCCAGACGUAAAUCAAGGAAGAGGACCAACAGGAGGAACAGGAACAAGCAAGUGUGGACCGAGUCAGCUAAGAUGGUCACUGUAGUCCAUGGAGGCCAAGAUCACCAACUUAAGUCACCGUUUUUGACCAAGAAGGACGACCUAGGAAUGCCAAGCAUUUACUGCUCCAUAAAUGGAUACAACUUCUACAAGACGAUUUGCGACACCGGAUUUGGCGUCAACAUAAUGGCCGCAGUCACCUAUCGGCUCUUGUUCGGAACCAUGCCACUAAGACCAACAUACAUUCAGCUCCAGAUGGCAGAUCAGACAUUCCGAGAAAUUAAAGGAACAGUAACUGAUGUCCCAGUCAAAAUAGACAAUCACUUUGUCUACACAGACUUUCAAGUUGUUGACAUGGGAGAAGAUGAGUACGAUCCACCCAUCAUCCUUGGAAGACCGUUCCUCAGCACUGUUAAAGCAAUCAUCUACAUUGGAACCGGAGAAGUCCAUAUGCACUUCCCCUCAGAGAAGGUACGCCGUUAUUUUACUGACCCUAACUAUAUCAUUGAAGAAUCUAAGCAGGUCAGAAAGAGACGCAACCGCAACCAGAGGAGGCAGAUCAUCAAGGAUGGAUGGGCAGAUUAUGAAGGAGAAGUUGUAAGGUCAGAAGACGUUGAAUUUAAACAGAAUUAUCCAGAGGAGAUUGAAGCACCGAGUCAGGUAUGGAAAAUGAAGAUAACUAUACAAGAAGAGGAGGCGCUGCCGGAAGUACCGACUACGCCACCCAACGAACCUCAGGACGAUUAAGAAAAUGGAGAGUCCCGUUCGGAGGACUUAAAAACACCGAACGCCUUGCCAAGAGGUAAACUUGGUAGUUAUCCUUUCCCUUUCAAUUAUUUCAAAUAGUUUACUUAGUUAAUUAUGUUCAUACUGUCCUAAAAAGAAAAUAAAAAUGUGAAAAAACUAUAAGCCCCAUGUGAGUAGACGAGUGGCAUAAAACCCAUAAGUACAUUCACUGUGGUGGCAUAAAAAUAAAAUAAAUAUUUUUCUACUUUAUAAAAUAAAAAUAUAAAAACAGGGAGUAAUAUUUAUUAAGGAGUCUCAAGAUAAUAAAGGCUAGAUAUUUGUGCUAACACUUAAUCAGUUCCACAAGCUUUGUUGUCUAUUUGAGCUCCACAGAAAUUUAAGAAUCAAGAAGACUGGCAGACGGAGGACAUUCUAAUCGCUGUCAGAAUACUGCUGACUUUCAAAUACACCUCUGCCACCUGCUAGCUACACCAAGAGAAAUUACGUCAAAAUUCAGCUUGUGGGAGAGCACCCCCAUUUAUCACGAUAAGUAUUUCUAUCUAUCUUUAUACUUAUAUUAUUUUAGAAUAUUAAAAUACACAUAAACUAUGGGAAAACCAAAUAAAGAUUUUAUGCUUAUAUAUAUAUCUUUUGCUUAGUGUGUUUAAUAAAUAAAUAAAGUGGCUAUGCUAAUCUGUAUCUAAAUAAAACUUAAGCAUGGAUAUGAUAAAUAGUUGCUCUGCCUAAUUUGCAAAUUUUAAGUUCUCUCUCAAGUUUAGAUAUAACUGUUAUAAUUUAAAGCUUGCUCUAGACCUAAACUUGUGGGAUGAAAAUUUGAUCUGAAGUCUAAGUUGUUAACGGAUACGAUAUGGGAAGGUUGAGCUGCUGUUUAUCUGUUCCUAGAGAUGCUAGAAUUCUGGAGAAUUUUAUCUUUGAAAAUCUUUAAAAUGUUGCAUGAUGAGUUCCUGUAUGAUGAAGAGUUUAAACUCCUACCACAGCCAUAUAUACAUGCUUGCUAGACUUUGAGCCACACAUUUAUUAUUUACUGCUUAUGAGCAUUGAGUGUGGUCAAGCUGUGUAGACCCUUAGGAACUUGUCAUGUGGUUAAAUCAAGAUUUCACUUGCACGUUCACUCAUAUAUGCUACUUCUACUCCGGAAGUACCAUCCACAUAUAUCCACCCAUUCCAUCUCCAGAACCACCUAGAAAUAUUCUACUCCUAAUCCGGGAGAGAAUAACCAAAAAUAUUUCUGUUUUCCCUUGUGAAAUAAAUGCUCAAGUUAUCUUGUUACUACCACUUGCUAUAUUAUCUCAAGAGAUGACUGCUCUAAAUUAAAAAAAAAGAAAGAAAAAAAAGAUACGAGGAAAUAAAAAGGAGCAAGUGCUCGGAACCUCGAAAGAAAAGAAAAAGUGAGACGAGAGGUAAAAAUGGACAAGUGUCCGACAGUAGAAUUAGGGGUACAAGAUACCCACCUGAGAGAAAAAAAAAAUAUAGAGCAUCUCAUUCUCCUCAUAAAGUUUGAAAAAGCAAGGAAGGUAUGUAUCCCCUCAAAGAGCAAAGUAGAAUUAGACUUCCACCACCAUUGUUUUCACCAUUGUUAUCACCAUCAUCACCAUACACCAUUCAUUCACCACACAUGCACAUCUUGAUUUGGCUUAUUGACUUGUUACUUUGGAUCCAUGGUUUGACUAUGCAAUAAAUGUCUUGUAAGUAUGUAUACUUUAUCUCCCACCUAUGAGCUCCAGAUAUUAAAACCUUAUUAGAGUAGGAUGAGAGAGAAGGCAAUGUCACUAUGCCUUAUACCACAAAUACUACAUAUCUUGAGAGAAGGCAUAUACCAUCACUGCCUUGGUAAGGAUCCAAAAAUACCACAAAAGAGAGACCUGAGAGAAUCAUACAAGGAAUUUCUGAGUUUUUAUUUGAAAAUCUGCAAAAACCCCAGAGCUAUAGCUGAUCAAGAAUAAGAGACAUGGCACUUGGCUAGACUGUUCUAUCUUUUAACCACUCAAGACAGAGUUGACAGUUACAAGUCCCAUGGUGAAGGUAAAGUAAGUAAGUUUUAAGUCUUGACAGUUUACUCUAACUCAGAGAUGAGAUCUUAUUUAAAAGCAUGUGAACCGUCAAAUUUUUUAAGAUAUUGCAACUACUUAUGAUCCAUAGCUGAGUCUAUCCUUGCUCAGGGACGAGCAAGAGGUAAGCUUGGGGGAGUUUGUUGACGGUCCUUAAGUAUCAAAUUUAAUUAUCAAAUAAAUAAAGAAAAGGAUCCAAAUGAAAUCAAGAUCUAGACUUAGGGUUUUAUCUGACAGAAUUCCACGAGUUUUGGUGUUUGUCUAUUUCUACAGGGGGUUAUCAGGAAAUAUGGAAGAAAGGCCCACAUGUCAGGAUUACGUAAAGAUAUUAACGUGCUGCGCAAUUAUCUUACAUCUAGAAGACUCCAGAAGCCACGAGACCGAAGCGGAGGCGAAACGGGGCCUGACCCUGGGCGGCCGCCCAGUUGGUCAGGGCGCCCGCCCUGCCCCUGAGUCCAAUCAGGACUCUGCUUUGCGGGAGAUCUCCACCGACCUAAAGGAUGAAUCUAAACCAUACAAUCUAUGUCGGUUUGAUCCAAUGGCCCAUAUUCACUUGAAGGGACUAUAAAACCAGACCCCCUGGCCCCUGGAGGAGAGAGCCUCUCAACCCUAAUUCAUUGUUCCAUCAAGGGAGAAGAAGCCUCUGAUCAAGAUUAGAGCCACCACAUCAAUUAGAUAUCUAGAUUAGCAUAGCUACAUAGGAUUAGAACUAGAAGGAGUCAAUCUUCGAUUGGUUUCCGGAUCUGUCAGGAGGAUUCUUGGUAAUUCUCUAAUUGUGCUUCUAAUUGCUUUCUAAUUAUCUUUGUUCUUCAAUAUUAUGAAUAUGACUUUGUUCUACUUCAAUAUAUUGCUUAUGACUUUGCUCUACUUGUUUAUAUUCAAGAUUAUAUUGUUCUUAGUUUAUCAUGGUUAUGUACUUGGCUUAGUUAGAUACGAUCUAUAUACAUGCUUAGGAUCGUAUAGCGUUUAUCCAUCGGAUCCAUGGGUAAAUGAUAGAUAUUGUGUAGGCGUGGUGCUUAUACCGUAUUUAUCUGUGAUUGUACCCAAUAUGCCAGAUCGUGGGGUGGUUCGUGAUAGUGACAGCUUCAUUGAUUCUUAUAUAGUCCCCCUCUCGUGUAUUGGGCUGGCAGAGCAACAUUAUUACAGGGGAGUGAUUGCUAUGUUUCUCAUAUUCCUUGCUAAUAUCACUAUGCAUGGGCGUAGUCUUGUCUCACAAUGAUUGCUAAGUAUGCUUGCACUAAUUAUGAUAAUGCUAGACUAUAUAGUUGAGAAUAACUUAGGGAAUAUUCUUGUGGUUCGUUCUAAUACCAUGCUAAUGACUUUCUAGAGUAUCUAAUUGAGGUGCUUAUCAUAUUUAUUAUGUGGCUAGAUCAGAUUAGUUAUCCUUGUCACUAUUAUUAUUUCAUAUAUCUUUUAUGUGACACUUAUCCCCUGUAUGAAGAGUUAGAUAUAAUGUUCUCAAUUAUACAUGCAAUGAUAGAUGCUCAAUCUCAUAUUCUAUUCUGUAAUCAAUAGUGAUGAUUGCUAAUCCCUUCCCAGUGGUAAAAAUAUAAAUAACGAUACCUGGAAUACUUCCCGGUUAAAAUGCUGCAUCGGUAUUAAUCUGUACGCUUGCAGAUCCCAUUCAUUAUUUAUUUAGAAGAGCAAUUGCAUAUUUCAAUACCGCGUCUCUUAUAUCAUGCUGGGGAUGACAACUUGGCUUAAGUGGUGUGAGGGAUAGGUUUGGCAUUUUUAGCACCGUUACUAGAUUAGAGAACUUAGUCUACUUUUGGUAAUGAUGUUAAGAAUACCCAACAUAUUUGAUCAUAAAAUAACUUAUUCUGUCUUCUUUUCUAGGAACAGGAUUCUCCCGACAGCCUGUUCUCCUUCGCCAUCGAGAUCUCUGAGGAUGAAGGCGAGGAAGCAAGUUCUUCUCGAGCAGUUGGAAUCUCAUCGGCAGAGAUUAGAGCAAAGCUGGCGGAUCUGUCAGCCCUUCUCUAUCAAGACACAGCGCAAUUGGUCGAUGACUCUGAUCCAGCCAAAGCCCUGUUCAAGGCUCUCAGAGGUCAAAUUCCUGCCGAUGCCGAGGAGGUUCUUUUUCAGGCUGCACACUUAGAGAGUCGUCAGCUGCAGUAUCAAAAGGCUGCCCAGCGUCUUGCCGAUAGAGCUGCUCACGCUCAGCUCUCAGAAGAAAUGAUGAAAGUGAAGCUCCUUGCCGAUGAGAAGCAUAAGAGCAUCGGCAUUCUGAAAUCCUCAGGAGAUGUACUGAAGCAAAAGAUCUCUGAUCUAUCGACGAGAAGGGAAGCUCUGGUGGCUGAACUCAGACAAGUAGAAGAAGCUCUGUCUCAAGCUCAACAGGAAGAAAGCCAACUGCCUUAAGCAAUCUAGACUCUUGAACAAGAGCGAAACAUCCAGGCCCGUAAAGCACUGCAGAUGAAGAAGAAACUGAAGCCAGUGGAAGGCUCUGCCGAUGAUGACGUGAAGGAGAUAGAAGAAGCCAACCAGAUCCGUCUGCGCGCCAUAUCGACGAUCCAGGCUCUGUUAAACAUGUGAACUCUUCAUCGGCGGCGUUCUCUGCUUCUUUCUUCUAAUCAUUUUGGUCCAGCCGAUAGGACUGUUAUCGGCAUUCUUUUAAAACAUUAAGUCUGGCCCCAGAUACACUUUUAAUUCAGCCAAUAGAAAUGUUAUCGGCACUUAAACUUUCAUGCAUCAAGCCAUAUGCUGGGGUAAUAUCUCUUUAAAUAUUUACCGUUCAAUGCUCUGGGAAAUUCAACUCCUUCGAGAGUUUCUAAGAUAUAGGCGUUGCCAGGAGCGGAUCGAUUUAUCCGAUAGGGACCCUCCCAAUUGGGAGACCACUUCCCAAAUUUUGAACUUUUAGUCCCGAUCGGUAAGAUUAGUUUCCAUAAGUCUCCAUCGGCAAACUCCUUAGCCUUUACCUUCUUAUCAUACCAUCUGACAACUCUCUUCUUAUUUUUUUCUAUACUUACCAAAGCCCUUAGCCGAUGCCCUGCUAGAUCAUCCAACUCGUCUGUCAUCAAAGUAGUAUAAUCAUCGGCAGCUAAUUGAUCUUGAAAAGAUAGUCGCCUAGACCCAGUUUUAAUUUCCCAAGGUAGCACUGCAUCAUGUCCAUACACCAACUGAUAAGGUGAAACUUUGGUCGACCCAUGACAAGCCAUCCGAUAUGACCAUAAAGCUUCAUUCAACAAUGUAUGCCAUCUCCUAGGAUUUUCUUCAAUCUUCCGUUUAAUAAGUUUGAUAAUUCCUUUGUUAGACGCCUCGGCCUGCCCAUUAGCUUGAGCAUAAUAAGGAGAAGAAUUUAAUACUUUAAUUCCCAUACUGAUUGCAAACUCAUCAAACUCCCCUGAUGUAAACAUAGUACCCUGAUCGGUAGUAAUUGUUUGAGGAAUUCCAAAUCGGUAAACAAUAUGCUCUUUCACAAAAUCAAUCAUAUUGGCCGAUGUGACUUUCUUCAAAGGAAUAGCUUCAACCCACUUGGUGAAAUAAUCGGUGGCAACCAAGAUGAAUUUAUGUCCUUUGCUUGAUGGUGGGUAAAUUUGGCCGAUUAGGUCAAUAGCCCAUCCCCGAAAUGGCCAAGGUUUAAUAAUGGGGUUCAUGGCCGAUGCGGGUGCCCUUUGAACAUUGCCAAACUUCUGACAUCCUUGACACCCCUUGAAAUAUUUAAAGCAAUCUUCAAGUAUGGUUGGCCAAUAAUACCCAUUCCUCCUAAUCAUCCAUUUCAUCUUAAAAGCCGACUGAUGUGCUCCACAUACUCCUUCAUGUAUUUCUCCCAUUAAACUUCUAGCCUCAUCAUCACCUAAGCAUUUGAGAAGAAUUCCGUCAAUUGUUCGAUAAUAUAAUUCAUCUUCGAGGAGCACAUACUUGGUGGCUUGAAACCGAACACGUCUCUCAACUUUCUUGGAUGGAUCCUUUAAAUAAUCAACGAUUUCUUUUCUCCAAUCAUCGGCACCGAUUGCCGAUAUUGUGUUUAAUAUAGGUUGAUAUCCCAAGGCAUGCCGAGCCAACCGAUUGGCCUCUUCAUUAUGCAAUCGAGGAACAUGCUCUAAUUGGAAAUCUUUGAAUUCCUUUAACAUUUGCAUACUCCUUUCAUAAUACGUUAUUAAGACCUCACUUCGGCAUUCAUAACUUCCAGCUAAUUGAUUUAUAACCAGCAUAGAAUCCCCAAAGAUUUCAACAGUGUCAGCACGAACCUCUUUUAACAACUCCAACCCUUUAAUUAAGGCUUGAUACUCAGCUUGAUUAUUUGUCGACGUAGCAACAAUCGGUAGGGAGAAUUCAUACUUCCUUCCCUGAGGGAAAACUAACACUAUGCCGAUUCCUGCCCCCCGGUCACACGUGGAUCCAUCAAAGAAGAGCGUCCAAGGCACAAUUUCCAAAGCUUCCACUGCACCGCAAUGUUGAGUUACAAAAUUGGCCAUAACCUGUCCUUUAACUGCCUUAGCCGAUUCGUAACGCAGAUCGAAUUCCGACAGUGCCAAAAUCCACUUACCGAUCCUGCCGCUCAUGAUCGGCAUAGAUAGCAUAUACCGGACCACAUCAUCUUUGCAUAUAACAGUGCAUUCAGCCGAUAACAAAUAGUGCCUCGACUUAAUACAUGAGAAAUAUAAACACAAACACAACUUUUCAAUGGUCGAAUACCUGGUCUCAGCAUCAAUCAAUCUUCUGCUCAAAUAGUAAAUCACACGCUCCUUCCCUUCAAAUUUUUGAAUCAAAGCCGAACCGAUGACCAUCCCAUCGGUAGAUAAAUAUAAUCUGAAGGGUUUUCCUUGCUGAGGUGGAAUCAGAACUGGAGGAUUUAUCAAAUAAUUCUUGAUUUCAUCUAAAGCCAACUGUUGCUCUUUCCCCCACACAAACUCUUGAUCGGCUCUCAAUUUGAGUAAAGGACUGAAAGCACGAAUUUUACCAGACAAAUUAAAUAUAAACCUCCUGAUAAAAUUUACCUUGUCGAUCAAGGACUUGAGCUCAGUUUUGUUGAUAGGAGCAACUAUUUUGUUGAUAGCAUCAAUGGAUCUCCUACUAAUUUCAAUUCCCCUUUGAUGCACUAUGAAACCAAGGAAUUGUCCUGCCAAUACACCAAAUGCACACUUGUUAGGGUUCAUCUUCAAACCAUGCUUCCUUGUACAUUCCAACACCUUUCGCAAAUCGGCAAGAUGUUUUGUGAAAUCCCCAGACUUAACCACCACAUCAUCAAUAUAAAUUUCCACCAGCUUGCCGAUGAACUCAUGAAAGAUAAAAUUCAUAGCCCUCUGAUAAGUAGCACCAGCAUUUUUCAAGCCAAAGGUCAUGACUAUCCAUUCAAACAAUCCAACAUGACCAGGACAUCUAAAUGCAGUCUUUGGAAUAUCUUCCUCAGCCAUGAAUAUUUGAUUGUAUCCUGCAUUGCCGUCCAUAAAGCUGAUGAUCCGAUGCCCAGCCGCAGCAUCAACUAGCAGAUCGGCAACCGGCAUUGGGUAGCCAUCCAUCGGUGUAGCUUUAUUAAGAUUCCUGAAAUCAAUGCAAACCCGAAGCUUCCCAUUUUUCUUGUAGACUGGAACAACAUUAGAAAUUCACUCGGCAUACCGACACUGCCGAAUAAAUUUAGCUUCAAUAAGUUUGGUUAUUUCGGCCUUAAUAUCAGGAAGAAUAUUAGGAUUACAUUGGCGCGCUGGCUGUUGAUGUGGCCGAAAUCCAGAUUUGAUGGGUAACCGAUGCUCAACAAUCGAUCGAUCCAAACCGGGCAUCUCAGUAUAACCCCAAGCAAAGCAAUCUUUAUAUUCCUUUAACAGAUCAGUUGACUGUUGCUUACACUCAGAAUUUAACUUGGCACUAAUAAAAGUUGGUCUAGGUUUAUCACCACUACCUAUAUCUACCUCUACUAAAUCAUCGGCCGAUGUGAACCCCUGGCCUAGCUUUCCAUCAUCGGCGAAUCUAUCCAUUAAGACUCCUCAUCAGAACCGAUUGCUUGGAUCGGUGGAAUUUCAUAAUCGGCAACUUUGAGGAAAUCCUUCUCCCAAAUUUCUCCCGAGAUACACCUAGUCCUUUCAUAGGUGUCUGCCUCUGCCGAUGCAAUGACAUAAAAAGAAUCUCCUGGGACAAUCUCAAUCUUGUCACCUACGCACUGAACCAAGCAUUGGUGUAUCGUAGAUGGGAUGCAACAAUUGGCAUGAAUCCAAUCUCUCCCUAGCAGUAGAUUGUAGGCACCUUUCCCACUGAUCACAAAGAAGGUCGUCGGCAAGGUUUUGCUGCCGAUGGUCAACUCGACGCAUAUUGCCCCCUUAACUGGAGACACAUUCCCUUCAAAAUCUUUUAGCAUCAUAUCGGUCUUGGUCAAAUCUUGAUCUCCUUUUCCAAGCUUCCGAUAGACUGCAUACGGCAUGAUGUUAAUAGCAGCUCCACCAUCAAUUAAUAUCUUGGUCAUUGGCUGACCAUCAACUCUUCCUUUGACAAACAGAGCUUUAAGAUGCUGUCUUUCAUUGUCGGCAGGCUUUUGUCAUCGGAUCCAGAGCCAACUGAGCUAUCUGGUCGAAAAACUCUAACUCCUCAUCAUCACUAGAUGGCGCAAGGAAUUCCAUCGGCAACAUAAAUACCAUGUUAACAUCUGCCGAUGGCCCUUUCCCCUUAGGAUCUGGUUGCUGCCGAUCCUCAGACUGACCAGAAUUCUCGCCCUUGCUUAGCUCUUCUCGUCUUUCGCGUUGCAGUCUCCUUUUUUGUGUCUUAGUCAACCCCUUCGGACACCAUGGGGGAAGUGGUGACUGCCUUGCCGAUGGACGACGAUGUCCCCUUGACUCCAUUCGAUAAGUAUUAGCGUCCCUGCAAAAUAUGAACUCAUCGGGAACUUGUGCAUCAGCCAUCUCUUCAAGUUCUUCCUGGUUCCUGAGAAAAUAUUCAACACGAUCACCAAGCCUAUCGUGCACACUGAGUCUGUCCCCCAGCCGAUCAUGAACUGACGCUCUCUCCCUAAUCGGCCCAUUGAAUCGCCGAUCAUCAUCGUGAUAGCGCCGAUCGGAUCUGUCAUACCGAUCAUAACUAUUGCACUUAGGGCAAUCUCUAACAGUAGGCAAUUUGAUGUUCUGCUCCCAGCAAUGGAUAAAGAAUGGGCAGUUCUAGUGAUCCUUGUGCCGAUUCCACUCAAGUCGGCGUCUUUCUUCUUCCCGACGAUAGUCUUCUUGCUGGCGCCGAUACCGAUCCUCACGUUGUUGCCAAGUCACCCGAGGCCUUCUGUGAGUUAUCACAAUACCAGAUCGAGGAGGCCUUCCUGAACUAUUUCCUUCCUGAAUCAAGCCUUUUCCUUUGGCAUCAGCAGCAGUAAUCUGAUGCUGAGGAUCUACCGAUGCACUCCUUUCAGCUGCUUCCGACGUUAAGACCUUAGUUUUUCCCUUAGCAUCCAACAUAUUUGUUGGGAAAGGAUGUUGAUCGAUCUUCAUUGGCUCCUGAGCUUUAGAAUCAAAUUUGAUUCUCCCAGAUUCUAUAGCCGAUUGCAGCUGUUGCCUAAAAACCUUGCACUCAUUGGUGCUGUGAGAAGUUGCAUUAUGCCACUUGGAGUAUUUCAUCUUCUUUAAUUCUUCAGCCGAUGGAAUUACAUGAUUGGGUGACAAUUUGAUCUGACCUUCCUGAAGUAGAAAGUCAAAUAUCCUAUCGGCUUUGGUGAUAUCAAAUGCGAACUUCUCUGGCUCUUUAUGCCCAAAAGGACAAGACAUCGGCUUCUUAUUUUUCACCCACUCUGCCAAACCGAUGACUGGCUCUUCAUCAGAAUCCGAGCUUGCUGCUUCGUCGACAAAUGACACCUUUUUAUUCCAAGCUCUCUUAGGUUCAAAGGGUUUGAUAUCCUGAUCGGAAAUCCUCUAGACCAAGUGACUCAGGCUCUCGAACUCUUGAGAAGCAUAUUUAUCCCUGAUAUGUGGCAACAAUCCCUGGAAAGCCAAAUCGGCUAGCUGCCGAUCAUCUAAAACCAGACUAUAGCAUUUAUUCUUGACUUCCCGCAACCUCUGCACAAAACUUUCAACCGAUUCAUCAUUGCGUUGUUUCAAUCUAACUAAAUCGGUAAUCUUCUUCUCAUGGACUCCAGAAAAGAAGUAUUUGUGGAAUUGCUUCUCCAGAUCGGCCCAAGUAAUCGCUGAGUUAGGAGACAACGAAAUAAACCAAGUAAAAGCCGAUCCAGAUAAAGAUGAUGAGAACAAACGAACCCUUAACAUCUCUGUUAGCAGCUUCUCCACACUAGAUGAUAAACCUAUUGACAUGCUCCAUGGUCGAUGUAUCAUCCUGCCCAGAAAACUUGGUGAAAUCUGGUACCUUGUACCGAUUUGGAAGUGGAAUUAAAUCAUAUGUCGGAGGAUACGGUGUCCGAUAAGAGUAAGUGUUGACUUUGGGUUUUAUCCCAAAUUGGUCUCUCAUUACUUCAGCCAUCUUAUCGGGAAAAUAAGCAUCAGCAUCUUGCCGAUGAGGCGGUUGUAGAUCUGGCACCUGCUGGUAAGCUUCCACGUGUCGCUGAGGCGCACGAUCUGCAUGGAACAUGGGGUUAACCAUCUGACCACCAAUCUGCUGACCCAGAUUCAUCGGCUGAUUGAUCAAUCCUUGAUUCUGAAACCCAGGUUGGAUCUGACCUUGUUGAAACCCUGUAGCCUGAUGAUUCUGUUGAGGCACCUGUGGGAAGACAAAUUGCCCAGGCCAUCCACUAUUAGCAUUCAUCGGCAUAGGCCCUGCCGAUGACUGAUAAUUGGGCAUCAUCAUUGAGUUGACGUACCCCUGCUGUUGCGUUGGCAUUGAAUCUGCCGAUGCGUUAGGCAUCUGGAAUGCUGGAACUUGAGAAUUCCCAGUGUAAGGUCUUGCAGUAGUAGUUGUAGUAUACUGGGGACUCUGAUUCAUCGGCAUAUUUGGAGGUGCCGAUGCCAUAGGAGCCUUGCCUCUCAUGUCAGCCGUUUGAGACGUGCCAAGAAUCUUCAACAUCAUCUCAGAGGGCAUACCAUAACCCCACCAGUUAGGAGGAACUGACCCUGACAUUGCCGAUGCGAGUAGAUCUGUAGCAAGUUUAAUCGACUCAUUUGAUGUCGAUGGAUUAGUUGUCAUCGGUGUAGAUUGCGCGUUAGUGACUCCUAACGUGCUCGGAGGAACCGUAGUUUCUGUGCCCGCUGCGGCUGUAGUGGCCGAUAGAGCUGUGACAACUGGUGAUCCCGGCUGAUGAUAGACAGGGCCCACAUAGUUUGGUGGCAAUUGUCCUUCUUUGAAAGUUCUAGCCACGGCAUUGAAAACCGUAUUGGACAGCACACCAGCUUGGUUGAUCAAGGCACGGUGGAUAGCAUUAUCGACCAUGUCUUGGAGUUUACCAGGAUUGGCUUCAAAAGUAACCUGUCGAGGUGCCGGCAGUGCUUCUUUCUGGAUCGCUUCACCGCUCCUGUUGAUACUGAAGGAUUUCAAGCAUUGCUGCUUGUAAUCCUCCAUGGCUUUUGCAAUAGCUUGCUUUUGCUCAUCUCUGAGAUUGGCUUCCGUCACAGGGAUGACGUUCUCCUGAUCGAACUCGGUAGUCGACAUGUUGAUCUUGAAUCUUGUAUCAGGGAGUCCCACUGGGCGUGCCAAAAGAUGUGUUGGUGCAAAAGCUGAUCUGCAAACACAAAGGGCUAAUACCCGAUUUAAACGUUAAGGCAUGCCAGCCGAUUUGACCUUACUAUCGGCAAAGGUGGUAACUCGAAUACUUUGGUCCUGACAACAGCGAUGCGCCCGGAUGUCACGGCCAAGAGGUACUCACGCGGAACUCGAGAAUACGCCGAGCUUAAGUCGACGAAUUCCUAAGAACUCGUAGUAAAAAGGAAAAUAUGACGAAGUCGUCGAAAAAGUAGAUGCUGGAAUAUGAGUAAAAACUUGUGUUUGAUUGAUUGAUAGAUAUCUCAUUAUAAGGCCCUAGGGUCUACAUUUAUACCCUGCUCAAAGAGCUACAAUCAGACACGACUAGGACUCGAAUUCCAAAUUAAACAGAAUCCGUACACAAAACAAAUUUAAAUAACUAAUGAAAACAUAAAACUACCCCUUUGUAACCGACCAGGACACCGCCACAGAUCAAUCGACAACCUCCACGCUUUCCUUCAGAGUCAUCGGCAGUCUUCCUGUUAUGACCAUCGGCAAGCACCAAUAUUGAUCAUCGGCAAGAACACGUCACAACCUCUGGACUUAGUCAUAUUCAACCGUCUCUUCAUCGGUAACUAUCCUCAUCGGCAACUCUUCUGCAGACUAGUUACCGUUGCUCCACCUGCCGAUCUAUACUCUACUGGUCCCCGGGUACGUGUCCAAAAACGGUGUCAACAGAAACUAAUCAAACUUGUGGUAGUAACUUUUGGAAGAGAACUAGAGAGUACUAUAAUGCAAACAAGAACUUUGUAUCUGAUUGCUUUGAGAGAUCUUUGAUUCACAGUUGGUUGACUAUUUUAGAAGAAGUAAACAAGUUGAGUGUAGGAAACAAAGUGGACAUACUAUUUAGAACAAAGUUAUUAUUUUGUCACUUUUUUGUUUUCAUCAACGUUCUCAUUUGCAGUGACAACUAUAAUGUUAACUAUAUAAAUUCUCACAUGUGCAUCUACGUUGAUGCAAUUGCUUCAAGUAACAAGUAUUUAUGGACAAAGACGAAGACAACAACUCGUUCCAAAUAAUCCAUUGCUGGAACAAGUUGAAGGAUGAUGCCAAAUGACAUUCAAAGCAAAAGGAUUUGCCGAUUUGGUAGUCCAUAAGAAUGGUGCUAGGAAGAAAGAAAAGAUUGGCAAGAAUGGAACUCCACAAAACUCACGUCCCAACAUUGUUGAUAGUACCACAAGUGAAGUAACUGAAGUUAGAAGUCCAUAGUCUAAUGAGUCUGGUGGCCUAAAGAGACCAAUGGGUAAUAAGAUUGCAAAGGAAGCGUUGAGGCGAGAUGGGGGUGAUGAUAUAUGUGGAGGAAUUCGUUUAAGUGCGAGUGGAAAAGGAGGCUUUGACAUAGAAAAGAAAAAAGUGGGGGAAGCGAAAACAUUCGCUAUAGAGAAAGAACGGCUUGAGUUAGAAAGAGAGUGGACACUGAACAAGCCAUGGUUACACAUAAGGUCAAUAAGCUUGACCUUCACAAGAUUAAGGGUGUCCCAAACAUCACGAGUAAAUCGUCGGUUGAGAUGUAUGAACAAAACGAUAAAAUAAUUACUAGACUGCAUAGCUAAUGACGUGGGCCACAAGAGGAGAGACCAACAUCUCUUGGGGAAGUGUGUGAGCCUAGCUAUGAGAAUGUCACCAGUGACAAGUUUUUUUUCUACUUCUCUUGUCCAUGUCAGAGAAUAGCUAGCUCCUAACUACUUGUUGGGGGACGCCUAAAGAGAGAUUUAUAACCAUUGACACUAUUUCCAUGAGUUGCAGCAGGAGUACUAUAAGAAAUUGUAGAAAAAUAUCAUUAGUCAUUUCUCCAUCUACUUAAUAUUACUGUCAGUAGACAAAUAUUUUCUCAGUAAAUUUAUUUUAAUAUGUAUAGUAAAAGUUAAUAAUAUCCAAUAUAAAAUAGUUUGACUUAGAGCAAAACUAUAACGAGCAUUCUCUGUGGGACCGAUGUAGUAAGUAAGAAUUCACUAAAAAGGAAGGUGGUCCAAGCUGGCCGUUGUAAAGAUUUACUGUCACUUUGCUAUAGGGCUGUACAAAUCAAGGAGUUGUUACGUGUCCCUCUGAAAAAGCAAAAGAACCUGCUUUUAUUUAUGCCAACAAUAAAGCUCCUAGGUACAUUGACUCCACAUAUGAUGAAAAAUGACAGCCCAACCACAGUUGGUGGCAUCAGCUAAUGACUAGUUUUAAUACAGAUUACUAGCUAAUCCCGGUCGCUGAGCCAUUUGAAUUGAUCUUUUCUACUACAUGACCAGGUCGUUUUCCCUCAUAGACGAAAGAUGACUAAAGAUUGGCCUCCAUAGUGCCUGCUCUGAUCCGGAUCCGCCGAUCACCCAAAGAAAGUUAGAAAAAGGGGGUGAAGUUGAUGGUCAGAAACGGACAGCUCAACUCAAAAGGAAUUGACGUCUCGUUCCUGACAAACCUGGCCUGCUGCCAAAAUUCAUAUACUGAAUCGAUCAAGAAAUAAACAUGCAGAAAUAAUAACAAUGUUGCUUCAGGCGUAUGAGGAUAAUCAUAUAGGCCUUGUUUAGUUCUCAUCGAAAUCCAAAAAGUUUUCGAGAUUUCCCGUCACAUCGAAUCUUGCGGUACAUACAUGAAGCACUAAAUAUAGAUAAAAACAAAAACUAAUUAUACAGUUUGCCUAUAAAUCAUGAGAUGAAUCUUUUGAGCCUAGUUAAUCUAUGAUUGGAUAAUAUUUGUCAAAUAAAAACGAAAAUACUACAGUACCGAAAUCCGAAAUCUUUUCGGAACUAAACAAUGCUAUAGUAUGUAUGAAUGAAAGGCAGGCACUGCAAAUUAUUCAUUGGCUGUAAAAUCAGAGACACCAGAAAAUUACACGAUCAUCACAAAUAAUUACUUUUACUUUCAUCCUGAAAGGGAUGCUAGCAACAACAGCACAGACACAUAUCCACUGCACCACAAUAAUCGAUGGACCAGUCAUGGAGAUGCCGCUUGAUCAGCCGGACAAAGCUGUGCUAGCACAGCAAAGACGACGACCUCCAUAUAUGCAUGUCUUCUCAAAUUAAAAGAUUCAAAAAUGAAAAUCACCAUGAAGCUAUCACACAGCAACCGAUCGAUCAUCCUUAACGCUAGCAGCUGCGAUUAACAUUAACUGGGGAGGAGAAUGGACUGAAAACAUCAGCAUCAGCCAUCAGCCCCUGCACUGGGUGAUGGCGCUGCAGCCGCGGGAGUAGGGGUUGGCCUCGGCGCCGGGCUGGCAGUUGUAGUAGGACGCGCCGCGCUGCGAGCAGGGCACGUUGUCCCUGCGCAGCGCGUCGUAGCCGAUGUAGCCGGAGCCGCCCUGCAGCACCCGGCGCUUGCUGCCGCCGGUGGCCAUGCCCGCGACGUCGGCCUCGCCCUCGGCGUCCGCGCCCAAGUACUCCAUGCACUCGCCCACCGUGCCGCGGCACGUCCGCCCGCCGCGCCGGAUCACCACGGCGCCGGCCAGAUGGGCCACGGCCAGGUCGCCGACGGCCACUCCGGCCGCCGACGCCGGCGCCGCCGAGAGCGCGGCCACGGAGACGACGGCCAUCAGCAGCGCGAGGACGGCGGCGGCGCGGAGCUGCAGGCGCGGCGCCAUGGCGAUAAUCGAGCUGAAAUGCGCGCGCGCAGGCGGAGGGCGGAGGCGGCGGCGUGUCGUUGCUGGAUGCUGGUGCGAUGGGUGUGGAGGGCCGGCGCGCGGCCGAUGCAAGAAACAGUCGCGUUUGGUGGUGGUGUGGGAGAGCGCGGGGUGGGGGUGGGGGAUUAUAUCAUGGCAGCAAUGGCGGAGCCGAUCGACGGCAGUAGCUGAGUAGGUGAGGACUGAGGACGCGCGAGAGGGACCGCGACGAGACACGCGAGAGAGGAAGAGAGGGAGGGGAGAGAUGGCGCGUCGGCGUCGGCGUCGGCGCGGCGCUGUGGGGGCGGGCCGGGCGGGCGUGACAGCGACCGUUGGCCGGUCUUGAUCGAUGGAUCAACGUAGGCCUGCCGGCCUCGCGACGCGGACGCGGUCACCACACACACCUGAUCAUUGCGCUCGGCCGGCUCGUGCUCGGUGCCGUCGGAAGGGCGGGCGUUGGAGGCGGCACACGCGGAUCACCAUCGCUUAUUCGCCUGUCUCCUAGCCUCUGUACACGCACGGCAUGAUUGCGUGAUCUCGACGGUGGGUGGCAGUGGCAGGCAGUUGGUGUGCGUGUGUGUGUCAGUGUGUGUGCGCAUCGGAUCACGAGCUAGCGUCGCUCGGCGAGCCCAGGUGCUCGGGGAGGGGAAAAAAAAGGCGAAAUUAUCCGGUAGCGUAGCGAGCGAGAGACGCUAGCUCGGUAGGAGUUGUAGGACGACUAGGAGCCAAAGGACGCACGUACGCACGGCGGCCUCCAGGCAGGGUGGGCACGCUGGGGCCUCGCGUGCGUGCAUGCCAGGCACGUUGGCAGUUGGUCCCUCGAUCGGCCGGAACAACAACGGAGGGUGCACCCCCUGCGCCUGCACGGCACAUGUGAGUUGGCUGUGAGCGAGACCAGCUUAUUAGGGCCUUGUUUAGUUAUCGGAACGAAAAAAUUUCGGCUAUGGUAGUAUUUUCGUUUGUUUGUGACAAAUAUUAUCCAAUUGUAGAUUAACAAGGCUCAAAAGAUUCAUCUCGUAAUUUACAGUUACACUGUGUAAUUAGUUUUUUGUUUUUGACCAUAUUUAAUACUUCAUACAUGUGCCGCAAAAUUCGAUGUGACGGAGAAUCUUAAAAAGUUUUUGGUUUUUGGGGUGAAAGCUUUUGGCGAGUGGGAGCUGAGGUUAAUAAUACACCUGGUUGACACCAGCUUAGCUUGGCGAGUGAGAGCUAAAGUUAACAAUACAGCUCGUUGACACCACCUAGCUAAGAUUAAUAAUACAUCUUGUUGUAUGAACAUUUAAAAUUUAUGUAUCAGUGUAUUUAUAUUUUAGUUAGCUCACUUAUAAUUUACAUUUUCCUUUCAUAAAGUUUUUUGUUUUUUCAUAAGCUCGAUGUAAAUUUAGAGCAUGUUUCUCUUAUUUCUCCUCCUUUCUCCCCACUUGAGCAUAAAUUACACAUAAAACCCUUUACUAUACCGGAGUUGAGCAGUACUCUUUGCUCAAGUUAGAGCAACUGCAGCAGAGCUCUCAAAUUAAAUCCUUACUUUUGAUUUGAGAAGCUCCCCUACUCUUGAGGGCCUGAUCAGAGCUCUCAAAUCCCAAUACACACUAGCAAAUGGAACUCACUUUUCGUCUUCUCAUGACCAUUGUAACUGUCUGAGGCUCCGAGCUAUGUUCUAUGUUGUAGGGAGGCACUAGAGGAGAAGGAGAGAGCCGAGCACCGACAUGAUGGGUGCCUCGCCAGCGAAGAGGAGACACGCCCUCAAGGGGCUCACCACAUCGGGAGAGAGCCUCUCUGAGGGACGGUACGAGGGGAGUGGUCCUCAAGGGGCCUAGCCGCACUGGAAACGGGAGAGGGCCUCACCGAGGACAAGAGUGCAAUUUUGCGAGUGCACGGGGGUGGGGGGUUGUGUGCUCAAAAUCAGGCCCAAGUGAAUGUCGACGAAAGCUAGUCGGCAAUCUACCUUGGAGUAUACCCACGGUAGUAGUUUAUCGACAGACAGGUGCGCAAGCUAUGAAUUUGAUGGUGACGCCAGACACGGACAAGGUUUUUAUCCAGGUUCGGCCGCCGUGUGGGCGUAGUACCUACGUCCUGCGUCUGAUUGUAUUGCUGUGGAUUGAAUUGUGUCGAGUUGAGUUGUGUAUGAUCUGUCCUCUAGGCGACCUUUGCCCCUCCUUAUAUAUCCUGAAGGGACAGAGUUACAAGCAAAGUAUCCUAUUUGGUACAAUAUCUUGUAGCCUUGCGGUGCACGUCGACCAGCAUCGUACGCCGCACGUCUUCAUCUUGUGGGCCGAGCCACCUCUGAUGGUGCGGCCCAUGUCAACCCAUGAGGGUAUAGGGAUUUAUACCCCCACAGUGAAUGAGCUUGAGAGUUGCUCCUAGGCCUUGUUUAGUUCUAAUUUUUUUUGCAAAAUGGAUACGGUAGCAUUUUCGUUUGUAUUUGAUAAAAUAUUAUCCAAUUAUGGACUAACUAGGCUCAAAAGAUUCGUCUCGUAAAUUACAGACAAAUUGUGCAAUUAGUUAUUUUUUAUGUAUAUUUCAUGCUCCAUGCAUACGCUGCAAGAUUUGAUAUGACAGAAAAUCUGAAUUUUUUUAUAAAUUUUUUUUGAACUAAACAAGGCCCUAGUAUGCACUACUUAUUGACCACGGUGUGUUGAUGAAAUCAUUUUUUUCCAAACACUUGUUAAAAUUGAUUAACAGCCGCUACAAUAAGUCGUUUAAUCACAGUAGAAACAAAUUAAGGUGCAACUCAAUAGUACAACCAUACUCCUGUAUAAAUCUUGUGAUUAAUGCCGCCACACUGAUCAACAUCAAUUCAGUCCCUUACAUUCUACGAUAUCUAGCAAUGCACGUGCCUGGUAGGGUAUUCGCUUGCUGCAUGUUAACUGGUCCUCGAUCUACUAUGAACAGUGAGGAAGUAGCACGGUAGUACUGCUGAUAGGUCGUCUCAAGUCUGGUGGAAUCGAGGGAGCCAAUGACCUAGAUGUCUCUGCUUCACUUUAUAUAUAUAUAUAUAUGAUGAAACACACACAGUACAAUUUAGCCGUUCACGCACCCACACACCAGAUACAGGUUGAGCCGUAGAUCUCCUGUUAAUUGUGAAUUUGUAAUCGGUGAAGUCAUCACCUAUCACACACGGCAAUAUGCUACCAGUAGUAGCUUUCUGGGACUGAUGAGCUUGAUGGUACUGCUGGCCUGGCGUCCUCUUUGGAACUUUAACUUGCGUACAGUACUGUAUGGACCUGGCACUCGAAAUAUUAAUUCGAACUUUAAUAGCCGUUUAACGCCGCAGUUGACAGGAGUACUGUUUCUUCUGGGCCUAUAUGUAAGGUGUUUUAGUUAUGAGCUUGGGCUUCCGCACGAAUUCAAUUUCCCUGCCUUUGUUUUCGGAACCAUGUCCAUGUUCCUUUUCAUCUUUUCUAUUGUGCACUGAAGUGAAAUGCUCAUGCUGUUAUUAUAAUAAUUUCAAUUGUGAAUUUCAUUAUGUUGUUUUAAAAAAUGCUACAUCAGCUUUAUAGGUUUUAUGAGUUACGACAUCAUAUCUCAAUGCAUAGUUUCAUAUAUCAAAGUUUCAUAGGUUACUCAUACCGUUGAAUUAUUGAAUAGCGUUUGUGAUCCACUGUGCUAUAUAGAUUAUGUAGCCACAUAUGAUUUAGACUUGCUAAAAUUUACUCAAUCUGAAGUCAUGCCUUAUAACCUUCAUUGUUUGGUCACGUCCUGGAUAACUAAAUUGAAACAUGAUUAUAUUGAAAAUUGAACUGAACAAUUUGAACAUAAAUCAAAGUGCAGCCCUGAGCUCAAGUUUACUAUAAUUUUCAUCAUAACUUCACAAGAAGAUGGACGACAACCUAUAGACAAGGACUUCGCCACGGCCUUGGUUAUAGGCACAACCACGAACAUGAUGCUGUUGUGUGCCUCCUCGCCCCUACCAUUCCACAUAUCACGGCGGCCCGUGGCACUGGGUUCUUAAUCUCUGUGGCUGAUCCCUAUGGCGCCUACGUGGCCAAUGUUGCCGACCAACAAUGACCACCACUAUUGCAAUACGGAGGAUGGGGGAAGCACAUGUACAUUGCAAGCGGCACUGGAUUGAAGGAAGGGACGAGGAUGAAAUUAAAUGGCCUCGGUGCGGUUUUCAACCAUGAUCCAACUUCUGAGAGGUUUGAAACACUGUGAACCAGUUUCAUCUUGGUAAAACUCAAAUAUUCUCUUUUCUUAUUAUAAGAUGUUAUCAUAUUCAUUGAGAUGACAUAUUAUUUAAUAUAAAUGAAACUUUUAUAAAAUCGCUGUUGAGACUAGUCCUACAAGUGUAACGUCUCGUGAUGUUGCAAGUUCUUCUUGUUUUGCGUGGUUUUUUUUUCUUCUUUUUUUUGGGCCACAGGAACCACCCAAAAGCCAAAGGUGUGUCGAUGCCCCGUACGUGCAUUUUUCUUGCUGCAUGAUUGGAGCUGCGGUGGACGUGCAAGAAUGAAAACGUCCAGAUCAAAUCAACUUUCAUGAACAGUGUAACUAACAACGCCCGGAUAGUUAAGAAUUAAUGAAAAUGCUGAAACAAACACUACUACACAACUGUUUAACCGUGACGGGCACUUUACAUUUACCGCAGCGGGCAUUGGCGUCCACCACGAAUGAAAGGUCACGGUUAAUCGUGGCCUCACCGUGGCGGGCGCCUGUGCCCGCUGCGGAAAAUGGAUUUACCGCAGUGGGCAACAUAAGGUGUCCGCUGUGGUUAAUCCCAUUAACCGUAGCGGGCACCUUAUGUUGCCCGUCGCGGUUAAUGAUUAAAAAAACAAAAAAAAACCUGGACAGGCCUGUCGAGCCCAUCCAGAGGCCCGAUGAGCCCAUCCAGGUUGUUGCCGCCGCCGCCGCCAGGAAAACCCUAGCGCCGCCGGUGCAGGGUUGUCGCGGUCGUAGUCCAUGGAUCUACUCUAAUCCACCUUCUCAAAUCUGGCUCGUGGCGGCUCCUUCACCGGAUCUGAAAAGAGAGAAGGAAGAACACUGAGAUGAGUGAAAAAAGAGAGGGAGACGUGAGGAAGAGAAGGAGGAGCAGCGUACCUCAUGUCGACACAAAGGGGGAUCUAUGUCUUGGUGCCUUCCCCGCCGUGGAUCUGGGCUCCAUCCGCGCCGCCGUGCCGCCGUGCUCUGUCCGCGCCGCCCGAGGAGGUGGGCAGAGCGAGGAGUGGUAGUAGAGCAAGGCGAGGAUGAGGAGGAGCAUGAAAGCGACGCCGACGGGGGAGCCUCCCACGCGGUGGACGGCGUCGGGGAACCUGCCGAAGACGGGGAGGAGGAGCAGACCCACGGGGCUCAGUAGCUCCGCCACGGCCUCCGCCAGCGCCUCGUCGCCGUUGCCCAGAAACAGCGGGGCCGCCACCACCACCGCCAGCAGCAGGCCGUGAGGCACUAAAUUGAAUAAUCACCGCUAGCAGCAGCAGCAGGUAGAGACCUUAUAUAUUUGGGCUUCAAAAUUUACUGUGACGGGCAUGAUAGGUUGCCCGCUGCGGUAAAUCGAUUUACCGCAGUGGGCAUCUUAAUAUAUCCGUCACGGAAAAUAUAUAAGUGCCCGCUGCGGUAAAUCGUACGAUUUACAGCAGCGGGCAAAAAAACGCCCGCCACGAAGUGAACAGUAGCAACGUCACGGAAGUUCGUUUGUGUAGUAGUGAAAACAAAGAGCUGACUGCUAAGGAAUGGUGAUAACAACAGCUUGAUUAUUAUAUAUACUCCGUAAUUUGGAACCGGCCUGAUGUUUGUUCUGGCGAAAUAUAUAUAUAGAGCGCCUCAUGCAAAAGGAAAAGCAAUAAACUACUACAAGUACUGUAGAAAUUUUAAUUUGCUUCUUGGGCCUUGUUUAGUUCAAAAAAAAAAUUGCAAAAAGUUUCAAAUUCCUCGUCACAUCAAAUUUUGUGACGCAUGCACGGAGCAUUAAAUAUAGAUAAAAAAUAAUAACUAGUUACACAGUUUAGCUAUAAUUUGCGAGACGAAUCUUUUAAGCCUAGUUAGUCUAUAUUAGACAAUAUUUAUUAAAUACAAAUGAAAGUACUAUUAUUUUUAUUUUGUAAAAAAAAAUUGUAAGUAAACAAGGCCUUGCUACAACAUGCAGACAUCCCGGCCGGAAAGCCGAGACACUGGGACUGCCACUGCCAAACCACACACGUAUCAUCACGGGAGCUACCCUAAGCAGUUGACCCGGCGGCCGGCGGACUGGUCUCCGGUGCGCACACCGUGCACCAAACGACGACGACAGGUCCAAGCGAGAGGCCGAGAGGUACAAAUAGCUAAGGCAACGAGUGCGCAUGCGUAGGCGCGGCGCGCAGGCCGGGGGUGGUUGCACCGGCACGCGUACUACCAAUUCAACACGAGAUGCGGUCCGGGUGCCGCACGGUUGGUGAUUGCCGGCCGGACACGAGUGAGAUCGGCCGGCGAGAUCGACCCACGAUGACGUCGCACACGUACGCGGGCGCGAUGCGAUGGGGUCGAAUGCGUCAAAUCUGUUCACGAGCUAGGGCGCCAAAAUUUAUCCAGUAAAUUACAGAUAAACUGUGCAAAUAUGUCAAAUCUGUUCACGAGCUAGGGCACCCAAAUUUAUCUCGUAAAUUCAGAUAAAUGGUAUAAUUAAUUAUUUUUUAAUCUAUAUUUAGUAUUCCAUGUAUUCACCGCAAGAUUUAAUGUGAUGAGUAAUUUUGAAAAAUUUUACAAACUAAACAAGGCCUAAAGACGCUCAAAUAGUCGUCUCGAUGUCGUUCUCUGCUCAUUUCGUUGUUCUAGACGAAUAGGCUAAUGUGUUCUCCCCAACGCACGCUAUAGCAGCCACACGCGGGCGGGCAGGUCCAAGUCCAAUAAUGAACCAAGGCGUCGUCACCUCAGCGCCCGUAUACGUUUCUCUCGAAAUUGUGCCCAGAAAGAUUUUCACUUGAAACCACAGGCUAUUAAUUUUAUAUAGCAAUUGAGGUCAUGGCUUGCUUGUGUUCCUCAUAUAUCAGAUACUUUUACCAGAGCGAUUAGUAUGUCCGAAUUACGACGGCCUCUUGCCAUCAGAGAACUAAUAAUAAACUGCGUAGCUCAAGCUGAGUCUGUCAUGUGUGUAUACACGCGCUGAUCUCUGCAGCAUGCGCGCAUAGGACGACCUAUAGCUGACCGAUCGAUUCUGAUGGAUGACCAACUGCACUUCCUUUGCUUUGUAAAUACUAUUUAUUUUAUUUUCAUUAGUGUAGCAAUCCAUGGGCGUUGCAAUGUCCAUGAGUCGUAUCAGUGUAUAUAUUAUAUUUAUUUGCAUUAUAAUCAUGACAAGCUACACUUUGGUAGAGGCGGCUACGUAGCUUAUAUAUAUAUAUAUAUAUAUAUAUAUAUAUAUAUAUAUAUAUAUAUAUAUAUUGCAUUAUAGUCCUUAUAUAAAUAUAAGUAUAUGCGAUGCGCGGGGCGCGGCGCGGUGGUCAAAGUGUAGCCGGAGGAGGGGUCAUCGGGUGUACCGCGCGUCCGUCCGUUUCAGUUGGAUCUGCUUCGGCGGUAGGGGACAGUAGCACCUGCAAGCCCUUCUCACGUCGCCGUCCACGGUCCACCUGUGACUGUGACUGUGAGCCUCACCUCAUCGUCUAGUAGCCCUUUGGUGCUUGUCCUGUCGGUUUAUCUUUUUCUCAGGCCUCGUUUACGUCUAGUUUUCGCCUCUCAAAAGCUAUUUUUUUUAAAAAAAUUUGUCACAUCAAAUCUUACGACACAUGAAUAGAACAUUAAAUAUAGAUAAAUAAAACAACUAUCGCCAUGUUCGGCUAAUCAUUUCUGUAUGGCUGAUGCUGAUACUGAUGCUGAUACUAAUAUGUUCUGAAAGGAAAAAAUACUUUUUUUUUGGCUCAAAAGCAGUGGCUGAUAUAUAUUUACCAAUGCUCUUGGAGCUGCUUUUGGACUUUGGGUUUAUCGCUAUACCAGGUACCAGGGCCCAAAGAAAGAAGGAAUGAAAACGGAGAAAGGGGGCGCCGUGCGUGCUCUAUCUCUAUUCCUUUGUGGACCAUGAUGGGCCUUAAGUGGGAACCGCAUGUUUGUUUCCGCGGCGGCUCGUAUGGAACUACGGGCCGAAUUACAAAGUGCGCGUCCGUUCGUUAAAGGGCCUUUUGGGAGAGUGUUCCUUGGCAUCGUUGGGCCAUUUUUGCCACAGCAGCGCACACCCUGCUGCCUGCUUGUUCUGCAUUUCAUACUUGGCACAUGGCAGCGGCUCUCGGUCUCAGCUCCAUUGAUUUGGCAGAGCUAGCUCCUGCAUCGUGCCCUAAUUCUUCUUGAAACUAUAAUGUGUGUACUAUAGUGAAAAUGCACGCAUAUAUCAAUAAUGGUGGUGGUCACUGGCACACAAACGAUAAAUGUACAGUCGUCACACGCAUGCGUGAUCCAUCGUCUCGAGCAACUUACACAUCAUCACUCCCAGACGACGACAGCACGCACACACACUGCUGGCACGUACACACUACACACGUAAGCUACUGAUUCAGAUCAGCUCCACACUCACACACACACUGCUUCGAAAUCAAAUUUAGCGAGACAUGCAUGCAUAGUAGCUAGUAGCUAGCAAACUCACGUACGGCGACUGUCAAACACUAGCUAGCUAUAUAUCUAGCUGCUGUGCACGUACUCCUCACAAAGUCACCACUAAUUAAUUAACAAGAGCAAGCUCUCCACCAUAGACGACGAUCGAUGAUACUGAUGAGACUGAUCGAGAUGCUAACAAGAGGUAGGUAGGUAGGUAGCUAGCAUCAAGCAGAUGCAUGGAUGGAUCAUAUCAGACGUCGACGACCCUGAAGGAGUCGCGGUUCUUGAUGACGAUGUCGUACAUGUGGACGGAGGAGAACCUGUUGAAGUCGGCGGGGAGGGAGAUGAGGUCGAGGGAGCCGCGCUUGUGGAACUGGUACAGCGCCGGGUCCUCGUAGUAGCGCUCCCACCCCAGCGCCCGCAGCUCCGACUCCAGCUCCGCGUACGACCGCACCACCUGCCCGCUCGGCGUGUGCACCAGCGCCUUCCGCCGCCGCACCGCCUCGCCGCCAGCCGCCGCGCCGUUCUCCACCAGCCGGACCACGCCGUUCUUGAACACCCAAACGCCAGACAUGAUUGAUUAAUUGAGCUGAGAGGAUGGUGAUGAUAGCUUUGAGUACUGCUUCAGAGCAGAGAGAUGGUUAUAGCUUAGCUAGUGUUGCUGCUGCUGCUGCUGGCCGGGAGCUAGGAUUGUGUGGUGGAUGGAUGGAUGUUUGAUGAAGCAAGGGAGGCCGAUCAAGGGUGUAUAUAUAGAGCAUGAAGGCAGGGUAGAGCAUGAAGAAAGCCAAAAAGUGCCAAAGGUAUUUUUUGAUGAUGUGGGGUAGAUGUGACAUGGAUGUAGGAGACAUACAACACAUACAUAUAUAGAUGUUAUAGUACACGUAUGUGAAUAUAUACUCUACCACUAUAGAUUAUAGCUACAUACAGGGCACGUACUAGAUAUAUCAUGAUGCUAGAUAAUGAAUGAAUGAAGAAGGCAAAUAUUAAGGGAAAAGUAAGCCAGCUAGCAAGAGAUCAGGAGAACAUAUAUCUUGGUUUGCAGGUGUGGAUUCGCAGUUAGCUUGGUUAGGUCACGGCAAAGAUGCUGUUUAUAUAUUCUGAACAUCGAAAUUAAAUUAGAGAGCUAGGGAAGAGGAACGGAAGAAGAUUAUAUACUUGAGUGCGUGUACACCGGAUCAGAGAGAAUAUAUGUGUAUACAUGUAUCUACCUAUAUAUAUUGUAACAGUGUUAGUUAAGGAUUCUCUCUGCUCCGAUCCUCAAUGUGCUUGAUAAGCUACCUGGAAUAUAUUUUCUUUUUUUGCGAAAAGACAGAAAUGAAAGAUCCACGCACAGGUGCACUGCACGGAUUGUACAAAAGUGUGUGGUGUGGAUAGUGCAGUGCAUCCGACAUCAUCCAUAUAUAAUUGCACGCACUGUAGAAUGUGUAGUCUCCGGAAAAGUAGUAAGGCCUUGUUUGGAUGUAGUCGGAUUCGCAUUAAUCCACAUGUGUUGGAGUGGAUUGGAGUGGAACUUGAACUAAAUUCCACCCCAAUCCACUCUAACACAUGUGGAUUGAGAUCAAUCCGACAACAUCCAAACAAUGCCUAAAUCGUUUCAUAUAUACUGGAACCUACUGCCAUAUAUUUUAUGUUCAGGCCGAAUUCAGGUGAUAGAUCAGUUUGAGAAUCGCGCGAUUUCACCACGUGUCGCAGCACCGUCACGGCACGUAGCAAAGGCAGAGAAAUAUCGCCAAAUUUUUGCAUCUUUUGAUGGGGAUGUUUUGGAAUGAAAAUGUUUGCUUAAUUGCAAAUGGGGGCGAUCCUACUAUACUACCUUUACGAAAUGUUCAUGAAUGCAUUGUUUAUAAAUAAAGUUAAUUCUGUGGAAGUUAGAUAAGUAUUCGAUCGCUUGUCGAGAGAAAAAAUAUAGACGUUGUGUGCGGAAUCCUACCAACCUUUUCCCCGAAAAGAAAACAAAAAGGAUCGGGGGGCCAAAUUCUCACUACUCAAGAUCAAGGGAAUACGAUUCACUCGCUAUAGUUUACUCCUUUACUUAGCCAUCGCACAAGAGAAUUUGGGCUGUACGUCCUCAUCCUUAGAGCAAAUUCUUUUUUUUAGCGAAAGGGAAUUUGAUCGAUCAUCGAGAUCAAUCUCGCCUUUUAUCGGCCGGGAACAAAAUUGAUCCUCGCUCAUUGUCAAGUAUAUAUUUUGGUGUACGGCAGGAAUAAUGCGGGAUGCAAUUGCUGUAGGCAAGCUUGGAGCAUCCGCAAAGAGAGAUUUUGGCUUAUCUUAGUUUCCCCUGGUGCCUACGUAAGUGAUGGCACAUUUGUUGGCUACCUAUAAUUCCCGUGAAUAUUAAGAUCAUUUGGCACAACUUUACUUCACCUGUAAAAUUCUUCUUUAUUUUUUCCUUCAGGUCCAUAAACAGUUUUGUCUUGAUGGAGCUAGAGCUGCUUUGAUAAACCAUUUUACACAUGUAGAUCUUGUAAUUAAAACAUGCUCUCACAUAAACUCCAUAUAGAACCCACUAGGACGAGGUGAAGCCCUGCUUCAUAUCUCUUUGGAAGCACAAUUUAAGAAGUUUUCUGGAUGAAGCCAUUUUAUUUACAUCGUUUGACAAAAAAAGACUGCAAACGGCUUCUGAAAUGGGACCUAACUUGGCACAUGCUAUGCUAGCUAGCUCAUGGAUUGAUAAAUCUCAGAGUCGGUUCGGUUGUACAGUUACAUGGUGAGCGCGCACCGCAAAGGAAAUGCUUGUUUUUUGGUGUGUAUGUCAAAGUCGCCUUUUCACGUAUAUAUUAAGCUGCUGUGUGUGCCAAAAUUAAAGUUCUCCUUAUCUUCCUUCUGAUUCUCUAUUCUGCAUUACGAAUAGUCGGCUUGCUAGGUAUAAAGCUACGAGUCCUACCUAGCUAAACCAUGCAUCCUGCUGGAGAAUUUGUGAUAUAGUAGUAUAUGUAUCUGUGUUCUGUGGUGAUCCUGCUGGAGAAUUUGUGAUAUAGUAGUAUAUGCAUCUGUGGUGAUGAUUUAAUCUAUAUUAGUACAGGAAUAAGAUCAUACUACUGCAGAGUGACACUUUAACAGUAGCAAUCAAUACAUACCAAACACACAGCACACAAGUUUCGAUCUAUCACUGAAAGUAUUAGAGAGCCUUGCUUAUUACCAUCCCCUCCCUGGUAACACUCCGGCCUCCGAUCCUUUUCGUUUUUAUAUAAGACGCUGUUAUUUGACCCACGUCUCUAUCACCACACUUUUACAUUAUUCUCAUAUAUUUUAUAAUGUCGUCUACGGCUAUGCAUUUGAAACUAUAUGAAAAUUUUUGUGUGGUAUUCCAGUGAUACUAAAUUUGUAAUGGUAUUUUCUAAAUUUUUUAAGUGUUAAUCAAAGAGUAAUAUGUUUAAACCUUUACUUGCUUGUGUCGCUAAAGAAAAAGAAAUGAGAGAGUAGUGAACCAAGAUUUGUAACUUCAGAGAUACUCCUUCCACCGCAAACUAUAAGUUAUUUUGACUCUUUUGUAUACAGCUUUUACUAUAUAUCUGAAUGUAUAUAUACAUAACUUUUACUCUAGAAAAUCAAGAACUACUCAUAUUUCCAUAAAAAAAAGAACUACUCAUAUUUGGAAAUGAAUUAUACAGAUGUAUUUUUUUUCGAGAUCGCGACCUCACAUAUUUUUCAUUAAGAAGAAGAGCCGAGAGAACGGCAAAGUAACUGAUACAAAGGAUUCGCAAGUAAUAGGAUUACCAACGAAGUCCCCAACACAAACGAAAAGCAAGAAACAUGAGGGAAGGGACCCUCUACCUAACAACCCUAUGGAUGAACCCAAUACAAAGAACACAACACUUUGGAAGCAAGCAGUGAGGUGAAGUCGUAGAUAAAAACAGUGGCAAAGCAUCCGCUAGAAACAUCCGACGGCACAGCAUCCGUCCAAGUACGAGGACCAUCGACGCGGCAAAUUAUACAGAUGUAUAUAUACUACUUUUGCUAUAUAUCUAAAUGCAUAUAUGCUACCUUUUUGUGAUAGAAACCGUUUACCUAUAUCUACACACACGAAUUGGUUCUGUUUUGGAUCGAAGAAGCCCUACGUGGCAUAUGCCCCUGUUUUGGAACCGGGGUCUUUAAUUUGCAUGUUCCUGUAUUAUAACAAAAAGCAAGGAAUGAACCAUCAAGGAUCGAUACAUAUGAUUAAUUAGGUACGGUAAGUGGGUACGUACAUUAAGUACAUCAACUUGUGAAUGGCACGCACUUUCCGUCACUGAGCUGGCCGGCAUGUAUGCGAUUACUUACAGCCAAGAAACUCUCGAUGGGGAAUCAUAUCCGACUGAUUGAUCAAUGGAUCGUACGCGUAUAUAUUGCAUGCAGUACACACAACGCAUACACAUAUUCUCACGUACGUGUAAACUGUACAGCAAAUCUUUAAGAUAGUAACCCGGCGCAUGGAAAGGCGAGCUCGUGCGCGCCUAACUAUUUUUGACGAGUUGAACACGUGCUGAUGGGUCUGAUCGCGAGAUGAUCGCCUACACAAUAAUAUAUUCCUGAACGGCUAGCUGCAUGGGCGACCUGACCAGUCGAUCAAUAUAUAUGUUCAUCUUUCAUGUGUGAUUCUCUCUCUCGUUUUCAGCCUGAGCUCGAAUAUUUAGGCCUUGUUUAGUUCCAAAAAAUUUUCAAGAUUUUAUGUCACAUCGAAUCUUGCGACGCAUGCAUGAUGCAUUAAAUAUACAUAAAAACAAAAACUAAUUGCACAGUUUAUUUGUAAACCGCGAGAUGAAUCUUUUAAGCCUAGUUACUCUAUAAUUGGACAAUGUUUGUCAAAUAAAAACGAAAGUGCUACAGUGUCGUUUUCCAAAAUUUUUUACAAACUGAACAAGGCCUAGGUUUAGACAAAUAUGGCUUUAUUACGUAACAGUCGUAGUAUUCUUAUUAGACGCGACUGAUCUGACGACUAGAUGACUGGUGGUGACUAGGAUGCAUGGUUUCCACAAGUUACAGCAUAUACUGCUCCCAGGUCAAGCUCAAGAUGCUAAUUUUUUGUUCAAACCGAGCGGGAAUUGUCCAUGUUUCACACUGCGUUUUGACGAUCAUGAUGAUUCGAUCGUGUCAGCCAGUUUGCUUGGCUUCCAGAGAUCGGCCAGACAUAGAUGCUUGGAUUAGCACGAAGUUAAUUAGCCAGAGCCAGAAGAAGGUAUAUUAAUUAGAUUUAUGUCUCCGAGGGGAGUCACUACUACAUAAACAUAUGUAGAGGCGGCUAGGAAGUCUUUGUAGAGGCGGUUGUCCGUCCCUAUAAGACUGUUGUUUGGAUCUGAUGACACCCACAAGUUACCCUCACUCUAUACCUGUAAAAAAAAUCGUUUAGGACAAAGACACGGUUUCUAAAACCUACUUUGACUUCUUAUUUUUAUAAAAAAUAUUUAAGAUAAAGUGGUAUAUGUAUAUUUUUAUAAAAAUAUUUUUCAAGACAAAUAUAUUCAUAUAGAUUUUCAAUUUCUAGACUCAACAACUUAAGAGUUAUUCAUGAUGAUUUAUAUUUUCAAUGUUUAACUCGAACCUUAUCUAAAAUGAUUUUCUUUAUGGAUACGAAGUACUCUAUUCACAUUGUGAAGAGGGCUUGGAUGCUUACUAGUACCCGUAGACCGGCAAGAUAGGUCUAGCUAUGUUGCCACGCUGAGCUUGGCGUAGGUCGACGUUGGGCGCCAUAGUGGCACUGGCACCUAGUGGCGAAGCCACGUUGAGCCACCCGAGUGCACAGGCACCAGGGUAAAAUCCAAAUAUUAUGUUCAGCUGCAUUCAAUACAAGAGAUUCAUUUCAUGAUUUCAAUGUGGAUAGUUUGAUAAGCCUAGCUAAGCUAUACCCAAGUGACUUUGAUUCCGUGCAACAGGGAGAUCUGCAUACUCAACUUUUCCUUUAUAUUGAUGAUGUACGACAAGAUGACAGAUUUCUUAACAUACAAACCAUUGCUGAGCUUUCCAAAAAAUGGUGGACACAAGAAAACAUCUUACCUAUCCUUUGGUUUAUCGGUUAUUGAAGCUAGUACUUGUAUUGCCAGUCGCCACAGCUACAGUUGAGAGGGUCUUUUCAGGCAUGAAGAAAGUGAAAACAUGUUUGCGCAAUAGUAUUGGUGAUCAGUAUAUGAGUAACAGUCUCAUUUGUUAUGUGGAGAAAGAGAAAAUGUUGAAAGUUACCAAUGCUGAUGUAGUGGAUCGCUUCAAGAAAAUGAAAAAUCGCAAAUACUAGGAGGUGAUGAUUACUUUCAUAUUUUAUUAUCAUUUUCUAGUUCUGAAUCCAUCUUUUCUCGACAUAUUUAGUCAUCUAACUAGCACUUCUGUUAUAGGUAAUUGACUCAUUGAGGACUUUGGCUUCACAAUUAUUUUAUGCAGACCAUGUAAAUUUGGGGUGUUUAUCUGAAUUGACUAUUAAUAUCUCAAAUCCAUCAUUUUGGUAAGCAUUUCUCUAAUUAUACUGUGUAUGUACGGUCACUGUGUAGUAGAUAUUAUCAUUAUCCUUAUGAAGUGUGCACUCGGGUCCUUGAUGCUCUAGCUUCGCCACUGCUGCCACCCCUACCGUGCCACGUUAUUUUGCCAUGCCAAUGGCAGUGCUCUGCCUUUGACGCGACCAAAACGAUAAAAUUUGCACACUUGAAGGAUGUUUUUUAAUAUAUUGAUUAAAAAAGCUAAAAAUAAAAAUAAAAAUAUCUAUCUGUAGAGCACCACUGCAGUGUACGUCCUCGGUUCACCAUUAAAGGCUACAUAGGCUAUAGCUAAUCCUAAUAAGAACCAGAUUCGUGCUAACAGUAUUCAAUCUAGGAUGGGAAAUCAAUUGAUCGUGCUCGUGGAAAUUGCGAUAUGUGGAAUAUAUGGGGAUCAUGUCGAACACAUCCGAGACACUGACAGGCAUCUCUUUGUCACGUGUGCUUGACCCACAUCUUGAGCUCUAUCGGGAGGGAAUAAGCUUCUUGUGAACUUGGCGUGCAUGUAUACUUGUAGAGACUAUAGACACUCGUGCAAACGAAGCGUGAACAUUUUUUUCGAUCGAGACGACAGAACAUUCCAUAUGCUUCAGGUUUCCUGUGCAGACGUGAUGCGAUCCCGUCCCUUGGGUAUGCAUGGUUUGGUAUGAGCAUCUUACCCUAGACAUUUCCAUGGGUUUGAUGUUACCGAUAGAUCAACCCACGUAGCAGAGAUGUUCCUCCGAAGUAAAAGCAGGCAGGCAAUAGAUCCCACGGUUUAGAAACCAGACAUUAAAACCAACCAAUUCGUACAAACAAUAAUCUUAAAGUCAGCACAACAGAAUAAAGUAUCAAAAGAUCAGGGGAUGACCAGGGAAUGGUUUCAGAUUGAUUCAGUUAAGGGUUCCA